rnacentral:lncRNA from 1 species
CACCUCCACUCUAUCUCUCUCAAUCUAGUAGAAACUAGAAGAUCUAUUUCUACCUUACAUUGGUUGCUAAGCCUAAAAAGAAAUAUUAAUUAGAGAAGAGGUUUUCCUUCGAGGGCACCCCUCAAUCUGUAUGAUAAUUUCUUGUUCUCCUCCAGGGGCUAGGGGCCUUGCUUAUAUAGUCCUCCUCCUCUGUGCGUUUUUGGUUCAGCAGGCGAUGUGGUACUAAACUUUGCACCCUAUCUCAUUAAAAUGCACAUAGAUCUUAAUGGACCAAAAUCUGAUUUGGGCCCAAUUAAUCCCGCAGCUCUUUUAUGUGGAGUCCUUCUUUUAUUAAUAUCUAUUGAUUCCGAACUCCAAAUAUAACAAAUAAUAUAUGCAUUUCGAUCAGCUCGACAAGAUCUUUGCAAUGGUGGACUCCAUUCUGUGAUUGGUGGAAACACCUGGGCGGGCGCCCAAGGGGGGUGGGCGGGCGCCCUGCCCCGGGCCCGUUUGCCUUCUCGUUCGUUCCCGUGGCUUCUGGAAUCUUCUAGAUGAUAGAAAAUUGCGCGGUGCGUUGAUAUCUCUAUGUAAUCCCGACAUGUGGGCCUUUCUUCCGUAUUUCCUGAUAACCCCCUGCAGAAAUAGACAAACACCAAAACUCGUGGAAUUCUGUCAGAUAAAACCCUAAGUCUAGAUGUUGAUUUCAUUUGGAUCCUUUUCUUUGUUUAUUUGAUAAUUAAAUUUGAUACUUAAGGACCGUCAACAAACUCCCCCAAGCUUACUUCUUGCUCGUCCCUGAGCAAGGAUAGACUCAGCAAUGGAUUAGAAGUUGUUGCAAUAUCUUUAAAAAUUCACGGUACACAUGCUUUUUAAAUAAGAUCUCAUCUCUGAGAUAGAGUAAACUGUCAAGACUUAAAACUUACUUUAGCUUCACCAUGGGACUUGUAACCGUCACUUCUGUCUUGAGAGGUUAAAAGAUAGAACAGUCUAGCCAAGUGCGAUGUCUCUUAUUCUUGAUCAGCUAUAGCUCUGGGUUUUUUUUUUGUAGAUUUUCAAAUAAAACUCAGAGAUUCCUUGUAUGACUCUCUCUAGUCUCUCUUUUAUGGUAUUUCUGGAUCCUUACCAAGGCAGUAAUGGUAUAUGCCUUCUCUCAAAGUAUGUGGUAUUUUUGGUAUAAUGCAUAGUGAUAUUACCUUCUCUCUCACCCUACUCUAAUAAGGUUUUGAUAUCUGGAGCUCAUAGGUGGAGACAGCUAAUACAUACUUACAAGACAUUUAUUGCAUAGUCAAACCAUGGAUCCAGAGAAACAAAUCAAUAAGCCAAAUCAAGAUGUGCAUAUGUGGCGAAUGAAUGGUGUAUGGUGAUGAUGGUAAUAAUAAUGGUGAAAGUCUAAUUCUACUUUUCCUCUUUUGAGGGGAUACAUACCUUCCUUGCUUUUUGAAACUUUAUGAGGAGAAUGAGAUGCUCUUCUUUUUCUUUCCUCUCAGGUGGGUAUCUUGUACCCCUAAUUCUACUGUCGGACACUUGUCCAUUUUUACCUCUCGUUUCACUUUUUCUUUCUUUCGAGGUUCCGGGCACUUGCCCCUUUUUAUUUCCUCGUUUAUAUAUAUUUUUUUUCUUCUUUUUUCUUUCUUUUUUUUCAGAGCACUCAUCUCUUGAGAUAAUAUAGCAAGUGGUAGUAACCAAAAUAUUUGGAGCAUUUAUUUCACAGGGAAUAACAGGGAUAGGAAAAAUGUUUUUGACUAUUCACUCCCGGAUUAGGAGUAGAAUAUUUUUGGGUGAUUCUGGAGAUGGAAAUGGAUGGAUAUAUGUGGAUGGUACUUCCGGAGUAGAAGUAGCAUAUAUGAGUGAACGUGCAAGUGAAUCUUGAUUUAACCACAUGACAAGUUCCUAAGGGUCUACACAGCUUGACCACACUUAAUGCUCAUAAGCAGUAAAUAGUAAAUGUGUGGCUCAAAGUCUAGCAAGCAUGUAUAUAUGGCUGUGGUAGGAAUUUAAACUCUCAUCAUACAGGAACUCAUCAUGCAAUAUUUUAAAGAUUUUUCAAGAUAAAAUUUUCUAGAAUUCUAGCAUCUCUAGGAACAGAUAAACAGCAGCUCAACCUUCCCAUAUCAUAUCCGUUAACAACUUGGAUUUCAGAUCAAGUUUUCAUCCCACAAGUUUAGAUCUAGAGCAAGCUUUAAAUUAUAACAGUUAUGUCUAAACUUGAGAGGGAACUUCAAAAUUGCAAAUUAGGCAGAGCAACUAUUCAUCAUAUCCAUGCUAGAGUUUUACUAUUAAGAUUCAGAUUAGCAUAGCCACUUUAUUUAUUUAUUAAACAUACUAAGCAAAAGAUAUAUAUAAGCACAAAAUCUUUAUUUGGUUUUUCAUAGUUUAUGUAUUUUAAUAUUCUAACAUAAUAUAAGUAUAAAGAUAGGUAGAAAUACUUAGCGAGAAUAAUGGGGGUGCUUUCCCCCAAGCUGAAUUUUGACGUAAUUUCUCUUGAUGUAGCUAGCAGGUGGCAGAGGUGUAUUUGAAAGUCAGCAGCAUUCUGACAGUGAUUAGAAUGUCCUCCGUCUGCUAGUCUUCUUGAUUCUUAAAUUCUGUGGAGCUCAAAUAGACAACAAAGCUUGUGGAACUAAUUAAGUGUUAGCAUAAAUAACUAGCCUUCAUCAUGUUGAGCUUCCUUAAUAAAUGUUAUUUAUUUAGCAGGAUCAUACACUUAUUAUUAUAUAUAUAUAUAUAUUUAUAUAUUUUUAUUGUAAGAUGAAAACUUAUUUAUUUUAUUUUUAUGCCACCACAGUGAAUGUACUUAUGGGUUUUAUGCCAUGAGCAUACUCACAUGGGGCUUACUAUUUUUUAACAUUUUUAUUUUCUUUUCAAGAUAGCAUGAACCUGAUUAACUAAGCAAAUUAUAAUUAAAUAAUUGAAAGGAAAGGGUAACUACCAGGUUUACCUCUUGGCAAGGCGUUCGGUAUUUUUAUGUCCUCCGAACGGGACUCUCCGUUUUCUCAGUCGUCCUGGGAUUCGCUAGGUGGCGUAGUCGGUGAUUCCGGCGGCGCCUCUCUUCGUGUAUAACUAUCUUCUCCCUCCACACCUGACUCGGUGCUACGGUCUCCUCAGGACAGUUCUGUUCAAGCUGUAUGACUUCAGUCCUUAUCACUUUUCCUUCGUAGUCUACCCAUCCGUUCUUGAUGAUUUGCCUCCUCUUGGUUGCGGUUGCGUCGUCUUCUUGUCCUGACCUGCUUAGAGUCUUCAACUAUAUAGUUAUGGUCAGUAAAAUAGUUGCGUACCUUCUCAGAGGGGAAGUGCAUGUGGACUUCUCCGGUUCCAAUGUAGAUGAUUGCUUUGAUAGUGUUGAGGAACGGUCUUCCAAGGAUGGUGGGUGGAUCAUAUUCGUCUUCUCCCAUGUCAAUGACCUGAAAAUCUUCUGGAGCUGAAUAUAUUGGUUGUAGGGGCAUGGUUCAAUGCAGGAGCUGAUAAGUGACUGCGGCCAUUAUGUUGUCGUCAGAUCCGGUGUCGUAGAGUGUCUUCUGAAAAGAGUAUCCAUUGAUUGCGCACUCGAUGCUUGGAACACCAGGGUCGUCCUUCUUGAUCAAGAAAGGUGACUUGAGUCGACGACGUUGACCUCUUCCAACAAGGAUCCAAUGUUUUAAGUCCUCUGGACAAGACUUUCCACCAUCUUCAUCCUUUAGGUGCAUCAUUUGAUUAGGUGUGGACCUUGACGUCUGCACCUCUUGAUACGGUGUCACCCGUGUUCUUCUUUGCCCAGCAGUUCGAAGUAUGGUGUUGGCAAUAUCCUGCUCAGUGUGUUUGUGCUCAUAGAUCCAGGUCCUUCACUUGGUGGAGUCUGGGAGUUGUAAAACUCCUCCAUAUUUUGCUUGAAGUGUACCUGUUCAUAGAGACAAGGCAGAGAUCAAGUGCAUGGGCUCUGUUGGUGGAAAACACCAACAGAACCAAAAGUGUAUUUGUUCUUCUCUAACCUUAAGCAUAGUGAGCAAGACAAAGUUGAUGGAUAAUAAGAUCAUGAGUGUAGUAUUUGAAACAUUUGUCAGAUCAGAUGGCUCCACCUAAUGGAAAGAUAAUCUAUCUAUAUUUAUGUUUUGUUUAUAUCUUUCAAAUAUUGAAUGUGCAACAUAUUAGCUUAUAUGUUUAGGAGCGUGGGAUCACGAAGGUAGUACUAAGAACAAAGAUUAAAGGACUAAAUAUGUUGAAUUAAUUGAGUUGGUUAAUCUGGAGUUAUAAAUCAUACAUGUUUGUCUCUUUAUUUAUGUGAAUGCUAAAACCAAGGAGAAGCUUAUAAAAGCGAUAGUCAAGUACCUUAAGGUGUUACCUUACUUGAAGAGUGACGGUACAGUAUCAUCUUGUGGAAGCUUUCCUUUCUUAGCGGUUGUGCAUCGAGUUUGUGGUACCCUCCAUGAAUCAUCUCUUAUGAGUCACGUCUUUCUUCUGCAAAUUGUUAAACUUCAUGUGUCACUUUCUUCAUCUCCAAUGCGAGUUUAUCUCAGGACUUCCCAGGUUGAUAUUGAAAGUUUUCCUGCACGGGUUAGUCCAACAAAAUAUCCCAUAUCUACUAUAGCAUACUAUCGGCUUAAAAAUCAACCUAGACACCAUGUCUAAUUUGAUUUAGAAGGGCAUUUUAACCUAAGCACCAUGCUUAAUUUAAAAUUCCUUGGAAGUAAGAUCAUCAUUCCUAAACUAAGCACCAUGCUUAAUUAAGAGAUAAAUGAAACUAUUCCAAACCUAGACAUAUACUAAAGCAAAUAAAGGUAGCAUGAGAGCAUUUAUAGAGAUCUACUUAAGUGGAGAUGAAGUAGUGUAAUUAGUAUUUAACAAAUUGAGCAUGUCUCAAAGGUAAGGACAACCAACGUAGCAACAUGGCAAAAGAUGUUUUUUUUAUGUAAAGUACUCCCCCAAGCUUGAAUUUUACAAAAUUCAAGUUUGGAUGAAUUUAAUUCAAUGUUGUGUGAUGGUUGGUUGGACAUACCCUGUGCUUGUCAUUCAUCCGAUCUUCUUGCUCCAAUCCUGGAAAGGUUAGUGACAAGAAUACCCAAAGGAAUAUUUCUACAAUUAUCUUUAUAUGCUCAAUACACACGGCAAUGUUGCAAAUAAUUAGAAGUUCAUGUUAUGAUCUGAUAAGUGUUUGUUUUAGGACACUAAGCUUGUUCUUGGGAAACCAUCAAGUUAUGUUGGUGAAGUGGUUUCCCCUCCAACACCUACCUAUAUCAAGAUCAACUCAACGAGAUCUGCAAUAUUUAUUAUAGACAUAUGCAUCGACAACCGCCCUUUUAAAGUUUUUAUAAAUGAAGAGGAAGAGGGGGUUGGAGAUCUCAAAUGUGGUAAGGAUGGAGAGACAAAUUGAUUGGAGAGAUGUUUUAUAUGAGCAAGGACUGGGUGAGGUAUUUAUGAAAUAACUUCCAUACUUACUGUUGUUUCUCUCAUUCUUAAACUCCAAGGAUGAUUCUUCAUGAACGCUUAAAAUUCCUCUAGGAUUGUCUCUUAAGUUUGUUUUAUCUAUCCAUUCAAUGGUGAUAGCACAUGGAUUUUUAAUGCCCUCUAGCCAUUGAUGUUGCUCUUCUCGAUCGUCCUUCUUAUGCAUGGGAUGUAUAGAGAGAUUCAUAGGAUUAUCGGGAGGUUCAAGAGAAAAAGCAUAGUAGAAAUUAUUAAGCUCAAGGAUGGGUUGGAUAGCCGAAUUAUGGGAUUGAAAUGUUUGGAAAUCGGCUAUUAAAACUUCCUCUCCUUGUAUGGGAGAUGAUUCCUUCUCUAUCUCUAAGAUUUUUCUAUGAAGACUAGUGCAAGAAGGAUGUCUACGAAUGAAGACAUACCUUCCUUUACUAAUAGAUAAAGAAAGAAAGACUCUACCAAAGGUUAUAUGAUUAAGACCAAUGUGAAAAUAUCUAGGAAAAACAUGGUCUUGUAGGGCUAGAUCUAAACCAGAAUUUAUAGAAAAAUUAAAAGAUUCCCUAGGUGUAGCUAAAAGUGCAUUAUCUUUUUGAUUAAAAGAUAGGACCUCAGCUAUAGAAAAGGGUUGGUUUUAACCUAUUGCAAUCAACUCCGGACACAAAUCAUAAUUAGGGGCAGGACGUGUUGACUCCCAUGGUCUAUGGCUGGUCUCCAAAGGUGCAAAGAAUUUAAUAAUAGGUAUGGAUUUUGAGUUAUCCAUAAAAAUAUAAAUAAAAAGAUAAAAGAAUAAAAGUAUAAAAGUAUAAUACAAGAUAAUAGCAAGACUCAAAGUUAUCUCAGCAAACCGUCUUUCUCCCCAGCAACGGCGCCAGAAAUGCUUGUUGAUAUUUGGUAACGCAAUAAGGAAAUGAUCCGCAAGCGCACGGAUAUCGGUGAGCAUUUCACCCGGGAGAUUAUCUAGAGUUAUCGUAUUUAUAUUUUUACCACUGGGAGAAAGGGUGCAUCUGACUAACCAAAUCUAUUGCUACUAUCCCUUUAGGCUACAAAGAAUGUCUCUCGAUGUGUGAUAAAUAGAGAAGACUGCAACUGUAGUCUCCUUCUAACCUUGGUAAGGAUAAUCUACUGUUCUAAUGGGGAGGCUAACGGAAUCUAGACACCACAAAGGAUGUUCAACCCGCACCUAUAAACCCUAUCCUUCCUGCUAACGAGAUGUGAUCUGCAAAGGUAACUCGGAAUUGUCACGUUCCUCACUACUACCACGGUCCAGCUAGUCAGGGAAUAUCUAUGAGUACCGCAGCCUAAACACCACGUUUACGCCAGCAAUGAUUACUCUAAACUCUACGCGAAGAGAUUAAAGUAAACUCAUAAACCAUAAGAACAAUAAAACAAGAACUUACUAGAAUUUAGAAGUCGAAAUACUGAAGAAUCCUAGGAGCAAGCUUCGGGUUAGGAGAACUUGAUCCCGCAGGUACAAGCUUGGAGUAGACACCGACAGGCCGGGCUUCCUCCAAUCUACACCUCCACUCUAUCUCUCUCAAUCUAGUAGAAACUAGAAGAUCUAUUUCUACCUUACAUUGGUUGCUAAGCCUAAAAAUAAAUAUUAAUUAGAGAAGAGGUUUUCCUUCGAGGGCACCCCUCAAUCUCUAUGAUAAUUUCUUGUUCUCCUCCAGGGGCUAGGGGCCUUGCUUAUAUAGUCCUCCUCCUCUGUGUGUUUUUGGUUCAGCAGGCGAUGUGGUACUAAACUUUGCACCCUAUCUCAUUAAAAUGCACAUAGACCUUAAUGGACCAAAAUCUGAUUUGGGCCCAAUUAAUCCUGCAACUCUUUUAUGUGGAGUCCUUCUUUUAUUAAUAUCUAUUGAUUCCGAACUCCAAAUAUAACAAAUAAUAUAUGCAUUUCGAUCAGCUCGACGAGAUCUUUGCAAUGGUGGACUCCAUUCUGUGAUUGGUGGAAACACCUGGGCGGGCGCCCAAGGGGGGUGGGCGGGCGCCCUGCCCCCGGGCCCGUUUGCCUUCUCGUUCGUUCCCGUGGCUUCUGGAGUCUUCUAGAUGAUAGAAAAUUACGCGGUGCGUUGAUAUCUCUAUGUAAUCCCGACAUGUGGGGCUGUCUUCUGUAUUUCCUAAUAACCCCCUGCAGAAAUAGACAAACACCAAAACUCGUGGAAUUCUGUCAGAUAAAACCCUAAGUCUAGAUGUUGCUUUCAUUUGGAUCCUUUUCUUUGUUUAUUUGAUAAUUAAAUUUGAUACUUAAGGACCGUCAACACGCAGGUAGGCCAUCUAUGCCUCGUGCCGGCAACGACUUGCAUCCUCAGGGUCGAUGAAUCUCUGCUAGGUCUGCUGAUGCCAUUGGGUAGCAGUCUGGAUGUGGGCAUUCAGCGUACCUUGGAUCUGCCUGUUUUGGAGCUCCAGUCAUCCCAUGCGAGUGUUGAGGACGUCCAGUGUGACCUGAGGUCGAACAGGGGUGGCAUUCCCUCAGAAUCUGAGGAGUGUCCUGUCUCAUGAUGCCUGGAUCCCCCUGCCCCAUAUGCCUCUGGCUCGCUUGGGGCUUUGCCUCCCUAGCCUGCCAGCUCGACCCUCCUGCCUACUAGCUCGAACCUCUAGCCUCGUAGGGGUGAGGAACGUAUGCCAUACCAUAUCCAUACCAAGGGGUAAAUCCAGGUGCAGGUAUAGCAGGGGUCCAUCCCAUCCCUAACAUAGCUGGUGGUGGAGUGUGUUGUGCUGGCUGUGCGGAUGGUGCUGGCUGUGUUGCCCUUGCUGCUUGUGCUGCUUGCUCUUCUUAUUCCCUCCUCCAUGAGUUCCUGCGUGAAACAGAGCUCCUGCGUCCUCCUUCCCUCUCAAUGAGGGUGAAGGUGAGUGAUGGGGAAUUAUACAGAGCGAGAUCUGGGUUAGGUAACUAGAUCUCGUUUGUAUAUCCCGAAAAUAGUAUAAAAUCUUUUUACCUAUUUUGUCGCGUUUAAUCACACGUGCAUGCGAAAGAUAUUGUCGAUGUUUCUCCCCCGGGUGUCACACCAACUAGUAAAUUUGUAUGCGUGCUCCCUUUUCUAGAUGUUGAUGCAAAAAGACACAAAGAUUUAUCCUGGUUCGGGCAAGAGAAGGUCCUACGUCCAGCGGGUGAGGAGAGUUUGUAUUAUCUUGCACCUAACUGCUUGUACAGGGGUGAAUACAAGCGUGUAUGAACUGGGAUGGAGUAUGGAAGCUCUACUACGUGUGAGUGUUGUAUCGCAUGUCCUGUAUCCGCUCCCGGGCCUCCCCUUUUAUAGUUCCAAGGAGAGACCUAGGGUACAUGUAUAGGCGUCAGAGUAGGGGUCGAUAGAGGCAUAGCGCGGUGACCUACUCGAGGCCUCCGUACCGGCGUGGUUUCGAGCCAUCUUGUCUCAGUAGCUUGAUGAUGAUUAUGCAUGCCCCGGUUUCUUGCUCUGCGCACCGUCCUGGGCUGGCUUAUUUGUUGCAUGCUUGUACGUCAUGGCGGCAGAUAUGUCGGAGCGGUUGUAGUAUUGUCGUUCGACGCCCAACCCUUCCCCUGGAAGGAAACAUGUCUGGUCGAGGGUCAGACGCCGUGUAACGCCUUGGUAGCCAGAGCGCUGACCUUGGGCGUCUCGAGGGGGUCUUGAUUAGACGUUCCGGCCCCGCUUCCUGUGUCCUGACAUGCUCUAGAUUGUUUGGUGGGGAAGGCUGCAAAAAGAAUGAUGGGACGAGUGCCUGUUCCCUAUCACGCUUCCCGUGACUGGCGUGUUAGGUGAGAACACGAGAGGCGCAUUAAAUACCGUUGUUCCCGUGCCCGCGUCAGGUGGCGGGCGGCGUCCUUUGCGCUCGACGCCUUCCGAUUCGCUCGAGCCUGUUUCCAUAUUUGACGGUAGCCGGCGCUCGAGCCCUAAUCGAUUCGCUCGACGCCCUUUCCGUCUUCGAGGCUGCGGUCGUCGAUGACCGUACGUGUGACUAGGUAGAGCGUCGAGUUAGAGGCCUUGACUUGCGUACGGGCAAUCUCUUCAUGUACAUCAGUUAGGGUACCCCUUACUAAUAUCCUCGACAGUAGCCCCCGAGUCUCCAUUUGAGCGAUGGCGCUUGAGUGGAGGCUAUAUUUUGCGGUUGAGUUUCCGUGGGGGCGCGCGAGCAACCCCGCGGGGGUAGCCCCCGAGUCCUUGGAGGAGUUUUGGACUCCUUCGAGGAUUAUAAUGCCUAAUUUGCAGAAACGCUGUCGACACCUGUGGUGGAAGGUUCUGAUUGGCUCGUUUUGCGUAGGGGUUUCGACGUACUCUCGAUAGAGCGAGCGUCAUCCACCCUAGAUUGAGCUCCUAACAGGUAGUCCAAGUGAGAACCUGUGCCCCUUUCGAGGGGGUCAGAUGUAGCCCGGAGGCGUUCUCAUAAAGGGGGGUCGACGUGGUCGGGGAUGCUGGUCUCGUUUGAUAGAGUCCAGUGGCUCAAUGCCUCCCGUCGGGGGGAUUCCUCUUGACUGUCUCGACCCUACCUUGGACAUCCCCAGCGAGUUCUCGAGGUGGGCCUCGAUUUUUGACCACUCGCCGGGCAUCCCUGACUCUGGUGCUCGAGAUCGGCUGUCGAACGCUUUCGGCGGGUCAGCCUGCGACCUCUCGAGACUUUCAUGGGUACGUACCUUGGCUUACAAGGGAAGGAAGAGGCCGUGGAGGUUCACCUUUUUGCCCAUUGGGCGCGUCUUUUCAGGUGGGAGCCGUUGCAACACUGUAUCGGCGCAGAAUUUGUAGCGUCCCGUCUCUGAGGAGGAAAAAGACCGUUAGGCGGCGCAUUUAUGGGGGGAGUUACCGUGUUUAUCGGAUCUGCCCGUUGGUGGGUCUCUGCCUAUAAAUAUCCCAUGGCCUGGUUGCCGUUGUCCCUUCCACCUUCUGCCUCCAUUCUUGCCUUAGCUCCCUUGCCAUCUCACGCGCGCGCACCCUCAAGUAGCAGCGAAUCCGCCUUCCUUCCACCCAAAGAUGCCUGUGAAGCUCGUCGCCGCCGACGACUGGCGCCCGUCAUCGAUGACAGAGCACCGACUACUGGAGCUCGAGAGGGAGGGGCUUCUGUGCCCCCGCACUUCAUCGUCGCGGCCGGAGUGGAUUGCGCCGGCGGCAGACCACCGGGAGACCAGGCCACCCACGGGCUAUGUGGUCUCUUUCGCCAAGUUCCACCGCCACGGCCUGGGCGCUCCUCCGAGUCGCUUCAUGCGGGCGCUCUGCCACCAUUACGGGGUGGAGCUCCAGCACUUCUCCCCAAAUGCCAUCAUCGUCGCGGCGGUCUUCGCCGCGGUGUGUGAGGGCUACUUGGGGAUGAUGCCCCGCUGGGACCUGUGGCUCCACCACUACAGGAGCGAGAUCUUCAACGCCCCCACUAGGACCACAGGCGUGAGGAAGCCCGUACGGGCGGGGUGCCUCAAUCUGGUGUUGAAGACCGGCAAGAUGGAGAGGCCGCGCGAGUACAUCCCAGUGGGAUUGCAAUCGAAUCACGCUGGAUCGGACUCCCAGUGGUUCUACUUGCGGAACGACGACGGCCUCCUUCCUGCCUACACCGGCCGCCUGAUCAUGGAGCGCCCGGAGAACUGGACGUACGGCGUCGUCCAAGUUCACCAGUCGCGGCUCGACCCCCUCCUCGAUGCCUUGAAGAAAUUACGAGUGGAAGGCCUGACCGCCGCUCUCGUCCUCUCGGCCGUCCAUCAUCGGAGAGUUCUCCCGUUGAUGUCUCGACCGCUGAGGAUGGACGAGAUGGGUCCCGGCGUUUCGUCCCGAGAUCUCGAGGCGUGCCGGAUGUCCAACGAGGCUCCAGCGGACGAUGAGGUCGCGGCCCGGGUCAGGGCGGCCGUCGCUGGUGACUUCCAGCCGGAGCAUGUUAACGGCUUUCCUAUGAGGCCCGACGUGGGGUAAACCGAUCUAGUAAGUUCUUUUCUUACGUAUGGCUUCGAUUCUGAAUUUUCUUCGAUCCCUCUUUAAGCUUGUCUUCGCUCUCGCAGGGACCGAUCGACGUUCGGUCCUCGAGGCCUCCAGUAAAGGAGGACGAGGUCGAUCGCGACAAGCGGCGCCAGUCCGCAGAAAAGCAGAAGUCUGCAAAGGACUCAGAAAAGAAAGAGAAGAAGAAGAAGAAUCUCGACCGCCAAGCGUUAGAGGCGCGUCGAGCAAAGUCCAGGCAAAGUGUGGAGCCUGAAGAAGAGUCUCCCAGUGAAGAUGAUGGUGGCGAUGGCGACGACGACAGCGACGACUCUAAGGGGAUGGCGUCUCACCUCGACCAGAUCCUCGAAGGCCCGCCUCGAGGCGACGUCGACGCCCCGUGGACGGGAGCGCCAAAAGAGGGGUCAAGCGGUUCUCACCGCUCCCGUGCUGACACCCCUCCCGCGCCUGCGCAAAGUCGGGCCGUCCCGCGCCCCCAACCUCCCCCUGCGCCAAAGGCAGGCGGCCGGGCUAAGUCCUAGGCGACGGGGCCGUUGACCCGUAGCCGUGCCGCGGCCUCCGGCAAGGGGGAAACCGGCCGCAGGAGCGCUAGCCCUGGCGCUCGCCAGGUGGGAGAAGCUGAACCGAGGCCUGCGCCCGUUCAUGAGGGGCCUGGAGCCUCAACACGGGGCGGCUCGAGGCCUGCCGGUCGAGGCACCGGCAGGCGGGCCAUUCUCCCUGUGGGGUAAAGCUUUCGACGCUAUGAUUCCCAUCUUCUUGUUUCUCUAUGUCUUCUCGUGUAACGGCCUUUCUCAUGUCCGUUCUUCUUUCUUUAGGUUGAAGCGGACGCUCGAGCAGGCCCAGCUCUCGAUGGCUAAGAGGCUCAAGGCGGGAGCCACCUCCAAAGAUUUAGGUUAGCGGCUCAUUCCCGUCGUUAUGGGACUUGUGUAGUUCUUACGUCGGUCAUCGCGGUGACUGAUCUUUGCUUUUGUGUGUCUUAUAGGCUCCUCCAACCCUCGACCGCCGAUCGGUGCUGAGAGCGCCCCGCCCCGUCCCCUGGCGGGUGAGUCUGCCCCAUCGUCGCCAAAGCGGGUCGAGGGCCGCACCCCCAAGGGCAGGAGGGAGCCCCCGAGCCUCCCCGAUCGGGGGCUGAGGCAGAUCCUAUCACUAUAAGUGACGGGUCUGGCGGCAAUGGGUCUCCGAGGGACGCCCGCCCUAUUGACGAGGAGGUUGAGGCCUCUCCCACCGCGAGACGGACGCCUUGGCCCAUCGGGCUCCACUCUAUCGAAGAGCAGAGGAAGAAAGAGGAAAAAGAGCGUGAGCAGAAGACGCUCCAACAGCCGCAGGAGGAACAGCAGCUGCAGCCGAAAGGAGGAGAGGAGGGGCAGCCGUCAGCAGGUCCCUAGCUCGAGGAGCUGCUGGAGCAGGGCCAUCGCCAGGAGCCGCAGGAGCCCUAGGAGCAGCAGCAGUAGAAGGGCCAGCAGUUGGAGGAAUUGCUUGAGCCUCCACCUCACAGUCUGCCCCAACCAGUACCACCGGCGCCGCAAGAGCCCGGGAACUAGGAGGAGGGUCUGCCAGUUUUCGGUCCUCCAACCCCGGCGUGGCUCCAUCCAGGGGCGCCCGCCUCGAUCCUAGCAGAGUCGGGGCGGGCGGAUGGUGUGGUCGCGCUCACCUGUAUGAUGCGCACCCCCGUUGACCCCCAAUCCGAGAUCAGGCGCACGAUCUACGGCAUGGACAGAAUCGCUCUGGGAUUCCUUCGAGAGCGUCGGUCGUGGGAGGACCGUGUUCCUACUGAGGAGGACGAGGCUGGAACGUCAGGUGGUGGUGGAGGCAGCGAGACCGGGACCUGGAAGACGGUGGACGACGACGGGCGGUUCCCCUCCCUCGUCGACUUGUUCCUGCAUCACGGGGGGUCGCUCGAGACCGUCGAGGAGCUCAUCCGAGGCGUCAAGGCACGUGCCGACCAGGAGAUGGAGAACUGGUGCCCCGAUCGGAUACACAUCCGGGCUUCCACCGAUCCGUUUGGACCCAACAUCUUCCUAGACGACCGCAAGGAGGCUGAAAAGUGGGAGCCCGUCGAGGAGCUCUGCCUUUGGAUGAAGCACAUGGUGGGGCUUCUGUCCGACAUUGUUAACAACGGGCUCGGACCGGCCUACAUUGUAAGUAUUUUUCAGUCCUUAAUCCUUAUAGAACGUUUGAUUUUGUAUUCUAACUGCUCGAUUGCUGGCUCGCAGGACCUAAAAGAGACUUCCCGCAUCAAGUCGAGCUUCAUCCAUGCCACGAGAGGCGGCUGGGAGCAGCUCCCCAUCCUCAAGGACAAACUCCUGGAGUCGCAGGAGAAGCACCUCAAGGCCUACAAGGAGCUUUUGGCGCUUGAGGAGGAGAAGAAGGAGAGGGAGGCUGCUCUGGCUGAGGCUCGAGAGGCCUCAAAGAAAGCUAUGGAAGAGGCUACGCUCCUGAGGGAGCGGGCCAUGACGGUCGAGGAAGCCGCGUCCAAGGCCCGGGAGGAGGCCUUGUCUUAUAAGAACACCGUCGCUGACCUGGACAAGGAGAAGGGCCUCCUCCAGACUGAACUCGUUUCCGCCCGAGAAACUUUUCAAAGGAUGAAGGUGGAGUGCGUGAAUGGCGAGAUCGCCCGUAGCGCUGCGGAGGAGGCUAAAUAGAAGGCUCUCGAGGAUCUCGAGGCGGAGCGGGCUCGAUCCCACAGCCUUUCUGAUGACGUCGAUCGUGUGAAGAGGGCGCUACAGGAGAAGGAAGGAGCCAUCGCGCAGGCUAGUAAGGUGAUCGAGGACCUGCGCGUCACCAACACCGAGCUGGUGCGCUCCAACAAGGAGAUUGAGAGAGCCAAUACCAAGUUGGUUGGCGAUAAUACGGCUAUGGAGGAGAGUAUUCACGGUACGUUUCUAUCGUCGAGUUUUCUUUUCGAGGUGUGCUUGCUGUUAGCUAAUUUAUUCGUGUUGGUCUUUGCAGGGCUUAAAGACGAGCUGUUGGCCGCCCAAGUCGAGGCCCGUUCCGCCCAAACUCAGCUUGAGGGGGAGGUCGCUUUGAAUGGUCGGCUACGGACCGCAAUAAGUGACCUCUCGGCCUCCUAGGAGCUCGAGCCUACUGACGAGUCGAGGGAGGAGGCUCGAGGCGAUGCACUGGUAGACCAGCUAUGCUACCUAGGCGCAACGCUGAAGGAUCGAGUGUGGGACGCUCUUCAUGUCAGAGUGAACCGGGCGAUGGCGGUAGUCUGCUCAGGCUUUUCUUACGACAUGGAGGUGGUGUCCCACGACUUCGUCACCGACAUCUCCAAGACUGACGUGGAGAACGAAGAGAGGCUCCACGCCUUGAUCGAUGACACAGAAGUUCCUGGGGAGAGGUUGGCCAAGCUAUUCGAGCCGGAAGUACUUCCCCCUGAGACUAGCUCAGGCGCGGGUGAUGGCGGUGAGGGCCGAGAUGCGGACUGAGGCCUGUGAGCCUGCUCCGGGUGCCAAGGCCCCUUGUAUAGUACUUUACUAAUCUGUCUUAAGUAUGCUGUGUUUUGAAGUGGUUGUGAAUAUUUCUGUUAAUGUUUAUCUGUCUUUCCGCUCGAGGUACCUUUGUUUCUUUUUGCGCCUAUGUUUGUAUUCCUCGGUUGGUCUUUUGUUUAAGGCGAUCUCGAUUGCCUCAAGGGUGAGGAAGCGAGUAGAGUUUCCGUAGCCCGGAGGCGUAGGAGUCCUCAGGCUCGUCAUUCCUCGGCCCUUAAGGGGCUCGAGGUGCCUCCACUACUCGACCGCGUGAGAUUUACUGAUAAGAACGAGAGAAUUUCUUGGUUUUUUCGAUAUUUGGGGGGGGGGGGAACUCCCCUGCUAGCCCCCGAGGGGGUAUCGACUAUGAUGGGUCAUAGUUGGUACUCCCUUCUAACGUUGAAAUUUCGACCAUCGGAAAAGAGGUAAAUUACUCGAGGGAAAGAUCUUUUUCAUUCAUGCGUUCAUUCAUAAGGCCUUGGUACAGAAUGUCCAUUGGAACAUAAAGCUUUGAAAUUCUAGGGGUAGAAUCGAUGUAGCUGUUCGAUGUUCCAUGCGUUGGUGAAGAUUGCCCCUUUUUCGUCCGCUAGCUUGUAUGUCCCCGGCUUCAAGACCUCGGCCACUACGUAUGGGCCCUCCCAAGGUGGAGUCAGCUUGUAGCGUCCUUGAUUGCUUUGCGGCCGCCGUAGGACGAGGUCGCCCACGUUCAGAUCUCUCUUGUGCACGUCCUUGUCGUGGUAGCGUCGAAGCUUCUGUUGGUAUCUGGCGGAGUUGAGGAGGGCCAUGUCUCGAGCUUCCUCGAGUUGGUCGACCGCAUUCUCUCGAGUGUCUUUAUUUGAUUGCUCGUUGUAUGCUUUGAGUCGAGGGGACCCAUAUUCGAGGUCCGUCAGGAGCACAGCCUUAGAGCCAUAGACCAUAAAGAAUGGGGUGUAUUUUGUGGCCCUGCUUGGCGUCGUUCUUAAGCUCCAUAGGACCGAAGAAAGCUCCUCGAUCCAUUUCUUGCCGAAUUUCUUCAAGCGGUUGUAGAUCCUUGGUUUGAGCCCCUGCAAAAUCAUGCCGUUGGCACGCUCGACCUGGCUGUUAGUUGGAGGGUGGGCCACUGCAGACCAGUUCACACGGAUGUGAUGCCGAUGGCAGAAGUCCAAGAACUUUUUGUCGGUGAACUGGGUGCCGUUGUCGGUGAUGAUGACGUUGGGAAUCCCAAACCGGUGGAUGAUGUCGGUGAAGAAAAGGACGGCCUGCUCGGAGCGGAUGUUGGUGAUGGGUCGAGCCUCGAUCCAUUUGCAGAAUUUGUCAAUGGCCACCAACAAAUGUGUGUACCCCCCUUUUGCCUUCUGUAGAGUCCUACUAAGUCGAGCCCCCACACCGCAAACAGCCACGUGAUGGGGAUCAUCUGGAGAGCGUGGGCGGGCAGAUGCGUCUGUUUGGCGUAGAAUUGGCACCCAUGGCACGAGCGCACGAGCUCGAUGGCAUCUGCUACGGCCGUUGGCCAGUAGAAGCCUUGUCGGAAGGCGUUCCCUACGAGGGUCCGUGGAUCAGCAUGGUGGCCACAAGCCCCCGAGUGUAGAUCCUCGAGGAGUUUUCAGCCUUCUUCUAUGGUGAUGCAACGCUGCAAGAUCCCUGUUGGGCUUCAUCGGUAUAGCUCAUUGCCCCCGCCAUAGAUCACAUACGAUUUGGCUCUCCGAGCAAUACGGCGGGCCCCGGAUCGAUCUUCUGGUAGCUCACAGCGGAUUAGGCAGUCGAGGAAUGGCGUGCACCAGUCAAACGGUCGACUGGGCCGCUGUUCCACUUCCAUUACCUCGGCUGCCAUUAGUAGUGCUUCGACGGUAUCGGUUUGCUGGGCAGGAGCGGUUUCGACACCAGCCCCCGAGCCCAAGUCGACGGAUGGCUCGUGUAGAUCUCUCGAGAACGCGUCAGGUGGGACCGUGCCUCGAGUCGACGCGAUCUUAGCGAGUUCGUCGGCCGCCUCGUUGUAGCGUCGGGCGAUGUGGACGAGCUCGAGGCCAUGGAACUUGUCCACGAGUCGACGGACCUCCUUGCAGUACGCCUCCAUUUUCUGGUCGUGGCAGUUUGAGGUCUUCAUCACUUGGUCGAUGAUGAGCUGGGAGUCGCCUCGAAUGUCGAGGCGUCGGACUCCUAGCUCGAUGGCGAUCUUCAGACCGUUGACAAGGGCCUCAUACUCCGCGAUGUUGUUGGAUGCAGCAAAAUGAAUCCUGAUGACAUACCUCAUAUGAACGCGCAGGGGCGAGAUGAAUAGCAGGCCCGCCCCAGCUCCCGUCUUCAUGAGAGACCCAUCGAAAUACAUCGUCCACAGCUCUAACUGAACCUAAGCCGUGGGGAGCUGGGAGUCUGUCCAUUCCGCGACGAAAUCCACCAGGGCUUGCGACUUGAUAGCUUUACGGGGCGCAUAAGUGAGGGUCUCACUCAUGAACUCGACCGACCACUUGGCGAUUCUUCCCGUGGCCUCCCGACUUUGGAUGAUCUCUCCCAAGGGGAAAUACGAGACCACCGUGAUAGGGUGGCCGAGGAAGUAGUGUUGCAGCUUGCGUCGGGCGAGGAUUACGGCGUAGAUUAGCUUCUGGAUUUGUGGGUAACGCGCCUUGGUCUCCGAGAGCACCUCGCUGAUAAAAUAGACCGGCCUCUAGACUGGCAGCGCAUGCCCCUCCUCCUGCCUCUCGACCACUACCGCUGCACUGAUGACCUGGGUCGUCGAGGCUACGUAUAGAAGCAGAGGUUCUGCGGGUCGAGGCGGGACUAGGACUGGUGCAGAGGUUAGCAUUUUCUUCAAGUUAUCGAGGGCUUCCUCGGCCUCUGGGGUCCAAGAGAAACGCUUGACUUUCUUCAGAAGUCGAUACAGUGGCAAUGCCUUUUCUCCCAACCUCGAGAUAAAACGACUCAGUGCCGCUAAGCAUCCGGUGACUCUCUGCACGCCUUUGACGUCUUGGAUUGGCCCCAUUCUCAUGAUUGGCCGAGACUUUCUCGGGGUUGACCUCGAUGCCGCGCUGGGAAACGAUGUAACCCAGGAGCAUGCCUCAAGGUACACCGAAAACGCACUUCUCGGGGUUGAGCUUGAUCUGGUUGGCGCGUAAGCAGCUGAAAGCGAUCUCGAGGUCUUGGAUCAGGUCUCCCCGUCACAUUGACUUGACGACGAUGUCAUCGACAUAGGCCUCGACCGUCGACCCUAUGUGCUUGCCAAACACGUGGAGCAUGCAGCGCUGAUAUGUAGCUCCCACGUUUCGAAGCCCGAAUGGCAUGGUUACAUAACAAUACAUUCCAAAAGGUGUGAUGAAAGAUGUCGUGAGCUGGUCAGACUCUUUCAUUUUUAUUUGAUGGUAACCAGGAUAUGCAUCAAGGAAAGAAAGGGUUUCACAUCCCGCAGUAGAAUCAACAAUUUGAUCAAUACGUGGUAAUGGAAAAGGAACUUUCGGACAUGCUUUAUUUAAACUUGUAUAAUCGACACACAUCCUCAUUUUCCCAUUCUUUUUCUUAACUAGUACAGGGUUUGCUAACCAGUCGGGAUGGUGAACCUCCUUGAUGAAUCCGGCUGUCAAAAGCUUGUGGAUCUCCUCACCAAUGAUCUUGCACUUUUCCUCGUCGAAUCAGCGCAACCAUUGCUUCACUGGCUUGGAACCGGCUCGAAUUUCCAAGGAGUGCUCAGCGACUUCCCUCGGUAUGCCCGGCAUGUCCGAGGGACUCCACGCAAACAUGUCGGUGUUUGCACGGAGAAAGUCGACGAGCACAGCUUCCUAUUUGGGGUCGAGGUCGGCGCUGAUCGUCAGCGCCUUGUCGUCGGUGUUGUUGGAGUCGAGCGGGAUCUUCUUGGUUCCUUCCGCCGGCUCGAAGCUGCCCGCGUGGCGCUUGGGCUCUGGAGCCUCAGCGGCUAGGGCUUCGAGCUUCGAGGCGAGCUCGGCGGAACUCUCGACUGCUUCCCCAUACUCGACGCAUUCAACAUCGCAUUCGUACGCGUGCUCGUAGGAGGAGCUGACGGUGAUGACGCCCUUGGGCCCGGGCAUCUUUAGCUUCAGGUACGUGUAGUUGGGAAUUGCCAUGAAUUUGGCGUAUCCCGGGCGACCGAUCAUGGCGUGGUACGUGCCUCGGAACCCCACCAACUCAAAGGUGAGGGUCUCCUUUCUGAAAUUGGCCGCCGUGCUGAAACAGACCGGUAGGUCGAUUCGACCUACCGGCAGCGCCUUCUUUCCACGCACGACGCCAUGGAAUCCGCCGGCGCUUGGCUAGAGCUGCGCCCUAUUGAUGCCGAGAAGGUUGAGGGUCUCGAGGUAGAUGAUGUUCAGGGUGCUGCCACCAUCCAUCAGCACCUUUGAUAGUCUGGCGUUGACGAUGAUGGGGUCGACGACGAGCGGGUAGACGCUGGGGGCGACUACCUUGUCGGGGUGGUCUUCUCGAUCAAAGGUGAUGGGGGUGCUCGACCAGCUGAGGUACUGGGGCACCGCCAUCCUUGCCGCAAAGACUUCACGGUGUUCCCUCUUGCGUUGCCUUGCGGUCAGCUGUGUCGAGGGUCCUCCUUAGAUCAUGUAGCAGUCGUGGACGGCAGGGAAACCGUCGUCGUCUUUGUCGUCCCCUUUGUCGCCAUUCUUCUCUUUCUUCGGGUCAUCACGGGCGUCCUUCUUGACACCCAGGCCGUCGAAGUGCUUUUUCAGCAUACGAUAGUCCUCGAGCUUGUGGUUUGCCCCUCCCUUGUGGUAAGGGCAUGGCUCCUUUAGCAUCUUGUCGAAGAUAGCCUCUUCUAGGGGCCCUCGAGGCCGUUUGCGCUCCAUGGCAGCGACGAGAUCGUCGUUGAGGUCCUCCCGGUGGAAUGGUUGGGCUUUCUUCUUCUUUUUGCUCUUCUUGGGUCCUCGACUAGGGCCCUCAUCAUCAUCGGCGGGCGGCUUGCCUUUCCUUCCUUCACAGCUAAAGAAGGCGCCGACCGAUUCUUCCCCUGCAGCGUAGUUUGCCACUACGUCCAUCAGCUCGUCGACGGUCUGAGGGUGAUUCUGGCCUAAUUCUCGCACCAAGUCUCGACUGGUGGUACCAGAGACAAAGGCCAGGAUGACGUCGUGAUCGGGGAUGUGUGGCAGCUCGGUGCGCUACUUCGAGAAGCGUCGAGCGUACUCUCGGAGAGUUUCUCCCAACUUCUGCUUGCAUUUGCUGAGGUCCCACAAGUUGCCGGGUCGUAUGUAGGUUCCCUUGAAGUUGCCCUCGAACACUCUAACCAAAUCGACCCAUUCGUGGAUGUGGUUGGCCGGGAGCUCCUCGAGCCAUCUACGUGCGGUGUCAGAGAGGAAGAGCGGCAGCUGUCUGAUGAUAGCUCGAUCGUCCCCUCGAGCGCCUCCUAGCUGACAGGCCAGCCUGAAAUCUGCCAGCCAUAGCUCUGGCUUGGUCUCGCUGUUGUACUUUGCAAUGCUGGUCAGGGGUCGGAACGGGCUGGGCAGCGGCGUGCUGCGGAUUGCCCUGCUGAACACCCGCGGCCCUGGUGGCUCUGGGGCCAUCCGGUCCUCAUCGCUGUCAUAACUCCCGCCGCAAUGGGCGCUGUAACCGCGUUCUUCCGCGUCCCCAUACCGACGGCAACGAUUCUCAUCGAUGUCGCGUCGUGCGUCGUGUCGUCGUUGGUUGUCGACGGGGAGGACGAGCGUGGUCUUUUUCCCUCGAGGGGGCGGCUGCUGAUGGACUGAUACCUCCUUUUCAUUCUGGGAUGGCUCAUCAUGCUUUUCUGUAGCCGCCCCUCGACAUCGGGAGGCCGAGCUCUCUGCUUGCUGAACUGCCGCCACGUGGAGCAGAGUCUGCACCUCGUCUCGGAUGCGUCGUGCUUGGGAGUUUGAGGGCUCGGGCAUGUUACAUAACAGCAUCGUUGCUGCCACAACGUUCUGGCCUGCUCGAGGGAAGCGGCUGACAGGUUGUUCUGGCUCCCCGUCCCCGACGAUCUGUCGAUGCACCUCUCGAGCCCUUCUGCGGACACUUCCGCCAGGCGGGUAAGGCAGGUCCUGCUCAAGGAUCUGCUCGAGCAGGACAAGGCGCUCACGAUCUUCGUCAAGUUUUGUCUUGAGCUCUCACAGCUGCGCAAGUUGCGUGGCUCUGUCUUCUUGCGGUGGUGGGUCGACCUGUUCGUCAUUCCCAGGCGUCCUGGGGUCUUCCCUUGCUGUGGGGGCUCGACCGCCAGCAGCGGCAUCCUGCGUCUCAUCAGUAGUUUCUAACGCCCCGUUGAUAUCAUAGCAUACCCUAGUAGGGUCAUAGCUGUCGGUCUCAGAGUCGGAGUCCGGUUCGGCGGCGUAGAAACAUCCAUGUCCCUCCUAAAGUAGCCGCUGCCUGAGCGAGGUGAUCGUGUAUCGCCCAGGGCCUAGGCGACGGAGGCCUCGUACCUGGGAGAAAUCCAGCAGCUCGGACGUCGGUCGCUGUGCUCCAGGGUCGCGUGGGAGGACCAUUGGUCUCUCCAUGUACGUUUGGGCGUUUGGACAUAUUGCCCUGGCGAGUGACGCCGCGGCAUUGUCCAAACCGAAUGGCAACGCUCUUCUUGGGGCGAACAGCCCAUGUGGAAGUAACCUAGCGGUGGGGGAGAGCGCGCGGGGCGCGUCAUCUCCUGUCGUAGUGCGAUCCUCGUGGCGCUGAGCCGUUAUGCCCACGGUUCCGGCGCGCGGUGCUGUCGGCUCCUGUGUCACCUCCUGCCUGGCACGAACUGCCGGUCGUGACGAGGUAGAAGGGCGAUGGUGGUGCUGUCCAUGCCACUUAUUGGGCGGGGAGGCGUGAUGGCGAGGACGUCUCAGGGCCCUCCACCGUGCUGGCGCAACGCGGGCUCCUCCCGAUCCUUUGAUCGAGAGCAAGAUCAUGUCAUAGCGGAGCCAGUAGACAUGAACUCGAUACUCCCAAACCAAAUCACCGUGGAGCGUGGAAUCGGCGAAGUGAGAGUGGCCAUCUGGAAAGGAAUGGGGAAUCGAUUGAAAAAACACGCAAGACCCCUACGUGGCGCGCCAACUGUCGGUGUUUUUCCCCCGGUGGUCACACCAACUAGUAAAUUUGUAUGCGUGCUCCCUUUUCCAGAUGGUGAUGCAAAAAGACACAAAGAUUUAUCUUGGUUCGGGCAAGAGAAGGCCCUACGUCCAGCAGGGGAGGAGAGUUUGUAUUAUCUUGCACCUAAGUGCUUGUAUAGGGGUGAAUACAAGCGUGUAUGAACUGGGAUGGAGUAUGGAAGCUCUACUACGUGUGAGUGUUGUAUCACAUGUCCUGUAUCCGCUCCCGGGCCUCCCCUUUUAUAGUUCCAAGGAGAGACCUAGGGUACAUGUAUAGGCGUCAGAGUAGGGGUCGAUAGAGGCAUGGCGCGCUGACCUACUCGAGGCCUCUGUACCGCCGUCGUUUCGAGCCAUCUUGUCACGGUAGCUUGAUGACGAUUACGCGUGCCCCGGUUUCCUGCUCUGCGCGCCGUCCUGGGCUGGCUUAUCUGUUGAAUGCUUGUACGUCAUGGUGGCAGAUACGUUGGAGCGGUUGUAGUGUUGUCGUUCGACGCCCAACCCUUCCCCAGGAAGGAAACGUGUCUGGUCGAGGGUCGGACGCCGUGUAACGCCUUGCUAGCCAGAGCGCUGACCUUGGGCGUCUCGAGGGGCUCUUGAUUAGACGUUCCGACCCCGCUUCCUGCGUCCUAACAUGCUCUGGAUUGUUUGGUUUGGAAGGCUGCAAAAAGAAUGACGGGACAGGUGCCUGUUCCCUAUCACGCUUCCCGUGACUGGCGUGUUAGGUGAGAACGCGACACGCGCAUUAAAUACCCUGGUUCUCGUGCCCGCGUCAGGCGGCGGGCGGCGUCCUUUGCGCUCGACGCCUUCCAAUUCGCUCGAGCCUGUUUCCGUAUUCGACAGUAGCUGGCGCUCGAGCCCUGAUCGAUUCACUCGACGCCCUUUCCGUCUUUGAGGCUGCGGUCGUCGAUGACCGUACGCGUGACUGGGUAGAGCGUCGAGUUAGAGGCCUCGACUUGCGUACGGGCAAUCUCAUCAUGUACAUCAGUUAGGGUACCCCUUACUGAUAUCCUCGACAGAUAUGAUUCAUUAAUCAUGAUGCAAAGAGUAGUGUUGUAAAUAAUGGUAUUAGUAGCAUGGGGAUCAACACUUGCAGGAUGGCGAUUAAUAAGAGAAGUGCACAAGAUAGCAGUUGAAGUCUUAAUGGAAUGCAACCAAUGAUUAACAAGCUCAACAACAGGUGCAACCUUAAUCUUUUUGAGUGCAGCAUAAAGCAACUUCAAAUCUAUGUCAUAAGUAAGAUGCGUAUCAUCUCUUGAAAAGAAUGAACUAGCGAUCCACUUAUGUAGAAGCCUCAGAGUGGGGUGAUGGAUGUUAGCAGAAUGCCCCUAAAAUUUUCCAACGACGUGUUGCCCCGAGAUCAAAUGCCAGAAAGCAUGACGUUGGUAAACCCCGAGGGAGAAACCUAAGUCAAUGGAGCACCGCUCGUGGAAACCCAAACGGUUGGCAAGACCCUUCCAAUAAAUACCGAAAUCUCUUCCAAAGCAAUGGAAGGUAAUACCAUAAUCGACAAUUUGUAGAGUGCCCAAAAUUUUGAUCGUCAAAAGACGUGACCCAAGCUCAUGAACAGGGGCAACUCUACUCCAACCAAGAUGCUCGAAAAUAGUAUAUGUUGACACUAUUUUUGGAAACGUAACUUUGGACGCGUAUCUGGAAUUAAUGAGGUAUAGAUCGGCAGGUAGAAAAGUGGUGACUAGUCUAUAGAAGAGUUGCCGAUGAGGGUUGGUGCUGAUGGAAAAACGACAGGAUGUGGCUAAGUCCAGGAGUGGUGAUGGAUUCAUACUGAUGACUGGUGCUGAUGAUUGCCGAUGGCUGUGAGAGGUGGCUUGCCGAUGAUUAUGGAGAAAGGCGCAGGGGUUGUCGAACGACUCAUGGCGGUGUACCGAUCGGUUGGGAGGAUGAUUUGAUGCUUUCCAUAGUUACUAGAGUUUGUUUUGUAUAUGGAUUCUGUUUAAUUUAGAAUUCGAAUCCUAGUCAUUUCUAGUUGUAACUCUUGUGAACAAGGUAUUAAUGUAGACCCCGUAGCAAUGUAAUGAAUAUACACAAUCAAUCAAAUACAAGUCUUUACAUCUAUUCUAGCAUCUACUUUUUCGACGACUUCAUCAAUUUGCAUAUUUUCCAUUUCUACGAGUUCUUUGGAAUUCUUUGAGUCAACCUUGGCGAGUUCUCGAGUUCCGCGUGAAUACCUCUUGGCCGUGACAUCCGGGCGCAUCGCUGUUGUCGGGACCAAAGUAUUCGAGUUAUCACCUUUGUCGAUUGUAAGGUCAAAUCGGCUGGCACGCCUUAACGUUGAAUCGGGUAUUAGCCCUUUGUGUUUGCAGAUCAGCUUUGCACCAACACAUCUUUUGGCACGCCUAGUGGGACCUAGAUUCAGCAUCAAGAUCAACAUGUCGAACACUGAUUUCGACUUGGAGAACGUCAUCCCCAUGACGGAAGCCAAUCUCAAAGAUGAACAGAAGCAAGCUAUGGCAAAAGCUAUGGAGGACUACAAGCAGCUAUAUUUGAAAUCCUUCAGUAUCAACAGGAGUGGCGAGGUGAUCCAAAAGGAACCAUUGUCGAUGCCUCGGCAAAUUACUUUUGAAGCCAAUCCUGGUAAACUUCAAGAGAUGGUUGACAGUGCUAUUAAUUGUGCUCUAAUAAACCAAUCUAGUGUGCUGUCCAAUACAGUUUUCAAUGUUGUGGCUAGAACUUUUAAAGAAGGACAAGUACCACCAUCUUAUGUGGGCCCAGCCUAUCAUCAGCCAGGAGCAUCAUCGGUUACGGCUCCAUCGGCUACUACAGCCGUUGCGAGUAUGGAGGUUACUUCCCCUCCAAGCACAUUAGGAACGACUAAUGCGCCAUCUACACCAAUGACGACUAAUCCAUCAACAUCAGAGGGACAAAUCAAACUUGCUACAGAUUUAUUGGCAUCGGCGAUGUCAGUGUCUGUUCCUCCCAACUGGUGGGGAUAUGGUAUGCCUCCAGAAUUCAUGGCGAAAAGUUCUGGAACAUCUCAAGUGGCUGACACAACAGGCAAGGUUCCUAUGACAUCGGCACCCCCAAGCUCGCCGAUGACUCAGAAUCCCUAGUAUUCUACAACUACAACUGCAAGACCUUUUGCUGGGAAUUCUCAAAUGCCAACGUUCCAGAUGCCUAACGCAUCAGUAGAUCCAAUGCCGACACAACAGAGGUUUAUGGCACAGCCAGGGUAUGUCAAUUCAAUGAUGAUGCCCAAUUAUCAGCCAUCGGCAGGGCCUACGCCGAUUAAUGUUAACAAUGGAUGGACAGGGUAGUUUGUUUUUCCACAGAUGCCUCAGCAGAAUCUUUAGGUUAUGUGAUUUCAAUAAGGACCAAUGCAACCUGGAUUUCAGAAUCAGGGGUUGAUCAACCAGCCGAUGAAUCUUGGUCAGCAAGUUGGCGGUCAACAGGCGGUGGCAAAUCCUAUGUUCCUUGGAGAUCAUGCACCGCAUAGCAGAUGCCAGAUCCACAACUAGCUCAUCGGCAAGAUGUCGAUGCUUAUUGGGCCGAUAAGAUAGCUGAGGUCAUGAGAGACCAAUUUGGGAUAAAACUCAAAGUCAAUACUUACUCUUAUCGGACACCAUAUCCUCCUGCAUAUGACUUCCGCAUCCAAAUUGGUACAAGGUGCCAGAUUUCACCAAGUUUUCUGGGCAGGAUGAUACAACAACCAUGGAGCAUGUUAACAUGUUUAUCAUCCAAUGUGGGGAAGCUGCUAACAGAGAUGAGUUAAGGGUUCGUCUAUUCUCAUCAUCUUUAUCUGGAUCAGCCUUUACUUGGUUUAUUUCAUUACCUCCAAACUCAGUGAUCACGUGGGCCGAUCUAGAAAAAUAGUUCCACAAAUACUUCUUUUUUGGAGUUCAUGAGAAGAAGAUUACUGAUUUAGUCAGACUAAAGCAACGCAAUGACGAAUCGGUUGAAAGCUUCGUGCAAAUGUUGCGGGAGGUUAAGAAUAAAUGCUAUAGUCUGGUUCUAGAUGAUAGGCAGCUAGCUGAUUUGGCUUUCGAGGGAUUGUUGCCACAUAUCAGAGACAAGUAUGCUUCUCAAGAGUUUGAAAGUCCGAGCCAUUUAGUGCAAAGGAUUUCGGACCAAGAUAUCAAAGCUUUUGAACCUAAGAGGGCAUGGAACAAAAAGGUGUCAUUUGUCGAUGAGGCAACAAGUUCAGAUUCUGAUGAAGAACCAGUCAUCGGCUUGGCAGAAUGGGUGAAGAAUAAGAAGCCGAUGUCUUGACCUUUUGGGCAUAAGGAACCAGAGAACUUUGCAUUUGACAUAACCAAAGCUGAUAGGAUAUUUGACUUUCUGCUUCAGGAAGGGCAAAUUAAGUUGUCACCUAAUCAUGUGAUUCCAUCGGUAGAAGAGUUAAAGAAGAUUACGUAGUGCAAGUGGCAUAAUGCAACAUCUCAUAGUACAAAUGAGUGCAAGGUUUUUAGGCAACAGCUGCAAUCGGCCAUAGAGUCUAGGAGAAUUAAAUUCGAUAACUCCAAAGCUCAAAAGCCGAUGAAGAUCGACCAACAUCCUUUCCCUACAAACAUGUUGGAUGCUAAGGGAAAGACCAAAGUAUUGACUUCGGAGGCAGCUAAAAGAAGCGCGUCGGUAGAUCCUCAGCACCAGAUUACUGCCGAUGAUGCUAAUGGUAAGGGCUUGAUCCGGGAAGGAACCAGUUCAGGAAGGCCUCCCCGAUCUGGCAUUGUGAUUACUCAUAGAAGGCAUUGGGAGACCUGGCAGCAACGUGAGGAUCAGUAUUGGCGCCAACAGGAGGAUCGUCGUUGGGUAGAAGAAAAACACCGACAGGAGUGGAAUCGGCAUAAAGAUCACUAGAAUUGCCCGUUCAUCAUUCACUGUUGGGAGCAAAACAUCAAGCUACCAACUAUCAGAGUCUGCCCUGAGUGCAAUGGCUAUAAUCGGUAUGAUAGACCAAAUCGGCAGUACCAGAGUGAUGAUCGGCGUUUUGAUGGGCCGAUUAGAGGGAGGGCCUCGGUUCAUGAUCGGCUGGGGGCAGACUUAGUGUGCAUGACAGACUUGGUGAGCGAGUCUGAUAUUUUCCCAGGAACCAGGAGGAGCUUGAAGAGAUGGCAGAUGCACGAGUUCCCGAUGAGUUCAUAUUUUGCAGAGAUGCUAAUACUUACCGGGUGGAAUCAAGGGAAAAUCAUCAUCAGUCGGUUAGACAGCCACAACUUCCUCCAUGGUGUCCAGAGGGAUUAACUAGGACAGAAAAAAAGGCUGCAGCGGGAGCGACGAGAAGAGUUGAGUAGAGGUGAAAAUUCUGCUAAGUCAUGAAACCAGCAGCAGCUGGAUCCUAAAUGAAAAGGGCCAUCGGCAGACGUUAAUAUGGUGUUUAUGUUGUCGAUGGAGUUCCUUGCGCCUUUCAGUGGUGAUGAGGAGAUGGAUUUUUCUGACCAGACAGCUCAGUUGGCUCUGGAUCCGAUGACGGCUAUCUUUGAAAAGCCAACUGAUAAUGAGAGACAACAUCUUAAAGCUUUGUUUAUCAAAGGUAGGGUUGAUGGGCAGCCGAUGACCAAGAUACUUGUUGAUGGUGGGGCUGCUAUCAAUAUUAUUCCAUAUGCAGUCUAUCGGAAGCUUGGCAAAGGAGAUCAAGAUUUGACCAAAACUGAUAUGAUGCUAAAGGAUUUUGAAGGAAAUGUGUCUCCAGUAAAAGGAGCCAUAUGUGUUCAGUUGACCAUCGGCAGCAAAACCUUGCCAACAACUUUCUUCGUCAUCAGUGGAAAGGGUGCUUAUAAUCUACUAUUAGGGAGAGAUUGGAUCCAUGCCAAUUGUUGCAUCCCAUCUACAAUGCACCAGUGCUUGGUUCAGUGGGUAGGUGACAAGAUUGAGAUUGUUCCAGGAGAUUCUUCAUAUGUCAUCGCAUCGGCAGAGGCAGACAGUUAUGAAAGAACCAGCAUUUCAGGGGAAAUUUGGGAAAAGGAUUUUCUCAAAGUUGCUGAUUAUGAGAUUCCACCGAUCCAAGCAGUCAGUUCUGAUGAGGAGUUUUAAUGGAUAGGUUCACCGAUGAUGGAAAAUUAGGCCAAGGGUUUACAUCGGCCGAUGAUUAAGUAGAAGUAGAUAUAGGUAAUGGUGAUAGGCCAAGGCCUACAUUUAUUAGUGAUAAGUUAGAUUCUGAGUGUAAGCAACAGUUAACCGAUUUGUUAAAGGAAUAUAAAGAUUGCUUCGUUUGGGAUUAUACUGAGAUGCCUGGUUUAGACCGAUCUAUUGUUGAACAUCGGUUACCUAUCAAAUAUGGAUUUCGGCCACAUCAGCACCGAUGUAAUCCUAAUAUUCUUCCUGAUAUUAAGGCCGAGUGGAUUUCAAAUGUUGUUCCAGUUUACAAGAAGAAUGGGAAGCUUCGUGUUUGCAUUGAUUUUAGGAAUCUUAACAAGGCUACGCCGAUGGAUGGUUACCCAAUGCCAGUUGCCGAUUUACUAGUUGAUGCUGCAGCUGGACAUCGGAUCAUUAGCUUUAUGGAUGGUAAUGCAGGAUAUAAUAAAAUAUUCAUGGCCGAAGAAGAUAAUCCAAAGUCUGCAUUUAGAUGUCCUGGUCAUGUUGGGUUGUUCAAAUGGAUAGUCAUGACCUUUGGCUUGAAAAAUGCUAAGAGGGCUAUGAAUUUUAUAUUUCAUGAGUUCAUCGGCAAGCUAAUGGAAAUUUACAUUGAUGAUGUGGUGAUUAAGUCUGGGAUUUCACAAAGCAUCUUGCUGAUCUACGAAAGGUGUUGGAGUGCACAAGGAAAUAUGGUUUGAAGAUGAAUCCUAAUAAAUGUGCAUUUGGUGUAUCGACAGGCAAUUUCUUGGUUUCGUGGUGCAUCAUAGAGGAAUUGAAAUUAGUAGGAGAUCUAUUGAUGCUAUCGACAAAAUAGUUGCUCCCACUAACAAAACUGAACUCCAAUCUCUGAUCGGUAAGAUAAAUUUUAUCAGACGAUUUAUAUCUAACUUGUCUGGUAAGAUUCGUGCUUUUAGUCCUCUACUUAAGUUAAAAGCCGAUCAAGAGUUUGUGUGGGGAAAAGAACAACAAUCGGCACUAGACGAAAUCAAGAAUUAUUUGACAAAUCCUCCAGUCCUGAUUCCACCUCAGCAAGGAAAGCCUUUCAAAUUGUAUUUGUCUACCGAUGGAAUGGUCAUCGGUUCAGCUCUGAUUCAGGAAUUUGAAGGAAGGAACGUGUCAUUUAUUAUUUAAGUAGAAGACUAGUUGAUGCUGAGACAAGGUAUUCGGCAAUUGAAAAAUUAUGUUUAUGCUUAUACUUUUCGUGUACCAAGUUGAGGCACUAUUUGCUGGCAGCCGAUUGCACUGUUAUAUGCAAGGAUGAUGUAGUCCGGUACAUGCUGUCUAUGCCGAUUAUGAGUGGUAGAAUCGGCAAAUGGAUUUUGGCACUGUUGGAAUUUGAUUUACGUUAUGAGUCGGCUAAGGCAGUUAAGGGGCAGAUUAUGGCUGAUUUAGUGACUCAGCAUUGCGGCGUAGUAGAAACUUUGGAGAUCGUUCCUUGGACGCUCUUCUUUGAUGGAUCCACAUGUGACUGGGGGGCAGGAAUCGGCAUAGUGCUAAUUUCUCCUUGAGGAAAGAAGUAUGAGUUUUCUUUGCCGAUUGUUGCCACGUCGACAAAUAAUCAAGCCGAAUACCAAGCUCUAAUCAAGGGAUUGGAAUUAUUAAAAGAAGUUCAUACCGAUGCUGUUGAGAUCUUCGGUGAUUCUAUGCUUGUAAUAAAUCAAUUGGCUGGGAUUUAUGAGUGCCGAAGUGAAGUCUUGAUAACCUAUUAUGAAAAGAGUAUGCAACUAUUGAAGGAAUUCAAGGAUUUCCGAUUAGAGCAUGUUCCUCGAUUAUAUAAUGAAGAGGCUAAUCGGUUGGCUCAGCAUGCCUCGAGAUAUCAACCUGUCUUAAAUGUAUUAUCGGCAAUCAAUGCCGAUGAUUGGAGAAAAGAAAUCAUUGAUUACUUAAAGGAUCCAUCUAAAAAGGUUGAGAGACGUGUCAGGUUUCAAGCUACCAAGUAUGUGCUCCUUGGAGAAUAAUUAUAUUGUCGAACGAUAGAUGAAGUCAUGCUCAAGUGCUUGGGUGAUGAUGAGGCUAAAAGCUUGAUGGGUGAAAUUCAUGAAGGAGUAUGUGGAGCACAUCAGUCGGCUUUUAAGAUGAAGUGGAUGAUUAGGAGAAACGGGUAUUAUUGGCCGACUAUACUUGAGGAUUGCUUUAAAUAUUUCAAAGGAUGUCAAGGAUGUCAAAGGUUUGGUAAUAUUCAAUGGGAAGCCGCAUCGGGCAUGAAUCCCAUUAUUAAGCCUUGGCCGUUCCGGGGAUGGGCUAUUGAUCUAAUCGGUAGUUGACGGUACUUAAGUACCAAAUAUAAUCAUCAAAUAAAUAAAGAAACGGAUUCAAAUGCAACCAACACCCAGACUUAGGGUUUUAUCUGAGAGAAUUCCACCAAUUUUGGUGUUUGUCUAUUUCUGCAGGGGGUUAUUAGGAAAUAUGGAGGAAAGGCCCACAUAUCGGGUUUACAUAGUGAUAUUAACGUGCCGCACAAUUUUCUAUCAUCUAGAAGACUCCAGAAGCCACGGGAACGAACGAGAAGCCGAGCGGGCUCCGAGGCAUGGCGCCCGCCCUCCCCCCUUGGGCGCCCGCCCAGCUACAGGAACCAAUCAGGUUCCGUCUUGCGGAUUAUGCUCCACCGACCUAAAGGAUUAAGGAAAACCGUGCGAUUAAUGUCGGUCUGAUCCGACGGCCCACAUUCACUUGAGGGGACUAUAUAAGUAGGCCCCCUGGCCCCUGGAGGAGGCACCCCUUGAUCCCUAUUAAUUAUUCAUAGAUAGAGCAAAAGCUAGGGUUUGGAGAUGAGACCUCUCCUCUCAUCUCUAAACUAGAGUAGAUCUAGAUAGUAGUGAGAUGGAGAGCGAGGGAGGAUUGGAGGAGAGGCCGGCCUGUCGGUUCUUCCUUCGGUUGUACUUCGCCAUGAUCAAGCUCUAAUCAAGCUUGCUCAUGGGAUGACUCUGGUAAUCUACUUCUAUUUCAUUAUGCAAUUACUAUCCAUGUAUCUUCUGGUUCACAACUCUUUUGAGUACUUUAAUCUAUAGGAUGCUAUAGGUGAGAGUUGUAGUAUAGGUGUAAGCGUGGUGCUUAGACCUAGAUUACUUGUGGAUAUCCCCUGUCUUGCCAGAUCGUGUGGUAAGCCGCGUAGGUGACAGUUACAUUGGUCCCCUGUAGUCCACCUCCUGUUAGCAGGACUAGGUGGGUUUAUCAGCCUAUGGAUAAGCAUCCUUUGUGUCACGUGGUUCGUCCCAGACAUAGACAAAUCCCUUUGAAGUAGAGAAACCAUAGUUAUCCUCUCUAUUCUCCUACCAUCACCCAUAUAAUAGAUUGCUCUACACUCUAUUCCCAUAUUAUCACCCAUUGUUAUCUUACCUUUAGUAUUGUUCUUAUUCAAUUCUACCAUCUUUCCUAUUUACACCUACCUAUCUAUCUAGGUUAAGUUAGAGCGUAGAUCAGUUCUCCCGUUUCCCUGUGGAUACGAUAAAACCUUUAACCGGGUAAAAGCUACAACGGUAUCUGUGUGCUUGUGAAUUUAUCUGUGUGCGUAUAAAUACCAUAGUACACUCUAGUGUCCUGCUGGGAAUGACAACCUAGUAUUCAAGUGGUGUUAGCAAGUGUCAACACCUAAGCUGACUUUGGCUCAAUUUCAAAUGUUGAGUUCUUGACCCCCUUUCAAGAUGAGAUUCAUCCAACUAUAGAAGAGGACAUAGGUGAGACCAAUCCAGGAGAAACUCCGAACAUUCAAAUUGGAGAUGAAGAUAACAUUAAUGAGCAUGGAAUUUAUUUCAUAGCCACUUCGUUUACUCCAUGCUCAUAUGAAACAUAUUCCCAAUCUAUUGGUCUCUCCAUUAAUAAGCAUGGAAUUUAUUUCAUAGCCACUUCGUUUACUCCAUGCUCAUAUGAAACAUCUUCCCAAUCUAUUGGUCUCUCCAGCAUCACCACACUUGAGGUCUCCAAUCCCCUCGUCCAUUCUAUCUAUAAAAACUUUAAAAGGGCGGUUGUCGAUGCAUAUGUCUAUAAUAAAUAUUGCAGAUCUCGUUGAGUUGAUCUUGAUAUAGGCCAGCGUUGGAAGGGAAACCACUUCACCGACAUAAAUUGAUGGUUUCCAAGGACAACCUUAGUGUCCUAAAAUAAGCACUAAUUAGAUCGUAACAUGAGCUUUUAAUUAUUUACAACAUUACCUUGUGUAUUGAGCAUAUAAGGAUAAUUGUAAAAAUAUUCCUUCGGGUAUUCUUGUCACUAACCUUUUCAGGAUUGGAGCAAGAAGAUUGAAUGAAUGACAAGCACAAGGUAUGUCCAACCAAUCAUCAUACAACAUUGAACUAAAUCCAAACUUGAAUUUUGCAAAAUUCAAGCUUGGGGGAGUACUUUACAUAAAAACAUCAUUUGCCAUGUUGCUAUGUUGGUUGUCCCUACCUUUGAGACAUGCUCAAUUUGUUAAAUACUAAUCACACUACUUCAUCUCCACUUGAGUAGAUCUCUAUAAAUGCUCUCAUGCUACCUUUAUUUGCUUUAGUAAAUCUCUAGGCUUGGAGUAGUUUCAUUUAUCUCUUAAAUAAGCAUGGUGCUUAGUUUAGGAAUGAUGAUCUUACUUUCAAGGGAUUUUAAAUUAAGCAUGGUGCUUAGGUGUUGACACUUGCUAACACCACUUGAAUACUAGGUUGUCAUCCCCAACAUGGCACUAGAGUGUACUAUGGUAUUUAUACGCACACAGAUAAUCCACAAGCGCACGGAUACCGUUGAAGCUUUUACCCGGUUAAAGGUUUUAUCGUAUCCACAGGGAAGCAGAAGAACUGAUAUACGCUCUAACUUCACCAAGAUAAGUAAAUAGGAAAGAUGGUAGAAUCGAAUAAUAACAAUAUUAAAGGUAAGAUAACAGUGAGUGAUAAUAUGGGAAUAGAGAGUAGAGCAAUUCUAGUAUAUGGGCGAUGGUAGCAGAAUAGAGAGGGUAACUAUGGUUUCUCUACUUCAAAGGGGUAUGUCUAUGUCUGGGACGAACCACGAGAUAAGAUUACACCACAAAGGAUGCUUAUCCAUAGGCCGAUAAACCCUACCCGUCCUGCUAACGAGAGGUGGACUAAAGAGGACCAACGUAACUGUCAUCUACGCGGCCUACCACACGAUCCAGCUAGACAGGGGAUAUCCACAAGUAAUCUAGGUCUAAGCACCACGCUUACACCUAUACUACAACUCUAACCUAUAGCGUCCUAUAGAUUAGAAGUACUCAAAAGAGUUGUGAACCAGAACAUACAUAAUUAGUAAUUGCAUAAUGAAUUAGAAGUAGAUUACCAGAGUCAUCCCAUGAGCAAGCUUGAUUAGAGCUUGAUCAUGAUGAAGUACAACCGGAGGAAGAACCGACAGGCCGGCCUCUCCUCUAAUCCUCCUUCGCUCUCCAUCUUGCUACUAUCUAGAUCUACUCUAGUUUAGAGAAGAGAGGAGAGCUCUCAUCUCUAAACCCUAGCUUUUGCUCUGCCUAUGAAUAAUGAAUAAUGAUCAAGGGGUGCCUCCUCCAGGGGCCAGGGGGUCUGGUUAUAUAGUCCCCUCAAGUGAACCUGGGCCGUUGGAUCAAACCGACAUUGACUGAACGGUUAUUCUUGAUCCUUUAUGUCGGUGGAGAUCUCCUGAGAAACAGAGUCCUGUUUGGACUCCAACAGAGGGCGGGCGCCCUGCCUCUGGCCCCUCUCGGCCUCCGCUUCCUUCCCGUGGCUUCUGGAGUCUUCUAGAUGUAAGAUAAUUGCGCGGCACAUUAAUAUCUCUAUGUAAUGCCGACGUGUGGGCCUUUCUUCCGUAUUUCCUGAUAACCCCCUACAGAAAUAGACAAACACCAAAACUCGUGGAAUUCUGUGAGAUAAAACCCUAAGUCUAGAUGUUGAUUUCAUUUGGAUCCUUUUCUUUGUUUAUUUGAUAAUUAAAUUUGAUACUUAAGGACCGUCAACAAACUCCCCCAAGCUUACCUCUUGCUCGUCCCUGAGCAAGGAUAGACUCAGUAGUAGAUGAGAAGUUGUUGCAAUAUCUUAAAAAUUUGAUGGUACACAUGCUUUUAAAUAAGAUCUCAUCUCUGAGUUAGAGUAAACUGUCAAGAACUAAAACUUACUUUACCUUUCACCAUGGGACUUGUAACCGUCACUUCUGUCUUGAGUAGUUAAAAGAUAGAACAGUCUAGCCAAGUGCCAUGUCUCUUAUUCUUGAUCAGCUAUAGCUCUGGAGUUUUUGCAGAUUUUCAAAUAAAACUCAGAGAUUCCUUGUAUGACUCUCUAAAUCUCUCUUUUAUGGUAUUUCUGGAUCCUUACCAAGGCAGUGAUGGUAUAUGCCUUCUCUCAAGAUAUGUGGUAUUUGUGGUAUAAGGCAUAGUGACAUUGCCUUCUCUCUCACCCUACUCUAAUAAGGCUUCAAUAUCUGGAGCUCAUAGGUGGGAGAUAAAGUAUACAUACUUACAAGACAUUUAUUGUAUAGUCAAACCAUGGAUCCAAAGAAACAAAUCAAUAAGCCAAAUCAAGAUGUGCAUGUGUGGCGAAUGAAUGGUGUAUGGUGAUGAUGGUGAUAACAAUGGUGAAAGUCUAAUUCUACUUUUGCUCUUUUGAGGGGAUACAUACCUUCCUUGCUUUUUGAAACUUUAUGAGGAGAAUGAGAUGCUCUUCUUUUUCUUUCCUCUCAGGUGGGUAUCUUGUACCCCUAAUUCUACUGUCGGACACUUGUCCAUUUUUACCUCUCGUCUCACUUUUUCUUUCUUUCGAGGUUCCCGGCACUUGCCCCUUUUUAUUUCCUCGUUUAUUUUUUUCUUUUCUUCUCUUUUCUUUUUUAUUCAGAGCACUCAUCUCUUGAGAUAAUAUAGCAAGUGGUAGUAGCAAGAUAACUUGAGCAUUUAUUUCACAAAGGAAAACAGAAAUAUUUUUGGCUAUUCUCUCCUGGAUUAGGAGUAGAAUAUUUUUGGGUGGUUCUGGAGAUGGUUAUGGAUGGAUAUAUGUGGAUGGUACUUUUGGAGUAGAAGUAGCAUAUAUGAGUGAACGUGCAAGUGAAUCUUGAUUUAACCACAUGACAAGCUCCUAAGGGUCUACACAGCUUGAGCACACUCAAUGCUCAUAAGCAGUAAAUAGUAAAUGUGUGGCUCAAAGUCUAGCAAGCAUGUAUAUAUGGCUGUGGUAGGAAUUUAAACUCUCAUCAUACAGGAACUCAUCAUGCAAUAUUUUAAAGAUUUUUCAAAGAUAAAAUUCUCCAGAAUUCUAGCAUCGCUAGGAACAGAUAAACAGCAGCUCAAGCUUCCCAUAUCAUAUCCGUUAACAACUUAGAUUUCAGAUCAAGUUUUCAUCCCACAAGUUUAGAUCUAGAGCAAGCUUUAAAUUAUAACAGUUAUGUCUAAACUUGAGAGAGAACUUCAAAUUUGCAAAUUAGGCAGAGCAACUAUUCAUCAUAUCCAUGCUAGAGUUUUAUUAUUAAGAUUCAGAUUAGCAUAGCCACUUUAUUUAUUUAUUAAACACACUAAGCAAAAGAUAUAAGUAUAAAGAUAGGUAGAAAUACUUAGCGAGAUAAAUGGGGGUGCUCUCCCCCAAGCUGAAUUUUGACGUAAUUUUUCUUGAUGUAGCUAGCAGGUGGCAGAGGUGUAUUUGAAAGUCAGCAGCAUUCUCACAGCGAUUAGAAUGUCCUCCGUCUGCUAGUCUUCUUGAUUCUUAAAUUCUAUGGAGCUCAAAUAGACAACAAAGCUUGUGGAACUAAUUAAGUGUUAGCAUAAAUAUCUAGCCUUCAUCAUGUUGAGCUUCCUCAAUAAAUAUUACUCCCUAUUUUUAUAUUUUUAUUUUAUAAAGCAGAAAAGAAAUAUUUAUUUUAUUUUUAUGCCACCAUAGUGAAGGUACUUAUGGGUUUUAUGCCACUCGUAUACUCACAUGGGGCUUGGUAUUUUUUAACAUUUUUAUUUUCUUUUCAAGAUAGCAUGAUUAACUAAUAAUCUAUUUAAGGAAGGUAAAUAAUUAAAGGGAAAAGGGAAUGCAGAAAGGAUAAAUAUGGAUAACUACCGAUCCUACCUUUCGGCGAGGGUUCAAUGUUUUAAGUCUUCUUAACAAGACUUCUCACCGUGUUCAUUCUUCAGGUGCGUCAUUUGAUUCACGUGCGGACCUUGACGUCUGCACCUCUUCGUUUGCCCAGCAGUUCGAAGUGCGGCGUUGGCAGUAUCUUGCUUAGUGUGUUUGUGCUCGUAGAUCCAGGUCCUUCUCUUGGUAGAGUCUGAGAGUUAUAAAACUGCUCCGUGUUUUGCUCGAAGUGUACCUGCUCAUAGAGACAAGGCAGAGAUCAAGUGCAUGGGUCCUGUUGGUGGAAAACACCAACAGAAGCUAAAGUGUAUUUGUUCUUCUCUAACCCUAAGCAUAGUGAGCAAGACAAAGUUGAUGGAUGAAAAGUUCAUGAGUGUAGUGUUGACGGUCCUUAAGUAUCAAAUUUAAUUAUCAAAUAAACAAAGAAAAGGAUCCAAAUGAAAUCAACAUCUAGACUUAGGGUAUUAUCUGACAGAAUUCCACGAGUUUUGGUGUUUGUCUAUUUCUGCAGGGGGUUAUCAGGAAAUACGGAAGAAAGGCCCACACGUCGGGAUUACAUAGAGAUAUUAACGUGCCGCGCAAUUAUCUUACAUCUAGAAGACUCCAGAAGCCACGAGACCGAAGCGGAGGCGAAACGGGGCCAGAGGCAGGGCGCCCGCCCUCCUGCCCUGGGCACCCGCCCUCUCCCUGAGUCCAAUCAGGACUCUACUUCGUGGGAGAUCUCCACCGACCUAAAGGAUGAAUCUAAACCAUACAAUCUAUGUCGGUUUGAUCCAAUGGCCCAUAUUCACUUGAAGGGACUAUAAAACCAGACCCCCUAGCCCCUGAAGGAGAGAGCCUCUCAACCCUAAUUCAUUGUUCCUCAAGGGAGAAGAAGUCUCUGAUCAAGAUUAGAGCCACCACAUCAAUUAGAUAUCUAGAUUAGCAUAGCUACAUAGGAUUAGAACUAGAAGGAGUCAAUCUUCGAUUGGUUUCCGGAUCUGUCAAGAGGAUUCUUGGUAAUUCUCUAAUUGUGCUUCUAAUUACUUUCUAAUUAUCUUUGUUCUUCAAUAUUAUGAAUAUGACUUUGUUCUACUUUAAUAUAUUGCUUAUGACUUUGCUCUACUUGCUUAUAUUCAAGAUUAUAUUGUUCUUAGUUUAUCAUAGUUAUGUACUUGGCUUAGUUAGAUUGGAUCGAUAUACAUGCUUAGGAUCGUAUAGCAUUUAUCCAUCGGAUCCAUGGGUAAAUGAUAGAUAUUGUGUAGGCAUGGUGCUUAUACCGUAUUUAUCUGCGAUUGUACCCAAUAUGCCAGAUCGUGGGGUGGUUCGUGAUAGUGACAGCUUCAUUGAUUCUUAUAUAGUCCCCCUCUCGUGUAUUGGGCUGGCAGAGCAACAUUAUUACAGGGGAGUGAUUGCUAUGUUUCUCAUUUACCUUGCUAAUAUCACUAUGCAUGGGCGUAGUCUUGUCUCGCAAUGAUUGCUAAGUAUGCUUGCACUAACUAUGAUAUGCUAGACUAUAUAGUUGAGAAUAACUUAGGGAAUAUUCUUGUAGUUCGUUCUAAUACCAUGCUAAUGACUUUCUAGAGUAUCUAAUUGAGGUGCUUAUCAUAUUUAUAUGUGGCUGAUCAGAUUAGUUAUCCUUGUCACUAUUCAUUAUUUCAUAUAUCUUUUAUGUGACACGUAUCCCUGUAUGAAGAGUUAGAUAAAUGUUCUCAAUUACAUAUGCAAUGAUAGAUGCUCAAUCUCAUAUUCUAUUCUGUAAUCAAUAUUGAAGAUUGCUAAUCCCUUCCCAGUGGUAAAAAUAUAAAUAACGAUACGUGGAAUACUUCCCGGUUAAAAUGCUGCAUCGGUAUUAAUCUGUGCGCUUGUAGAUCCCAUUCAUUAUUUAUUUAGAAGAGCAAUUGCAUAUUUCAAUACCGCGUCUCUUAUAUCAUGCUGGGGAUGACAACUUGGCUUAAGUGGUGUGAGGGAUAGGUUUGGUAUUUUUGGCACCGUUACUAGAUUUAGAGAACUUAGUCUACUUUUGGUAAUGAUGUUAAGAAUACCCAACAAGCAUUUUUGGCGCCGUUGCCGGGGAAGGUUGAUUACUAAUCAGGAAUGGAAUAAAAGAUUUUGAGUUAUCAUUCGCAUCACUAAUAUGAUUGAGCUUAUUUAUUCUCUCAUACAGUUUUACUCCGAUAUUUUUCUAUUUUAUCUUAUGCAGGGGAAUGUAUGAAUAGAAGACAUCUUCCAGGAAAUUUUGUUGACAAUCCUGAAGCAUUAUUCAAGAAGACGAGAGCCAAGCUCAAGAAGAGAUCAUCAACACUUCAGCAAGAAGCUUCAUCCAAUCAAGAAGAUCACCGGAACUUGUCUUCAGAGUUCGAAGCCAUGGCGAACAAAUCAAUCCGCGAGUUGUCAGCUCCCACUACGGACAACAUCCGCACGGGACCUGCUGCAGAGUUCGAUGGCAACUUUGAGCUCAAGCCUGGACUUAUCAACAUGGUGCAAUCCAACCAGUUCUGUGGGAAGGCACACGAAGAUGCUAGUGCUCAUUUACAACACUUCCUGGAGAUUUGCAACACAUUCACCAUAUCAGGAGUUUCCAAAGAUGCUAUACUACUUCGCCUCUUCCCAUUCUCACUGUUAGGAAGAGCGAAGCAGUGGUUCUACGCUACAAAGGAUAAGAAUACUACGUGGGCACUCUGCUCAACAAACUUCCUGGCAAAGUUCUUUCCCAUGGGCAAGACCAAUGCUCUCCAUGGGAAGAUUACAAGUUUUCAGCAACAAAAUGAUGAAUCUGUUCCAGAAGCAUGGGAGCGCUUUCAAGACUACAUCCUAGAAUGUCCCCAUCAUGGAAUGGAGAAUUGGCUAUUGAUGCAGACAUUUUAUCAUGGGCUCGGCAACAGUGCUCGAGAGACCAUGGAUGCUGCAGCUGGAGGAGCAUUCUUAUCACGUACUAUAUCACAAGCCACAGCGCUUGUGGAGAAGAUGGCGUCCAACCAAAGCUGGAAUGAAGAGAGGACCCAGACACGCAAGAGAGGUGGAGGUAUGCAUCAGCUGAAGGAGGUAGACAUGUUGUCUGCAAAGCUAGACCUGCUCAUGAAGAAGCUCGACGAUAGAGCUGGAGAUAAGAAGGAAGUUAUGCACAUCUACGAUUCUCACAUGACUUGUGAGGAGUGUGGAGACACUGGACACUCAGGCAAUCACUGCCCUCAGAUGCUUGAGGAAGUGAACUACAUCAACAACAACAACUACUACUACUACAACCGUCCUCAACAAAAUCAAGGUUGGAAUCAACAGAGGCCUAACUACUCAGGUAAUUAUCAAGGUAACAAUUCUUACAACAAUAAUAAUAAUUUUCCACCUUUGAGAGAGUUAGUGUCUAAUCAAGGAAAGCUAAUGGAUAAUCUAUCUAAGAAAUUGGCAUCUAAUGAUAAAAUGCUAGAAAAUAUAAAUAAUAGAAUGGAUAAUUUCUCUACUGCCAUCAAGAAUCAAAUUAGCUUUAAUAAAAUGAUUGAAUCUCAGUUAAAUCAAAUUGCUGCUGCUGUUCCUGCUACUAACCCCGGUAUACCAUCACAACCGGAAGGAUAAGAAUCUGCAAUCUUGUAGACAUGUUUGAUGCAGGUAAUAAUUGGAGUAACCCCGUCACUGAAUUCUCUACUGACCUUCUGCCAGUCAAGAAAGGCGAUCCAGGACGCCCCGUCAUCCCGGUCUCCAUCGGCAUGGUGGACGUUCCAGAAGCACUCUGUGACUUUGGCUCUAGCGUCAACAUUAUACCCAGGGUACUCUAUGAAAAAUUCUUUACAUAUCCUUUAUUAGAAACAACCAUGUGUUUGCAGUUUGCAGAUCAAACGAUAACUUUUCCAAAGGGAAUAUUGAAGAACCUUUGUGUCCGAGUUGGUACCUUAUAUGCUCUAGCAGACUUCGUAGUAGUAGAGACCGGAAAUGAUGAGAGGGCACCUAUCAUCUUAGGGAGGCCAUUCUUGGACACCACGGGAGCUAUCAUCUACGCCAGUGCUGCCAAGAUCAGUUUCUACGUCAAAGGGAGGAAGGAGACAUUUUUCUUCAAGAACAAGAUUACACAAAUUCCAGAUCAAUACAGACGUGAAUCAAGGAAGAGGACCAACAGGAGGAACAGGAACAAGCAAGUGUGGACCGAGUCAGCUAAGAUGGUCACUGUAGUUCAUGGAGGCCAAGAUCACCAACUUAAGUCACCUCUUUUGACCAAGAAGGACGACCUAGGAAUGCCAAGCAUCUAUUGCUCCAUAAAUGGAUACAACUUCUACAAGGCAACUUGUGACACCAGAUCGGGCGUCAACAUAAUGGCCGCAGUCACCUAUCGGCUCUUGUUCAGAACCAUGCAACUAAGACCAACAUACAUUCAGCUCCAGAUGGCGGAUCAGACGUUUCAAGAAGUUAAAGGAACAGUAACUGAUGUCCCAAUCAAAAUAGACGAUCACUUUGUCUACACAGACUUUCAAGUUAUUGACAUAGGAGAAGACGAGUAUGAUCCACCCAUCAUCCUUGGAAGACCGUUCCUCAGCACCGUUAAAGCAAUUAUCUACAUUGGAACCGGAGAAGUCUAUAUGCACUUCCCCUCAGAGAAGGUACGGCGUUAUUUUACUAACCCUAACUAUAUCGUUGAAAAAUCUAAGCAGGUAAGGAAAAGACGCAACCGCAACCAGAGGAGGGAAAUCAUCAAGGAUGGAUGGGCAAACUACGAAGGAGAAGUUGUAAGGUCAGAAGACAUAGAGUUUAAACAGAACUAUCCAGAGGAGAUUCAAGCACCAAGUCAGGUGUGGAAAAUGAAGAUAACUAUACAUGAAGAGGAGGCGCCGCCAGAAGUACCGACUACGCCACCCAACGAACCUCAGGACAAUUGAAAAAAUGGAGAGUCCCGUUCGGAGGACUUAAAAAUACCGAACGCCUUGCCAAGAGGUAAACUUGGUAGUUACCCUUUCCCUUUCAAUUAUUUUAUAUAGUUCACUUAGUUAAUCAUGUUCAUACUAUCUUAAAAAUAAAAGAAAAUAAAAAUGUGAAAAACAGUAAGCCUCAUGUGAGUAGACGAGUGGCAUAAAACCCAUAAGUACAUUCACUGUGGUGGCAUAAAAAUAAAAUAAAUAUUUUUUCUGCUUUAUAAAAUGAAAAUAUAAAAACAGGGAGUAAUAAUUAUUAAGGAGUCUCAACAUGAUAAACGCUAGAUAUUUAUGCUAACACUUAAUCAGUUCCACAAGCUUUGUUGUCUAUUUGAGCUCCACAGGAUUUAAGAAUCAAGAAGACUAGCAGACGGAGGACAUUCUAAUCGCUGUCAGAAUGCUGCUGACUUUCAAAUACACCUCUGCCACCUGCUAGCUACAUCAAGAGAAAUUACGUCAAAAUUCAGCUUGGGGGAGAGCACCUCUAUUUAUCUCGAUAAGUAUUUCCAUCUAUCUUAUAUUAUUUUAGAAUAUAAAUAUAUAUAACUAUAAAAAACCAAAUAAAGAUUUUAUGCUUAUAUAUAUAUGUCUUUUGCUUAGUGUGAUUAAUAAAUAAAUAAAGUGGCUAUGCUAAUCUGUAUCUUAAUAAUAAAACUUAAGCAUGGAUAUGAUGAAUAGUUGCUCUGCCUAAUUUGCAAAUUUUAAGUUCUCUCUCAAGUUUAGAUAUAACUGUUAUAACUUAAAGCUUGCUCUAGACCUAAACUUGUGGGAUGAAAACAUGAUCUGAAGUCUAAGUUGUUAACGGAUACAAUAUGGGAAUGUUUAUCUGUUCCUAGAGAUGCUAGAAUUCUAGAGAAUUUUAUCUUUGAAAAUCUUUAAAAUGUUGCAUGAUGAGUUUCUGUAUGAUGAGAGUUUAAAUUUCUACCACAGCCAUAUAUACAUGCUUGCUAGACUUUGAGCCACACAUUUACUAUUUACUGCUUAUGAGCAUUGAGUGUGGUCAAGCUGUGUAGACCCUUAAGAGCUUGUCAUGUGGUUAAAUCAAGAUUUCACUUGCACGUUCACUCAUAUAUGCUACUUCUACUCUGGAAGUACCAUCCACAUAUAUCCACCCAUUCCAUUUCCAAGAAUCACCCAAAAAUAUUCUACUCCUAAUCCGGGAGAGAAUAGCCAAAAAUAUUUCUGUUUUCCCUUGUGAAAUAAAUGCUCAAGUUAUCUUGUUACUACCACUUGCUACAUUAUCUCAAGAGAUGAGUGCUCUAAAAAAACGAGGAAAUAAAAAGGAGCAAGUGCUCGGAACCUCGAAAGAAAAGAAAAAAAAAGUGAGACGAGAGGUAAAAAUGGACAAGUGUCCGACAGUAGAAUUAGGGGUACAAGAUACCCACCUGAGAGAAAAGAAAAAGAAGAGCAUCUCAUUCUCCUCAUAAAGUUUCAAAAAGCAAGGAAGGUAUGUAUCCCCUCAAAAGAGCAAAGUAGAAUUAGGCUUUCACCAUUGUUACCACCAUCAUCACCAUACACCAUUCAUUCGCCACACAUGCACAUCUUGAUUAAACUUAUUGAUUUGUUUCUUUGGAUCCAUGGUUUGACUAUGCAAUAAAUGUCUUGUGAGUAUGUAUACUUUAUCUCCCACCUAUGAGCUCCAGAUAUUAAAGCCUUAUUAGAGUAGGAUGAGAGAGAGAGAGACAAUGUCACUAUGGUUUAUACCAUAAAUACUACAUAUCUUGAGAGAAGGCAUAUACCAUCACUGCCUUGGUAAGGAUCCAGAAAUACCACAAAAGAGAGAUAUGAGAGAAUCAUACAAGGAAUCUCUGAGGUUUAUUUGAAAAUCUGCAAAAGCACCAGAGCUAUAGCUGAUCAAGAAUAAGAGACAUGGCACUUGGCUAGACUGUUCUAUCUUUUAACUACUCAAGACAGAAGUGACAGUUACAAGUCCAUGGUGAAGGUAAAGUAAGUAAGUUUUAAGUCUUGACAGUUUACUCUAACUCAGAGAUGAGAUCUUAUUUAAAAAGCAUGUGUACCGUCAAAUUUUAAAAUAUUGCAACAACUUAUGAUCCAUAGCUGAGUCUAUCCUUGCUCAGGGACGAGCAAGAGGUAAGCUUGGGGGAGUUUGUUGACGGUCCUUAAGUAUCAAAUUUAAUUAUCAAAUAAACAAAGAAAAGGAUCCAAAUGAAAUCAACAUAUAGACUUAGGGUUUUAUCUGACAGAAUUCCAUGAGUUUUGGUGUUUGUCUAUUUCUGCAGGGGGUUAUCAGGAAAUACGGAAGAAAGGCCCACACGUCGGGAUUACAUAGAGAUAUUAACAUGCCGCGCAAUUAUCUUACAUCUAGAAGACUCCAAAAGCCACGAGACCGAAGCGGAGGCGAAACGAGGCCAGAGGCAGGGCGACCGCCCUCCUGCCCUGGGCGCCCGCCCUCUCCCUGAGUCCAAUCAGGACUCUGCUUCGUGGGAGAUCUCCACCGACUCUGCUUCGUGGGAGAUCUCCCUGAGUCCAAUCAGGACUCUACANNNNNNNNNNNNNNNNNNNNNNNNNNNNNNNNNNNNNNNNNNNNNNNNNNNNNNNNNNNNNNNNNNNNNNNNNNNNNNNNNNNNNNNNNNNNNNNNNNNNAUAGCUUUUGCUCUGUCUAUGAAUAAUGAAUAAUGAUCAAGGGGUGCCUCCUCCAGGGGCCAGGGGGUCUGGUUAUAUAGUCCCCUCAAGUGAACCUAGGCCGUCGGAUCAAACCGACAUUGAUUGAACGGUUAUUCUUGAUCCUUUAGGUCGGUGGAGAUCUCCCGAGAAAUAGAGUCCUAUUUGGACUCCAACAGAGGGCGGGCACCCAGGGAAACAGGGCGGGCGCCCUACCUCUGGCCCCUCUCGGCCUCCGCUUCCUUCCCGUGGCUUCUAGAGUCUUCUAGAUGUAAGAUAAUUGCGCGGCAUGUUAAUAUCUCUAUGUAAUCCCGACGUGUGGGCCUUUCUUCCGUAUUUCCUAAUAACCCCCUGCAGAAAUAGACAAACACCAAAACUCAUGGAAUUCUGUCAGAUAAAACCCUAAGUCUAGAUGUUGAUUUCAUUUGGAUCCUUUUCUUUGUUUAUUUGAUAAUUAAAUUUGAUACUUAAGGACCAUCAACAUUAGGUUAAAAUGCCCUCCUAAAUCAAAUUAGACAUGGUGUCUAUGUUGAUUUUUGAGCCGAUAGUAUGCUAUAGUGAAAUUGGAUAUUUUGUUGGACUAACCCCUGUAGGAAAACUUUCAAUAUCGACAUGGGAAGUCCUGAGAUAAACUCACAUUGAAGACAAAGAGAGAGACACAUCAAGUUUAACAAUUUACACAAGGAAGACGUAGCUCAUAAGAGAUGAUCCAUGGAGGGUGCCAUAAACAUGAUGCACAACCGCUAAGAAAGGACAGCUUCCACAAGGUGAUACUGUACCAUCACUCUUCAAGUAAGGUAACAUCUUAAGGUACUUGACUAUCACUUUUAUAAGCUUCUCCUUGGUUCUGGCAUUCACAUAAAUAAAGAGACAAACAUGUAUGAUUUACAACUCUAGGUUAACCAACCCAAUCGAUUCAACAUGUUUAGUCCUUCCACCUUUGUGAUCCCACACUCCUAAUCAUAUGAGCAAAAAUGUUGCACACUCAAUCUUUGGAAGAUAUAAAAAACAUAAAUAUAGAUAGAUUAUAUUUCCAUUAGGUUGAGCGAUCUGAUCUGACAAAUGUUUUAAAUACUACACUCAUGAUCUUAUUAUCCAUCAAAUUUGUCUUGCUCACUAUGCUUAUGGUUAGAGAAGAACAAAUACACUUUUGGUUCUGUUGGUGUUUUCCACCAACAUGGCCUAUGCACUGGAUCUCUACCUUGUCUCUACGAGCACGAACACUUGGAGCAAAACAUGGUGGAGUUUUACAACUCCCAGAUUCCACCAAGUGAAGGACCUGGAUCUACAAGCACAAACACACUGAGCAAGACACUGCCAGCGCCACACUUCGAACUGCUGGGCAAACGAAGAUCAUGGGUGACACCAUAUCAAGAGGAGCAGACAUCAAGGUCCGCACCUGAAUCAAAUGACGCACCUAAAGAAUGAACACGGUGAGAAGUCUUGUUCAGAAGACUUAAAACAUUGAACCCUCACUGAAAGGUAAAAUCGGUAAUUAUCCAUAUUUAUCCUUUCUACAUUCCCUUUUCCCUUUAAUUAUUCACUUUCCUUAAUGGCUUGUUAGUUAAUCAUGCUAUCUUGAAAAGAAAAUAAAAAUGUUAAAAACAGUAAGCCCCAUGUGAGUAUGCUCGUGGCAUAAAACCCAUAAGUACAUUCACUGUGGUGGCGCAAAAAUAAAAUAAAUAUAUUCCUUUCCUAUAGAAAUGAAAAUAUAAAAAUUAAUUUAUGAUCCUACCAAAGAGAGUAAUAAUUAUUAGAGGAAGCUCAAUAUGAUAAAGGCAAAGAGAUUUUUAUGCUAACACUUAACCAGUUCCACAAAGCUUCGUUGUCUAUUUGAGCUCCACAGAAUUCAAGGAUCAAAGAAGACUAGCAGACAAGGACAUCCUAAUCGCUGUCAGGGUGCUACCGACAUUCAAAUACACCUCCGCCACCUGCUAGCUACAUCAGAAGAAAUUACGUCAAAAUCCAUCUUGGGAGAGAGCACCCCCAUUUAUCCAGCUAAGUGUUUCUACUCGCGUUUAUACUUUACUCAAAAAAAAAGAUGCAUAAUCAUAAAAACCCAAAUAAAGAUUUUGUGCUUAUAUAUAUAUAUAUAUCUUUGCUUAGUUUGCUAAAUAAAUAAAUAAAGUUUGCUAUAAACCCUCAUGAUAAGCUCUCACAUGGAAAUGAUGAAUAGUUACUCUAUCAUGACUAGUUCUCAAAAUUGAAUUCUCUCUCAAGUUUAGGCAUGACUGUUAUGAACUAAGAUUUGCUCUAAACCUAAACUUGUGGAAAGAGUACUUAAUCUAAAGUCUAAGUCGUUGACGGAUACGAUACGGGAAGGUUGAGUUGCUGUUUAUCUGUUCCUAGAGAUGCCAGAAUUCUAGAGAAUUUUAUCUUUGAAAAUCUUUAAAAUGUUGCAUGAUGAGUUUCUGUAUGAUGAGAGUUUAAAAUCCUACCACAGACAAAUAUACAUGCUUAUUAGACUAUGAACCAUACAUUUACUUUUUACUGCUUAGGAGCAUUGAGUGUGGUCAAGCUGUGUAGACCCUUAGGAGCUUGUCAUGCAGUUAAAAUCAACAUUCACUUGCACGUUCACUCAUACAUGCUGCUUCUACUCCGGAAGUACACAUCCAUCCACUCAUUUCCAUCUCCAAAUUCACCCAAAAUUAUUCUACUCCUAUCCGGGAGAGAAUAGCCAAAAACAUUAUCCCAUUCCUGUUUUUCCCUGUGAAAUAAAUGCUCAAGAUAUUUUGGUUACUACCACUUGCUACAUUAUUCCAGAAGGGUGAGUGCUCUAAAAAAAGAGAGAGAUGAAAAAAAGGAAAAAAAUACGAGGAAAUAAAAAGGGGCAAGUGCCCGAAACCUCGAAGAAAAGAAAAAGUGAUACGAGAGGUUGAGCUGUUGUUUAUCUGUUCCUAGAGAUGCUAGAAUUCUGGAGAAUUUUAUCUUUUAAAAUCUUUAAAAUAUUACAUGAUGAGUUCUUGUAUGAUGAGAGUUUAAAUUCAUACCACAGCCAUAUAUACAUGCUAGCUAGACUUUGAGCCACACAUUUAUUUUUUUACUGCUUAUGAGCAUUGAGUAUGGUCAAGCUGUGUAGACCCUUAGGAGCUUGUCAUGUGGUUAAAAUCAAGAUUCACUUGCACGUUCACUCACAUAUGAUGCUUCUACUCUGGAAGUACCAUCCACAUAUCCACUCAUUUCCAUCUCUAGAACCAACUCGCAAUAAGGAAUUGAUCCGCAAGCGCAUGGAUAUCGGUGAGCACUUCACCCGGGAGGUUAUCCAGAAUAUCGUAUUUAUUUUUCUACCACUAGGAGAAAGAGUGUAUCUGACUAACCCGGUCUAUUACUACUAACCCUUUAGACAACAAGAAUGUUUCUCGAUGUGAGUGAUAUAUAGAGAAGACUACAACCGUAAUCUCCUUCUAACCUUGGUAAGGAUGAUCUAUUGUUCUAUUGGGGAGGCUAACGGAAUCUAGACACCACAGAGGAUGUUCAACCCGCACCUAUAAACCCUAUCCUUCCUGCUAACGAGAUAUGGUCUGCAAAGGUAACUCGGAAUUGUCACGUUCCUCGCUACUACCAUGGUCUAGCUAGUCAGGGAAUAUCUAUGAGUAUCCUAGCCUAAACACCACGUCUACGCUAGAGAUGAUUACUCUAAACUCUACGCGAAGAGAUUAAAGUAAACUCAUAAACCAAAAGAACAAUGAAACAAGAACUUACUAGAAUUUAGAAGUCGAAAUACUAAAGAAUCCUAGGAGCAAGCCUCGGGUUAGGAGAACUUGAUCCCGCAGGUACAAGGUCGGAGUAGACACCGACAGGCCGGGCUUCCUCCAAUCUACACCACCACUCUAUCUCUCUCAAUCUAGUAGAAACUAGAAGAUCUAUUUCUACUCACAUUGGUUGCUAAGCCUAAAAUGAAAUUUUAUUUAGAGGAGAGGUAUUCCUUCGAGGGCUCCUCUCAACUCUAUGAUAAACUUGUCUCCUCUAGGGGCCAGGGGGUCUAGUUUUAUAGUCCCCUCAAGUGAACGUGAGCCGUUGGAUCAAACCGACAUUGAUUGGACGGUUAUCCUUGAUCCUUUAGGUCGGUGGAGCGUCGUCCGCGAAAAGAGUCCCGAACCAAGUCUAGGAGGGGGCGGGCGCCCAGGUCAACUGGGCGGGCGCCCAGUGCCUGGCCCCGUUCGGCCUCUGCUUCCUUCCCGUGGCUUCUGGAGUCUUCUAGAGGGUAGAAAAUUCCGCGGUGCGUUGUUAUCUCUUUGUAAUCCCGACAUGUGGGCCUUUCUUCCUUAUUUCCUGAUAACCCCCUGCGGAAACAGAUAAAUAACAAAACUCGUGGAAUUCUGUCAGAUCAAACCAUAAUUCUAGGUGUUGGUUGCAUAUUGGUCCUUUCUCUUGUUUGUUUGAUAAUUAAAAUUGAUACUUAAGAACCGUCAACAAAUACCCCCAUACUUAGGCUUUUACUUGUCCUCAAGAAAAGGAUGGUUAAGAACAAUACCUGGGGUAAAACAUUUUAAAACAUUCCCUUCAUAAUUGCAGGGUGUUAAAAUCCACUGUGUACUAUAGUCAGGAAAUAUAUGGUUAAGAGUAAAGAUCCUUUCUUCUCAAUCCUAUCACUUGGAGUUUUUGUAUAUUUUUGAAAAGAAAGUUAGCAUACCUUUUAUCCUCAUAGGUUAUCUCAGAUCACUCAUUAUCUUUUAUAUAUCUCACUGAGGCUGUUUUAAUUUGCAAAAAAUUCUCAAGCGAACUUACUUUGCAUUUAUUGCAUGAUCAAAACGGGAUCCGAGGAGGGGAAUGUCAUACUCUUAGAUCAAAGACUUUGGAAAUUAAAAUCUUUGUCAACUCUUGCUGGCAUAUUGCUUAUUAGAGGAACCACGGGCUAUCAUUUUCUUUCUUUCUCUUUUUUUUAAGUGGAUACCGAGGUACCCCUAAUUCUACUGCCGGACACUCGUCCAUUUUUCUGCGAGGUUAUCGAGCACUUGCUCCUUUUUAUUUCCUUGAAAUAUCUUUGUUUUUGCAUAGCCCAUGCCUCUAAUGCAAUAAUACUUUAGAAGAGUGAAUCUUUCUGAAUAAAUGUCUUGAUCUUAGGAGCAUGAUAAAUCUCUCAACAAGGGUCUAACUCAUUUUGAACAAACUCAAUACAGAGUAGAUAGCUUUUAUAAUCAUAAUUAAUAUUUUUAGUUUUAUCAGGAAUAUAAAACACUGAGGAUGGUAGCUAGAAUUUUUGAAUAAAUUCUCCAAGCAACAAUGAUAUCAAGAAUGAGAAAGUCAUACUCUACCAUCUCACAUUCCAUAUUGACUUAAGUAACACAGGGUUUUAAAAUGAUUUUUCAAUAAUUGCAAGUUUCAGGAAAUAUCACAGAGUGAGAUUAAUCAUAUUUAGAAACAUUUUAAGCUUGUUAAUUUAUCAUAUCGGAAAUAGUAUUCUGCAUAAUCCAAGAUAUAUAUGUGUAUGUGUAAAGUGUGCAGAGUGUGUACCUGAAUCGUGGAGUGGUGUAGUCGAAGUGUGUUUGGCGUGUCGAGGGAUCUCCCCCAUACUUGUUUUCUGCUUUCUUGCACAAAAAUAAAGUAGACAUAAUAGUAAUAAUAAUAAUACUCUUUAUUAAUCUUGAGGCAUUUAUUACAAAAGACUAGUAGAAAACUGACGACAAUAGUAACAAACUGAUGAUAUUAGUAAACCUAAACCGAAUUUAAAGAUAGAUAACUAAAAUGCAUUGCCUCAAGGUCUAAUCUAGAUAACUUAGCGGCGCUCUAAUCCCUUAAUCUUCUUAUUGGCACUAGCAAGAUCAUGCCUAAGGCCUAAUAUAAUUGUGUUGUGGUUAGAGAGCUGCCUAGUGAGGGAAUUAAUCAUGGACUGGAGGUCUAUGAUAACUCUGUCUAGCCUGCGAGACGUCCUCAUCAAUAUCUACUAUGGUCUUGCGACGCUUGGGAGGUGUCUCAAAAGCAUUGAGAGCAUGCUUUGGGGCUGCCUUUGGAGGGAUGAAACGGACUUUGGCUGCUCUAACCCCUUCAAAGUAAGGCCUUUCCGCCUUCGUAGUGUACCGUAUGCUGCUGAUCUCGCCGCUCCGGUUGGUCUUGACUCCAACAACCCUCUCAUUGGGUCUAGGUGGAAGGAUCCUCGUGCCGGUUGGCACCUUGAUGGUGGUCUUCGUCUUGGACGAUGAUCCCUUGAGGAGUAGGGGUUGUGGUGGUGCGGUGAGAACUUGUUGAGCAUGAUAGGAUUGGGCAGAGCUGCGUUGGCGUAAUGGCAUGGCUUCUAGCUGUCACUCCGUGUUGGCCGGGACGAGAGCACGGGCGUCGGGGUCUUCCACAGGCUCCAUGUUGAGGUUGAAGGGGACAACUUCCCAAUCAUCAUGGAACUUCUCGGCCAUUAGAGUAGCGAGGGGCUAAUCAAGCUCUAAUUGAAAAAGAAGAGAAGGCUUGAGUGGAUUGGUGUUUGAAAACUGAUGUCAGGGGUCUUUUUAUAUAGGGGUCCAAAAGUGCCUCUAGGGGUUGUUCUGGUUGCUCCCGUCGAUGUGCGUGAGAAACUUUCCAUUAGAGGGAUUAUUCGGAUUACCAUAAGUGUGUUUUCCAUAACAGAGAAAAUCAGGACCGAAGGGGAACAGGGGCUGGGCGCUCGCCCACUUGAUCAGGGCGCCCGCCCACUUGAUCAGGGCGCCCGCCCUCUCUCUGGCUCCGCUGCGGGUCCGCUUCCUCGAGCGUGUUUCUAGAUGCAGACUUAAUUAGGAAUAUAUAUAUAUGACCCAAAAACGUCAGACUAGAAAGGUCGGGCUCUAAUUCUCCAUGGGAAGGUAAAAAUGGACUACGUCUAUUUCUUCUAAUUCUUUAUUGGGCUCUAAAAACAACUUAAGACGUUGACCAUUUACCUGGAAUAACGUACCUUCGUCAUUUUGAAGUGUGAUAGCUCCGUGGGAUGAUGAAUUAAUUACCUUGAAUGGUACUUCCCAUUUGCUCUGGAGUUUUCCAUGCCCGAAAAGCUUCACCCUAGAAUUUAAAAGUAAUACCUUAUCUCCGGGUGUGAACUCCUUCUUCUUGAUUCUCUUGUCAUGCCACCUUUUGACUCUUUCUUUGUAGAUCUUCGAAUUGUGAUAUGCUUUCUCUCACUGUUGGGUAUUUUAAACGCAAACAGAAAAAUCCGCAAGCGCAGGGAUACCGAUGUAGCUUUCACCCGGGAGUAUUCCAAAGUAUCGAUUUUCCACAGAGAACGUGAGUGUACUAAUUAAGAUCCAAGAUCGCCCAAGGAUAACUAUAUAAUUAUUUUUGGUGGAAAGAGAGGAAGUUUCCUAAGAGUUCUCUAGCUGAUCUAAGAAUCAAGGAUUACUUCAAGAUUAUCUAUAUCGGGACAUCAGAGCACUAACCACAGAAAGAGAUGAGAAGGGGGCUAGGAAGGUCUGACUAUGGUCCUACAAACACCGAUCCGAACGUGGUGGAAUACGUCGACCGUUAGGGCUAUCACUACCCUAAGGCUACCACAACAAUCCGCAGGAUUGGGUGCAAUUCCAGGUAAUCGCAAGACUAAACACCACGUCUAAUCUAUUAAUUACUACUCUAGCGUUAUAAAGACUAGAGCACUUGAUGAAAGCGGGAAUCCAAUAAAUAACUUGAAUGUAAAUAAAAGUAAUUAGAGAACUCAGGAGUUAUGAAUUGAAGAACCUGGAGAACGAUGAAGAACGAACCAGUUGCUGCAAAAGUACAAUGUUGAGGAAGAUCCGAUAGAUCCGGCUCUUCCUCCGCUCUCCUCUUCUCUCUCCCUAUUUUCUAGAUUACAACUAGAACUAACUAGAACUAGAACUAGAGGAACUAGAACUAGAACUAGAUGAACUAGAACUAGAUCUAGAUGAACUAGAGGUAGAACUAGAAGAACUAGAGGGAUCCUCUCUACUUGGAUGAAGAAUUGAAACCCUAACUUUGAUUCUGUAGAAGAGGUAUGAUCUCCAGGGGCCAGGGGGUCUGGUUUUAUAGUCCCUUCAAGUGAAUCUGGGCCAUUGGAUCAAACCGACAUUGAUCGUGUGGUUUUCCUUGAUCCUUUAAGUCGGUGGAGCAAUAUCCCGAAAGAGAGUCCUGAUUGGACUCUGGUUGAGGGCGGGCGCCCAGGAAAGGUGGGCGGGCGCCCUGUCCCUGAGUCCUCUCGGCCUCCGCUUCCUUCCCGUGGCUUCUGGAGUCUUCUAGAUGGUAGAAAAUUGCGCAGGACGUUAAUAUCUCUAUGUAAACCCGACGUGUGGGUCUUUCUUCCGUAUUUCCUGAUAACCCCCUGCAGAAAUAGACAAACACCAAAACUCAUGGAAUUCUGUCAGAUAAAACCCUAAGUCUAGGUGUUGGUUGCAUAUAGAUCAUUUUCCAUGAUUAGUUGAUGGUUAAAUGUGAGCAUUAAGGACCGUCAACAAGCUCCCCCAAGCUUAACCUUUGCUCGUCCCUGAGCAAAGAUGAACUCAAGAGUUUCUGCAGUGGUUUCAUAACUCAAAGAUACACAUGCGUUUAAACAAGAUCUCAUCUCUGGUUAGAGUAAACUGUUAAGACUUAAAACUUACUCAUUUACCUUUCACCAUGGGACUUGUAACCGUCACUUCUGUCUUGAGUAGUUAAAAGAUAGAACGGUCUAGUCAAGCACCAUGUCUCUUAUUCUUGAUCAGCUAUAGCUCUAUAGUUUUUUGCAGAUUUUCAAAUAAAACUCAGAGAUUCCUUGUAUGACUCUCUCUAGUCUCUCUUUUGUGGUAUUUCUGGAUCCUUACCAAGGCAUUAAUGGUGUAUGCCUUCUCUCAAAGUAUGUGGUAUUUGUGGUAUAAGGCAUAGUGGCAUUGCCUUCUCUCUCACCCUACUCUAAUAAGGCUUUUGAUAUCUGGAGCUCAUAGGUGGGAGACAGCUAAUACAUACUUACAAGACAUUUAUUGCAUAGUCAAACCAUGGAUCCAGAAGAACAAGUCAAUAAGUCAAAUCAAGAUGUGCAUGUGUGGCGAAUGUAUGGUGUUUGGUGAUGAUGGUGAUAACAAUGGUGAAAGUCUAAUUCUACUUAUGCUCUUUUGAGGGGAUACAUACCUUUCUUGCUCUUUUGGAACUUUUUGAGGAGAAUGAGAUGCUCUAUAUUUUCUUUUUCUUUCCUCUCAGGUGGGUAUCUUGUACCCCUAAUUCUACUGUCGGACACUUGUCCAUUUUUACCUCUCGUCUCACUUCUUUUUUUUUCUUCUUUUUUUCCAAGGUUCCGGGCACUUGCCCCUUUUUAUUUCCUCGUAUUCUUUCUCUUUUUUUUUCUUUUUUUAGAGCACUCAUCUCAUGAGAUAAUGUAGCAAGUGGUAGUAACAAGAUAACUUGAGCAUUUAUUUCACAGGGGAAAACAGAAAUGUUUUUGGCUAUUCUCUCCCGGAUUAGGAGUAGAAUAUUUUUAGGUGAUUCUAGAGAUGGAAAUGGGUGGAUAUAUGUGGAUGGUACUUCUGGAGUAGAAGUAGCAUGUGUGAGUGAACGUACAAGUGAAUCUUGAUUUAACCACAUGACAAGCUCCUAAGGGUCUACACAGCUUGACCACACUGAAUGCUCAUAAGCAGUAAAAAGUAAAUGUGUGGCUCAAUGUCUAGCAAGCAUGUAUAUAUGGCUGUGGUAGGAAUUUAAACUCUCGUCAUACAGGAACUCAUCAUGCAACAUUUUAAAGAUUUUCAAAGAUAAAAUUCUCCAGAAUUCUAGCAUCUCUAGGAACAGAUAAACAGCAGCUCAACCUUUCCAUAUCAUAUCCGUUAACGACUUAGACUUUAGAUCAAGUACUCUUCCCACAAGUUCAGGUUUAGAGCAAAUCUUAAUUAAUAACAGUGAUGCCUAAACUUGAGAGAGAUUUCAAUUUUGAGAACUAGUCAUGGCAGAGCAACUAUUCAUCUUUCCAUGUGAGAGCUUAUCAUGAGGGUUCAUAGCAAAUUUUAUUUAUUUAUUUAUUUAGCAAACUAAGCAAAGAUAUAUAUAUAAGCACAAAAUCUUUAUUUGGGUUUUUAUGAUUAUGCAUCUUUUUAUUAUUAGAGUAAAGUAUAAACGUGAGUGGAAUACUUAGCUGGAUAAAUGGGGGUGCUCUCCCCCAAGCUGGAUUUUGACGUAAUUUCUUCUGAUAUAGCUAGUAGGUGGUGGAGGUGUAUUUGAAUGUCAGCAGCACCCUGACAGUGAUUAGGAUGUCCUCCAUGUGCUAGUUUUCUUUGAUCCUUGAAUUUUGUGGAGCUCAAAUAGACAACAAAGCUUUGUGGAACUAGUUAAGUGUUAGCAUAAAUAUCUAGCCUUUAUCAUGUUGAGCUUCCUCAAUAAAUAUUACUCUCUUUAGUAGGAUCAUAAAUUUAUUUUUAUAAUUUAAUUUUUUAUAGGACAGGAAUAUACUUAUUUUAUUUUUACGCCACCACAGUGAAUGUACUUAUGGGUUUUAUGCCAUGAGCAUACUCACAUGGGGCUUACUAUUUUUAACAUUUUAUUUUCUUUUCAAGAUGAUAUGAACCUGAUUAACUAAGCAAACUAUUUUAAAUAGUUGAAAGGAAAAAGAUAACUACCAAGUUUACCUCUUGGCAAGGCGUUCGGUGUUUUUAAGUCAUCCGAACGGGACUCUCCAUUUUCUCAGUUGUCUUGGGCUUCGCUGGAUGGCGUAGUCGGUGGUUCCGGUGGAGCCUGCUCUUCAUGUAUAACUAUCUUUUUUUUCUCCACACCUGACUCGAUGCUACGGUCUCCUCAGGACAGUUCUGUUCAAGUUGUAUGUCUUCAGACCUUACCACUUCUCCUUCAUAGUCCGCCCAUCCAUCCUUGAUGAUUUGCCUUCUCUGGUUGCGGUUGCGUCAUCUUCUUCUUGUCCUGACCUGCAUAGCGUCUUCAACUAUAUAGUUAAGGUCAGUAAAAUAGCGGCGUACCUUCUCAGAGGGGAAGUUCAUGAGGACUUCUCCGGUUCCAAUGUAGAUGAUUGCUUUAACGGUGCUGAGGAACUGUCUUCCAAGGAUGAUGGGUGGAUCGUACUCGUCUUCUCCCAUGUUGAUAACCUUUUGGAAUGUCUGAUCUGCCAUCUGGAGCUGAAUGUAUGUCGGUUUUAGGGGCAUGGUUCCGAACAGGAACUGAUAGGUGACUGCGGCUAUUAUGUUGACGCCUGACCUGGUGUCACAAAGCAUCUUUUGGAAGUUAUAUCCAUUAAUGGAGCACUGGAUGCUUGGCAUACUUGGGUCGUCCUUUUUGGUCAGGAACAGUGACUUAAGUCGACGGGCUUGUCCUCCUUGAACUGUAGUGACCAUCUUAGCUGACUUGGUCCACACUUGCUUGUUCCUGUUCCUCCGAUUGGUCCUCUUCCUUGGUUCAUGUCGGGAUUGCUCUGAGACUUGUGUAGUCUUGUUCUUGAAGGAAAACGUCUCCUUCCUGCCCUCGAUGUAGAAACUGAUCUUGGCAGCACUAGCGUAGAUGACAGCUCCUGAGGUGUUCAGGAAUGGCCUCCCUAGGAUGAUGGGUGCCCUCUCAUCAAUACCAGUCUCUAUCACCACGAAGUCUGCUGGGGCGUACAAGGUACCAACUUGGACACAGAGGUUCUUCAAUAUUCCCUUUGGGAAACUUAGCGUACGAUCUGCAAGCUGCAAACACAUGGCUGUUUCUAAUAAAGGAUGUGUAAAUAAUUUUUCAUAGAGUACCCUGGGCGUAAUGUUGACACUGGAGCCAAAGUCGCAGAGUGCUUCUAGGAAGUCCACCAUGCCGAUGGAGAUCGGGAUGACGGGGCGUCUUGGAUCGUCUCUCUUGACCGGCAGAAGGUCAGUGAUUACUUCCACAACGGGGUUACUCCAGUAGUUACGUCCUCAAGAAUCUCAGGGUAGUGAUUGCCUGAGUGUCCAGUAUCUCCAGUGUGUUUGUGCUCGUAGAUCUAGGUUCUUCACUUGGUGGAGUCUGGGAGUUGUAAAAGUCCUUCAUAUUUUGCUCGAAGUGUACCUGCUCAUAGAGACAAGGCAGAGAUCAAGUGUAUGGGCCCUGUUGGUGGAAAACACCAACAGAACCAAAAGUGUAUUUGUUCUUCUCUAACCUUAAGCAUAGUGAGCAAGACAAAGUUAAUGGAUAAUAAAAUCAUGAGUGUAGCAUUUAAAACAUUUGUCAGAUCAGAUCGCUCAACCUAAUGGAAAGAUAAUCUAUCUAUAUUUAUGUUGUUUUUUUUUAUAAAAUAUAUCCUCCAAAGAUUGAGUGUGCAACAUUUUAGCUCAUAAGAUUAGGAGUGUGGGAUCACAAAGGUGGAAGGACUAAACAUGUUGAAUCGAUUGGGUUGGUUAAUCUAUAGUGGUAAAUCAUACGUGUAUGUCUCUUUUAUUCAUGUGAACGCCAGAACAAAGGAGAAGCUUAUAAAAGUGAUAGUCAAAUACCUUAAGAUGUUACCUUACUUGAAGAGUGAUGGUACGGUAUCUCCUUGUGGAAGAUUUCCUUUCUUAGCGGUUGUGCAUCGUGUUUGUAGCACCCUCCAUGGAUCAUCUCUUGUGAGCUAUGUCUUCCUUGUGUAAAUUGUUAAACUUCAUGUGCCUCUCUCUUUGUCAAAAAUGUGAGUGUAUCUCAGGACUUCCCAGGUCGAUAGUGAAAGUUUUCCUGCAGGGGUUAGUCCAACAAAAUAUCCCAUAUCUACUAUAGCAUACUAUCGGCCCACAAAUCAACCUAGACACCAUGUCUAAUUUGAUUUAGGAGGGCUUUUUUAACCUAAGCACCAUGCUUAAUUUAAAACCCCUUGGAAGUAAGAUCAUCAUUCCUAAACUAAGCACCAAGCUCAAUUAAGAGAUAAAUGAAACUACUCCAAACCUAGACAUAUACUAAAGCAAAUAAAGGUAGCAUGAGAGCAUUUAUAGAGAUCUACUCAAGUGGAGAUGAAGUAGUGUGAUUAGUAUUUAACAAAUUGAGCAUGUCUCAAAGGUAGGGACAACCAACAUAGCAACAUAGCAAAGGAUGUUUUUAUGUAAAGUACUCCCCCAAGCUUGAAUUUUGCAAAAUUCAAGUUUGGAUGAAUUUAUUUCAAUGUUGUAAGAUGAUUGGUUGGACAUACCUUGUGCUUGUCAUUCAUCCGAUCUUCUUGCUCCAAUCCUGGAAAGGUUAGUGACAAGAAUACCCGAAGGGAUAUUUUUUUUCAAUUGUCCUUAUAUGGUCAACACACAAGGUAAUGUUGCAAAUAAUUAAAAGAUCAUGUUAUGAUCUGAUCAGUGCUUGUUUUAGGACACUAAGCUUGUCCUUGGGAAACCAUCAAUUUAUGUCUGCGAAGUGGUUUCCCCUCCAACGCUGACCUAUAUCAAGAUCAACUCAACGAGAUCUGCAAUAUUUAAUAUAGACAUAUGCAUCGACAACCGCUCUUUUAAAGUUUUUAUAAAUAGAAAGGAAGUGGGGGUUGGAGAUCUCGAAUGUGGUGAUGUUGGAGAGACCAAUGGAUUGUGAAGAUGUUGCAUAUGGGCAUGGAGUAAAUGAAGUGGCUAUGAAAUAAAUUCCAUGCUCAUUAAUGCUUAGAGUGAAAUCCAUGUGGUAUGGUGAAAAUGAUAAGGUGAGUGUGGUAAAAAAGGAAAAGAAAAAGGAUACACGGACGACUUGGUUCGAAACUAGCACGGCUACCGUUCCCCGGCAACGGUGCCAGAAAGCUUGUUGGGUAUUUUAAACGCAAACAGAAAAAUCCGCAAGCGCACGGAUACCGAUGUAGCUUUCACCCGGGAGUAUUCCAAAGUAUCGAUUUUCCACAAAGAACGUGAGUGUACUAAUUAAGAUCCAAGAUCGCCCAAGGAUAACUAUAUAAUUAUUUUUGGUGGAAAGAGAGGAAGUUUCCUGAGAGUUCUCUAGUUGAUCUAAGAAUCAAGGAUUACUUCAAGAUUAUCUAUAUCGGGACAUCAGAGCACUAACCACAGAAAGAGAUGAGAAGGGGGCUAGGAAGGUCUGACUACGGUCCUACAAACACCGAUCCGAACGUGGUGGAAUACGUCGACCGUUAGGGCUGUCACUACCCUAAGGCUACCACAACAAUCCGCAGGAUUGGGUGCAAUUCCAGGUAAUCGCAAGACUAAACACCAUGUCUAAUCUAUUAAUUACUACUCUAGCGUUAUAAAGACUAGAGCAUUUGAUGCAAGCGGGAAUCCAAUAAAUAACUUGAAUGUAAAUAAAAGUAAUUAGAGAACUCAGGAGUUAUGAAUUGAAGAACCUGGAGAACGAUGAAGAACGAACCAGUUGCUGCAAAAGUACAAUGUUGAGGAAGAUCCGACAGAUCCGGCUCUUCCUCCGCUCUCCUCUUCUCUCUCCCUAUUUUCUAGAUUACAACUAGAACUAACUAGAACUAGAACUAGAGGAACUAGAACUAGAACUAGAUGAACUAGAACUAGAUCUAGAUGAACUAGAGGUAGAACUAGAAGAACUAGAGGGAUCCUCUCUACUUGGAUGAAGAAUUGAAACCCUAACUUUGAUUCUGUAGAAGAGGUAUGAUCUCCAGGGGCCAGGGGGGUCUGGUUUUAUAGUCCCUUCAAGUGAAUCUGGGCCAUUGGAUCAAACCGACAUUGAUCGUGUGGUUUUCCUUGAUCCUUUAAGUCGGUGGAGCAAUAUCCCGAAAGAGAGUCCUGAUUGGACUCUGGCUGAGGGCGGGCGCCCAGGAAAGGUGGGCGGGCGCCCUGUCCCUGAGUCCUCUCGGCCUCCGCUUCCUUCCCGUGGCUUCUGGAGUCUUCUAGAUGGUAGAAAAUUGCACAGCACGUUAAUAUCUCUAUGUAAACCCGACGUGUGGGCCUUUCUUCCGUAUUUCCUGAUAACCCCCUGCAGAAAUAGACAAACACCAAAACUCGUGGAAUUCUGUCAGAUAAAACCCUAAGUCUAGGUGUUGGUUGCAUAUAGAUCCUUUUCCAUGAUUAGUUGAUGGUUAAAUGUGAGCAUUAAGGACCGUCAACACUCACCAUUCUUCCAAUUCUCAUAGUUGCAUUCUUCUAUAAUCUCCAGCAACAUCUAGGUUCAUAUUCCAUGUCUUUAUGGCCCAGUGUGCUUUGAACUCUAGUUCAACAGGUAGGUGGCAAGUCUUCCCGUACACCAAUUGGUAUGGAGACAUUCCAAUUGGAGUCCUGUAUGCUGUCCGGUAUGCCCAGAGUGCAUCGGGUAACUUGUCUUUCCAUGCCGUUCCCAUUUCAUUUACUGUCUUCUAAAGAAUAUUCUUGAUUUGUUUGUUGGAACUCUCUGCUUGGCCACUUGUCUGAGGAUGAUAGGGGGUAGCGACGUUGUGACGGAUUCCAUGUUUUGAUAGAUAUUGCUUGAAGCGUUUAUCGAUGAAGUGUGCUCCUCCAUCACUUAUCACUACUCUGGGAACUCCAAAUCUUGGAAAUAUAAUUCUUCAAACAUCCUCUUUGAACUGAUGUUGUCAGCAUGCUUGCAAGGUAAUGCCUCUACCCACUUGGAGACGUAGUCAACUGCCACCAAGAUGUACUCACACUUCUUUGAUGGAGGAAAUGGACCCAUAUAGUCUAUUCCCCAGACAUCAAAGAGCUCAAUCUGAAGGUUGUUGGUGAGUGGCAUUGCAUCCCUUGUAUUUAUGUUUCCGUGACUUUGACAUGGCCCAUAUCUUCUGAUAUAUUGCUUCGUGUCUUCAUACAUUGUAGGCCAGUAGAAUCCACACUGCUAGAUCUUUGAAUGUGUAUGGAAUGCUCCAUAGUGACCUCCAUAUGGUGAUGAAUGACAUCUGUCGAUGAUCUUCCAUCCUUCCUUAGUGGUGACACAUCUCCUGAGUAAGCCAUCAGAGCAUACUCGGAAGAGGUAUGGCUCAUCCCAUAUAUGUGAACGACAUUCUUGAAUAAGCUUCUUCUUGUUUGCUCCUGGCGGUACAUACCCUGAAACCAUAAAAUUAACAAUAUCUGCAUACCAGGGGUCAGACCUGUUAAUCCCGUAGAGCAUGUCAUCCCGGAGUGAAUCAUUGAUGGUGGUUUCCUGUGGAUUCUUAAAAUACAUUCUAGACAAGUGAUCUACAACAAAAUUUUCUACUCCCUUUUUAUCUUUUAUUUCUAAGUCAAAUUCUUGGAGUAAGAAGAUCCAUCUAAUCAGGCGAGGUUUAGCAUCUUUUUAGUGAGCAAAUAUUUUAGUGCAGCAUGAUCAGUGUAAACAAUUAUUUUAGCUCCAACUAAAUAAGAUCUAAAUUUAUCAAUGGCAAAGACAACAGCCAGAAGCACUUUUUCAGUGGUUGCAUAGUUAAGUUGAGCUCCUGUCAAAGUUUUACUGGCAUAAGCAAUUGCAUGAUGCUUCUUAUUUUUAGUUUGUCCCAAAACUGCCCCCACAGCAUAAUCACUAGCAUCACACAUAAUUUCAAAAGGCAACGACCUAUCAGGGGGUUGAAUGAUUGGUGCAGAGAUGAGUGCUUUCUUUAAUAAAUUGAAAGAUGUUAGACAUGCAUCAUCAAAUUCGAAAGGAGCAUCCUUGGCUAGCAAAAGAGUAAGUGGUCUAGCAAUGAAUGAAAAACCUUUUAUGAAUCUACGAUAAAAACCAGCAUGGCCAAGAAAGCUUCGAAUUCCUUUUAUAUUCACAGGUGGAGGUAGUUGUUCAAUUACUUCAAUUUUAGCUUUGUCUACCUCAAUACCUCUUUCAGACACUAGGUGUCCCAGCACUAUUCCUUCCCUAAACAUGAAAUGACAUUUUUCCCAAUUUAGGACUAAGUGGUUUUCUUCACAUCUUUGCAAAACCUUGUCUAUGUUUUCAAGACAACUAUCAAAAGUUUUUCCAUAUACAGAGAAAUCAUCCAUGAAAACUUCCAUAAUCUCUUCAAUCAUAUCAGAAAAUAUAGACAUCAUGCAUCUUUGAAAAGAAGCUGGUGCAUUACAUAACCUAAAAGACAUUCUUCGGUAAGCAUAAGUUCCAUAUGGGUAUGUAAAAGUGGUUUUGCUUUGAUCAUCAGGAUGGAUCGGGAUCUGAUGAUACUCUGAAUAUCCAUCUAAGAAACAGAAGAACGAAUGGUUCGCUAAUCGCUCUAGCAUCUCAUCUAUGAAAGGUAAAGGAAAAUGAUCCUUUCUUGUGGCUUUGUUCAGUUUUCUAUAAUCUAUGCACAUCCGCCAUCCUUUGACGGUGCGUUGCGGAAUUAGCUCGUUCUUUUCAUUCAUAAUAAUAGUCAUGCCUCCCUUUUUAGGCACAACUUGUACUGGGCUCACCCACUCACUAUGCGGCACAGGAUAUAUAAUCCCUGCAUCCAGCAACUUUAUAACUUCCUUUUUAACUACCUCUCUCGUAGUGUUGUUAAGUCUACGUUGGGGUUCUCGAGAAGGUGAAACAGAAGGAUCUGUCGAAAUACGAAGGGUACAAAUCAUAUGACUGAUUCCUGUAAGAUCUUGGAGUGAGUAGCCAAAAACUGAGUGAUGUUUCUCAAGAAUGGUCAUUAAUCGCAGAGUUUGCUCCUGAGUGAGUUUAUUACUAAUGAUCAUGGAAACUCUGGAUUAUUGUUUAGGAAAGCAUAGAUUAGACCGGGUGGUAAAGUUUUAAGCUCUAUGGGAGGUCUAGGUGUUUCUGCAAACUCAUCUAAGGGUUCAGGUUCAGAAGGUUCGGCCUCCUCUUCUGUGAAGAAAGGAGCUUCUUCUUCUAAGUCUGAUUCAUCUAAAAGCUCUAGAGAUGCAGCCUUUACCUCCUCCAUAGGAUCAGGCAAAAGAUAUGACUCAGCCUUAUUGUUUAAGGAAUGUGAAAUUGUUAUUGGGAUUUUAAAGGUUUUCCCAAAAGAAAUGUGUAGCUUUCCAGUAUGACCUUCAUAAAGGAGUCUUCUAAAAGGUUGUCCUAUCAACAGGUCAAAGUCCCGUGUAUCAAAGAUAUAGAAGUUCAAAUGAACCAUGGAGACUUCUACCGUAAGAGGUAGGACAUUAAUAAUUCCAAGACUGGGGACUAAUCGUCCUGAAGAUUCCUUUAUGACCUUUGUUGUGGGGGUUAAGACAAGAUUUUUAAAUAGUUUAAGUGCAAAAGAUUUAGACAUGAUGUUGAUCCCCACAACAGGAUUAUAGAGAGCAUCAAAUCGAUCAGAAUUAUAAGCACAACGUAUAGUUAUAGAAGGUGUGUCCAAACGGAUCACAUCAGAGGAAAGCUCUGAUUCCUCCAACCACUCGCUACUCAUGACUGAGAUACGCUCUCUUAAUUGAUAUUAACUUGGCAAACAAAUGCUAAGAUGGCUGUUUUGGGGUAUGUUAGUAGAAUGGUAGUUUUAAAUGUUUCCAAAAUCGGCAAAAAGAUCAGAUUCUAUAUCCAGCAUGAAGUCCGGUGGUGGAAUUUCUUCCUCUUGUGGCUCAGAACUUGGGAUAGCUAAAGUAGAUGAAGAAUUUGGCAGAGUGUCUACUUCGGCUUCGUAGGUUUCAUCAUGAAGGGUAUUAUCCAUCUCAGCUUCUAGGAUUCUAUCUAAGAUCACUAUAGCUUCAUCACUAGGGAUACGAAAGAAAGAACCUCUAGACAUUGCAUGUAGCAUUUGUUUAUGAUUUUUCUGAAGACCUCGAAAAAAGUAAAAUAAAAGAACAGGGUCUUCAAGAUUAAGGUUUGGACUAGAUUCUAAAAGAUCAGAAAAAUGUUUCCAGGAUUUUCCCAAAGUUUCAUUAUCUUUUUGUUUAAAAGAUAUGACUUCGAGUCUAUGGUCGCCGAUACGGUCAAGGGAAUAAAAAUCUAGACAAAAGUUGGCUCGUAAAACUCCCCAUACACCUCGUUGUUGACUUACCUUCUGACUGUACCAUUGUCUAGCUUCUCCCCUUAUGGAAAAAGGAAAAAGCUUCCAACGUAAAGUUUUAUCAGAAAUGCCUUCAAUGCGAAGACAAUCACAUGUUUGCUCAAAAUCUCUAAUAUGAAGGUAAGGGUUUUCGUCUUCCUUUCCCGAAAAAGAUAGGUUUUGAAUCAUGGCAAUCAACCUAGAACUUAACCUAUACUGGGAUGUUUGGAUAGGCUGUGAUGACUCCCAUGGUAAAAGGUCAGUUUCCGAAGGUGUUGCAAAUUGGUAGAUUGAUUUAGAAUCUUGGUUUUCCAUAAGGUAAGAGUAAAGAAAAUAAAUACAGAAUAUAAAAGAUAAGAAAAGAUAAAAGUAUAGAUACAAGCCAGUAGUAAGACUCAAGGUUAUCUCAGCAAACCAUCUUUCUCCCCGGCAACGGCGCCAGAAAUGCUUGUUGAUAUUUGGGAACGCAAUAAGGAAUUGAUCCGCAAGUGCACUGAUAUCGGUGAGCACUUCACCCGGGAGAUUAUCCAGAGUAUCGUAUUUAUUUUUUUACCACUAGGAGAAAGAGUGCAUCUGACUAACCCGAUCUAUUACUACUAACCCUUUAGGCAACAAAGAAUGUUUCUCGAUGUGAGUGAUAAAUAGAGAAGACUACAACCGUAAUCUCCUUCUAACCUUGGUAAGGAUGAUCUACUGUUCUAUUGGGGAGGCUAACGGAAUCUAGACACCACAGAGGAUGUUCAACCCGCACCUAUAAACCCUAUCCUUCCUGCUAACGAGAUAUGGUCUGCAAAGGUAACUUGGAAUUGUCACGUUCCUCGCUACUACCACGGUCUAGCUAGUCAGGGAAUAUCUAUGAGUAUCCUAGCCUAAACACCACGUCUACGCUAGAGAUGAUUACUCUAAACUCUACAUGAAGAGAUUAAAGUAAACUCAUGAACCAAAAGAACAAUAAAACAAGAACUUACUAGAAUUUAGAAGUCGAAAUACUGAAGAAUCCUAGGAGCAAGCCUCGGGUUAGGAGAACUUGAUCCCGCAGGUACAAAGUUGGAGUAGACACCGACAGGCCGGGCUUCCUCCGAUCUACACCUCCACUCUAUCUCUCUCAAUCUAGUAGAAACUAGAAGAUAUAUUUCUACUCACAUUGGUUGCUAAGCCUAAAAAGAAAUUUUGUUUAGAGGAGAGGUAUUCCUUCGAGGGCUCCUCUCAACUCUAUGAGAAACUUGUCUCCUCCAGGGGCCAGGGGGUCUGGGUUUAUAGUCCCCUCAAGUGAACGUGAGUCGUUGGAUCAAACCGACAUUGAUUGGACGAUUAUCCUUGAUCCUUUAGGUCGGUGGAGCGUCGUCCGCGAAAAGAGUCCCGAACCAAGUCCAGGAGGGGGCGGGCGCCCAGGUCAACUGGGCGGGCGCCCAGUGCCUGGCCUCGUUCGGCCUCUACUUCCUUCCCAUGGCUUCUGGAGUCAUCUAGAUGGUAGACAAUUGCGCGGUGCGUUGUUAUCUCUAUGUUAUCCCGACAUGUGGGCCUUUCUUCCUUAUUUCCUGAUAACCCCCUGCAGAAACCGAUAAACAACAAAACUCGUAGAAUUCUGUCAGAUCAAACCCUAAUUCUAGGUGUUGGUUGCAUAUUGGUCCUUUCUCUUGUUUGUUUGAUAAUUAAAAUUGAUACUUAAGAACCGUCAACACCAACCAAAAAUAUUCUACUCCUAAUCCGGGAGAGAAUAGCCAAAAAUAUUUCUGUUUUUCCCUUGUGAAAUAAAUGCUCAAGUUAUCUUGUUACUACUACUUGCUAUAUUAUCUCAAGAGAUGAGUGCUCUAAAAAACAGAAAAAAAAGAAAAAAAGAGAUACGAGGAAAUAAAAAGUGGCAAGUGCCCGAAACCUCGAAAGAAAAGAAAAAGUGAGACAAGAGGUAAAAAUGGACAAGUGUUCGACAGUAGAAUUAGGGGUACAAGAUACCCACCAGAGAGGAAAGAAAAAAUAGAGCAUCUCAUUCUCCUCACAAAGUUUCAAAAAGCAAGAAAGGUAUGUGUCCCCUCAAAAGAGCAAAAGUAGAAUUAGACUUUCACCAUUGUUAUCACCAUCAUCACCAUACGCCAUUCAUUCGCCACACAUGCACAUCUUGAUUUGACUUAUUGAUUUGUUUCUUUGGAUCCAUGGUUUGACUAUACAAUAAAUGUCUUGUGAGUAUGUAUACUUUAUCUCUCACCUAUGAGCUCCAGAUAUUAAAAUCCUUAUUAGAGUAGGGUGAGAGAGAAGGCAAUGUCACUAUGCCUUAUACCACAAAUACUACAUAUUUUGAGAGAAGGCAUAUACCAUCACUGCCUUGGUAAGGAUCCAGAAAUACCACAAAAGAGAGAUUUGAGAGAGUCAUACAAAGGAAUCUCUGAGUUUUAUUUGAAAAUCUGCAAAAACUCCAGAGCUAUAGCUGAUCAAGAAUAAGAGACAUGGCACUUGACUAGACUAUUCUAUCUUUUAACUACUCAAGACAGAAGUGACGGUUACAAGUCCCAUGGUGAAAGGUAAAGUAAGUAAGUUUUAAGUCUUAACAGUUUACUCUAACUCAAAGAUGAGACCGUAUUUAGAGCAUGUGUACCGUCAAUUUUUAAAGGCAUUGCAACAACUUCUGAUCCAUCGUUGAGUCUAUCCUUGCUCAAGGACGAGCAAUAGGUAAGCUUGGGGGAGUUUGUUGACGGUCCUUAAGUAUCAGAUUUAAUUAUCAAAUAAACAAAGAAAAGGAUCCAAAUGAAAUCAACAUCUAGACUUAGGGUUUUAUCUGACAGAAUUCCAUGAGUUUUGGUGUUUGUCUAUUUUGCAGGGGGUUAUCAGGAAAUACGGAAGAAAGGCCCACAUGUCGGGAUUACAUAGAGAUAUCAACGUGCCACGCAAUUAUCUUACAUCUAGAAGACUCCAGAAGCCACGGGAAGGAAGCGGAGGCCGAACGGAGCCUUGCCCUGGGCGCCCGCCCAGGUGACCAGGGCGCCCGCCCCCUCCUGGAAUCCAAACAGGACUCUCUUUCAGGAUCAAUCUCCACCGACCUAAAGGAUCAAGGAUGACCGUUCAAUAAAUGUCGGUUUGAUCCGAUGGGCCAUAUUCACUUGGAGGGACUAUAAAACCAGACCCCCUAGCCCCUGGAGGAGAGAGCCUCUCAACCCUAAUUCAUUAUGCUUCAAGGGAGAAGAAGCCUCUGAUCAAGCCUAGAGCCACCACAUCAUAGCAUAGCUACAUAGGAUUAGAACUAGAAGGAGUCAAUCUUCGAUUGGUUUCCGGAUCUGUCAAGAGGAUUCUUGGUAAUUCUCUAAUUGUUCUUCUAAUUGUUCAUCUUUGUUCUUCAAUAUUAUGAAUAUGACUUUUUUCUACUUCAAUAUAUUGCUUAUGACUUUGCUCUACUCGUUUAUAUUCAAGAUUAUAUUGUUCUUAGUUUAUCAUAGUUAUAUACUUGGCUUAGUUAGAUUGGAUUUAUAUACAUGUUUAGAAUCGUAUAGCGUUUAUCCAUCGGAUCCAUGGGUAAAUGAUAGAUAUUGUGUAGGCGUGGUGCUUAUACCGUAUUUAUCUGCAAUUGUACCCAAUAUGCCAGAUCGUGGGAUAGUUCGUGAUAGUGACAGCUUCAUUGAUUCUUAUAUAGUCCCCCUCUCGUGUAUUGGGCUGGCAGAGCAACAUUAUUACAGGGGAGUGAUUACGAUGUUUCUCAUAUUCCUUGCUAAUAUCACUAUGCAUGGGCGUAGUCUUGUCUCACAAUGAUUUCUAAGUAUGCUUGCACUAACUAUGAUAUGCUAGACUAUAUAGUUGAGAAUAACUUAGGAAAUAUUAUUGUAGUUCGUUCUAAUUCCAUGCUAAUGACUUUCUAGAAUAUCUAAUUGAGGUGCUUAUCAUAUUUAUUAUGUGGCUAAGUUAUGCUGAUCAGACUAAUUAUCUUUGUCACUAUUCAUUACUUCAUAUAUCCUUUAUUUGACACUUACCCCUGUAUGAAAGAGUUAGAUAAAUGUUCGCAAUUAUACAUGUAAUGAUAGAUACUCAAUCUCAUAUUCCAUUCUAUAAUCAAUAUUGAUGGUUACUAAUCCCUUCCCAGUUGUAAAAAUAUAAAUAACGAUACCUGGAAUACUUCCCGGUUAAAAUGCUACAUCGGUAUUAAUCUAUGCGCUUGCAGAUCCCAUUCAUUAUUUAUUUAGAAGAGCAAUUGCAUAUUUCAAUAUCGCGUCUCUCAUGUCAUGCUGGGGAUGACAUCUUGGCUUAAGUGGUGUGAGGGAUAGGUUUGGCAUUUUUGGCACCGUUAUCAGAAUUAGAAAACUAAGUCUACUUUUGGUAGUGAUGUUAAGAAUAUCCAACACCUUCCUCGUCCUCGUCAUCGGAAAUCUCGAUGGCAACGGAAAAUAGACUGUCCGGGGAGUCCUGUUCCUGAAAAAGGAAAUAAGAUAAUUUAUUUGAUGAUCAAAUAUUAGUGAUAUAAAGGAGGGAAAUCAGAUAACUUACUUGCUUCAAAGAUAUUUCACGCCUCUGGCUGGUUGAUGCCACUGGUACCACGGGUUGAUCGACUGGACUUGCCGAUGGAACAAUAUCAACUGAAAAAUAAUAAGGAUAAUUAUAAUUUGGAAAAGUAAAUCCAUCGGUGAUAAUUUUAUAGAUAGUACUUUACCUUGAGGGGGUGCAGUGCUUGUCUGUUAUGAAGGGACUACUGAUGAUACGAUUGGAUCCAACGGAUCGGCAGUUUGCUCAAGCACGUCGGCUGAUGAUUCCUGUGGCUGAGGUUCUGAUUGAGGAGAAGAUGGUGCUUGUUGUGUCUAGAUUUCUGGUGAAGAGGGGGAUGAUUCCACAUGAAUUGGCGACACUGGAUGAGGAGGAGAAGGCGGAGCUGUCUUCUGGCGUUUUGGUUGUGAUUUAGUGCUCUUAGGGCCUUUUCUCUUGACUUGACUGGACUGGGGGGCAUCGGCACUUGUUUUGGUACUUCUGGUCUUUGCCGAUUUGCUAGUUUGCUGUUACAAUAAGCAAGAUUUCAUGAGUUUAAAUAUGAAAGAAUGUUGAUGAAAGUCUUGUUAAAAGAUAGAAGUUACCAAUGAGGUUCCAAUAGCAGCCGAUGUAUCCUGAAAAUAUUGUGUGAGUAUGGAAUAGAAUUGGUGUAAGAGAAGGAAAUUAGAAUUUUACAUUGAAAGCCUGUGCCAAGGUAGCAGCAGCAACCGAUGGAGACGUCUUUAAUCGCUUGGUGGUCACCUUCUUGAAACGCACAUUCCAGUGCAUUAAAGUUGCCAAGCUCGGUGCGUCUUGACCGAUCAGAGAAAUCGGGCCCGUUCGAAGGAGCUCGAUCGGCUUUCCACUCCUGCUGACUGUUGGUGGUGGGUUGUUGACCUGAUUUAAAGGGAGAGGGUAAGUUACCAAUGAGAAUAAAAGUAACAAAAGAAUUUAAGUAUCGGUUGAAGACUUACAGUGUUAUCGAGGACUUUGUACUUGGGGUCGAUCAUACCACGGUAUGUCAGAGCCGAUGUGCAAAACAGUUGUUCUUUCCACUCUUCCCACCACUGUUUGUAUGCCUGAGUGAUGAAAAGAGCUGGGAUCCAUGCCGAUAGAUCGAUGUCUGAUGUAUCGGCAUUCGGCUAAAGCUGGGCUAUUCUUAUCCUCUCAAGUUCGUUGGUUAUGGUUUCCCUUGGCUUCACCACAUCGGCAUAGCAGAGUCCAAUCGGCAACUGUCCAAAAGCUAGUUGACGAGCCAGUGCCGAUGGGUUGUAGAACUCAUAGGUGGGGUUGGAAGUUUUCCCACUGCCAAAGAUAUUCACUGGUAUAGCUCUCAGAGUAAUAAUUGUCAUCAUCAGAUCAUGGUCCUUGUUGAGGGCAUCAUCAAAGGGGUGAAAAGUGAGCGGGAAUCUGGUUUCUGGGUCCUCGUCAGGCAUCCAUGCCCGUUGAUCUUUGGCAAGACCCUCAUAGAGAGUUUGGAAGAAUCGGCUGACCAGGUCUUCAUUGCCACCAGUACCAGGUAAAACUAUGGCAGCCUCACCAUAGUUCAAAGGUGGGUGAGUUGCUGAUUCUUCAUCGGCCAAUUCAUGAUCCUUGGCGAUAUCUCUGGGAAAGCGCUGCGCGAAGAGGUCAAAUCCAAGGCGUUUAUGCAUGUGAACACUGAGCCACAUGUUGAUAAACCACCAAGGUCCUCCUAAGUUGCCGAUGGGUUGGCCCCACAAAAGCUUCUCGGCUACUUGAUGAAGGAGAUGGUAAACAGAGCCUAACAAGUAUCGGCCGAGAAGGAAGCGACCACCGUUGGAUAGUUUCUCUGCUGCCGAUAGAUAGACAGAAGUCGGACCUGCCGAUCGGCCGCAAAAUACAAAUUUAUCUAGCCACAUAUUCAGAAAGAUGGCAUGUUCCCUUUGCCCAACUGCUCCUAUUUUUCGGUACUUCUGAAUGUACCCUGGCCAACCGCUGAUGCUGCGAGUUUCUACCUUAGAGCUAGGCUUACUAUCAAACAGAUGGCUAUCAUCGGCAGUUGCUAUUUCUAGACCAGUUAGCAUAAGUACAUCGGCAAGGGUAGGAGAAGAAGGGCCAUGGCCAAACACAAAAGCAUUGAGAGUGUCUGACCAAAAAUACAAAGCUGCUAUCAACAGUGGUUCGUUUCUCUCCAUAUCGGCGAUGGAUAGCCUAAUGCACUCGUCUAAUUUUCGCUCACCCCAUUGGACUUCAUUCGAGUUGCCGAUUCUCAGGAACCUAUCAUUCUUCCCCUUGGUAGAACUGGGCCAGGAACGAAAAGUGUCUUUCCAUAGAUCUAAAGAGAAGUUCUCAGCUCUAAAGGAGAUCCUAUUUGUCUCUGCGUUUAUCAAAUCGGUAGGAUCUAGGUUUCCCAAUGGGCCAAGGCAUUGGAAGUGGGGUUGAUCGGUAGGAAUCACAAUCUUAUCGGCCAAUUCCUAAAGGGUUUGAAGGUUGAAAGAACAGAAAAGAAACAAAGAAAAAAACGUACUCAGUAAGUGGAUUUGCAGAGAAAAAGGAGUACAACAAGAAUACGGUAAAAAGAAGAAAGGGGAUGUUGAGUUGACCUUAGGAACGACGACGUUGAUGGCCAUUUCUUCCCGAGAGGAGGAAAGAAUCGAAGACUCGGAAGAUUGUUGGAGGAGAUCCUUGCCGGAGUUCUUGAAGUUCUCGAAUAGUGCCACCGCCAGGAAGGUAGGUUUGAGGCUGUAGAAUGACAAGAUGGGGAAGAGUACCGGAGAAGUAAGUAUUUAUAGGAUAAAGAGAGCAGGGGCAAAUCUGACUUAUCUCUUCGCCGUAUCCGUGAAAUCCGAGGGUGUUUAGGUGGAUAUGGAACUGUUCGCAUGAUAAUCAAGGCAUUGCGCAGGUGAUUUGACAACAAGCGGUCAUGAUUUUGGAGAUAUCUUACUGUGCAAGAUCUUUUGGUCGGUUCAUCGGCAGUUUUCUCUAACGAAAAUAUUGUCGAUGAACGUAUAUUAAGGGGAUUCGGUUCGAGAAGUUGGGGAAUUCGAGGUACCUGUUGUAAGACCGGGCUAAGGUUGUUUGGAUUUGGUAAUUAAUUGCUGACAGAAAGGGAUAAUUGCGGAAAGGCGUCAUUACUGGGGAGAAUUUCGAAGCAUUAAUGAUUUUAUACUCCGAAAUUGGGGGGCAUGUGUUGACACCGUUUUUGGACACGUAUCUUUGGACACGUAUCUGGAAUUAAUGAGGUAUAGAUCGGCUGGCAGAAAAGUGGUGACUAGUCUACAGAAGAGUUGCCGAUGAGGGUUGGUGCUGAUGGGAAAACGACAGGAUGUGGCUAAGUCUAGGAGUGUGAUGGAUUCGUGCCGAUGACUGGUGCUGCUGAUUGCUGAUGGCUGUGAGAGGUGGCUUGCCGAUGAUUAUGGAGAAAGGCGUAGGGGUUGUCGAUCGACUCAUUGCGGUGUACCGAUCGGUUGUGGAGGAUGAUUUGAUGCUUUCCAUAGUUAUUAGAGUUUGUUUUGUAUACAGAUUUUGUUUAAUUUAGAAUUCAAAUCCUAGUCGUGUCUGGUUGUAACUCCUGUGAACAGUGUAUAAAUGUAGACCCCGUAGCAAUGUAAUGAAUAUACACAAUCAAUCAAAUACAAGAUUUUACAUCUAUUCUAGCAUCUAAUUUUUCGACGACUUCGUCGAUUUGCAUAUUUUCUUUUUCUACGAGUUCUUUGGAAUUCUUCGAGUCAACCUCAGCGAGUUCUCGAGUCCAACGUGAAUACCUCUUGGCCGUGACAUCCGGGCGCAUCAUUGUUGUCGGGACCAAAGUAUUCGAGUUAUCACCUUUGUCGAUUGUAAGGUCAAAUCGGCUGGCACGCCUUAACGUUGAAUCGGGUAUUAGCCCUUUGUGUUUGCAGAUCACUUUUGCACCAACAGUAUCAAACUCAACAUCCAUACCUAUUUGGUGCAAGAAAGCGGGGUCGAAUGCCGGCGACUGGAGGAACUCGCGUUCCUUCAUGAGGUUGUAUGCCUGCAUCUCCCGCUCGCUCUCCAAGUUGAUGAAGGGGGCGUCGGCCUCAUCAAUGGCGUGGCCGUGUUGGCUCCUCCUCCUCUCCUCCAUGUGCUGACUGCUCGUUCCUUGCAGGGAUUGGUGGAUCUUCCCCGUGUUGGCGGCGGCUCAUUCUAAGCUCGAAUAUUCUAUUCAUGGUGGACGAGCUAGCACAAGUGUAUGGUGUUUUUGCUUGGAGAGGGAAGUGUGCAAGAGGUUUUUGACAUAAUUUUCUUGCACUAAGCUUGUGGAGUAGGCUAUGAAGCAAAGUGGAGCAAGAGAGUCAAGAAGGGAAGAGUAAAAAAUGUGUGUGAGAGGGGUGAGGUGCAACACCCGGGAUCCUCUCUAUUUAUAGAGUUGGUCUCAGGCGUGUCGACGAAAGCUGGUCGGCAGUCUACCUUGGGGUAUACCCACGGUAGUAGUUUAUCGGUAGACGGUGCGCAAACUACGAACUCGAUGGUGACGCAAGACACGGACAAGCUUUUUAUCCAGGUUCGGCCGCCGAGUUGGCGUAAUACCUACGUCCUGCGUCUGGUUGUAUUGAUUUGUGUUGAGAGAAUAUGAUAUGUGAUGUGAUGUGAUAUCCUAGGGGGGUCCCUUGCCCCUCCUUAUAUAGUCUGGAGGGCAGGGUUACAGAUCUGGAAACUAAUCCUAGUCGGUUACAAUCGCCAUGGAUAAUUUGAUAUCAAUUCCUAUUCUAACCGACUAGAAUCCUGCUUGACCUCCACAUCUUGUUUCCUUACGCGAAACUCCAGGUUGUCGGAUCAAGCCUUGAACUCGUCUCGUAAUAGGCCAAGGCUCCUGGCCCAAGUCUAGCCGUAAGGGUAUAGGGGUUUAUACCCCCACAGCUAGUCCCCGAGCACCAUGUAUUGUGAUGUAACACGCCGUCUUGAGCUCCUUCGAUCAGCGAGGCUUGACGUCUUCAAUAAGCAGGAAAGUCGCCCGAACAGUUGCAACAGUAUUUUGACCAACUCAAAAAACAGUUGAUCAACAUUGACAUCGAAGAAGCAGGUUGUUUGAAGAAUGCAUGGUGCUCUAAAUUAAAAAAGAUUUCUUUCCUAGUGAAGUGUGCCCACUUUACUUUUCUGAAAAGUAUAGCCUUUCAAAAAAGCAAGCACAUUCACCGCAAGGUGAAGUGUGCCCACUUAGUCCCCGAGCCUGGUAGUAGGUGACGUAGGCACGUGGUGCCAGGGUCAAAAGAAAAGUCCUCAAAGAAAUUCUCAAACUGAGAUGCAUCGUCAGAUGCAUCGUACCGAUGUAGUCCCCGAGCUUGCUGGAAGGCGAAGUAUGAGCCUUGUAGCAAGGUCUAAAAAAAUUGAAUUUACCAGUCCGUCUGCAAUUGAAUAGACUAAUCGACCAGUCCCCGGGUGUAUAAUAGUAUGACGACCAGUCCCCAAGCACCAAGUGCGCUCCUUAGAAUUCUGCGUUGCUAUACUGUACGACCAGUCCCCGAGCAUCGAGUGCUCGGUGGUCGGUGCAGUCUUUGAAGUUCCGAGCUGAUAGACUGGGCGACCAGUCCCCGAGCGUCAAGUGCUUGGUGGUCGGUACAGUCCCCGAAUUCUCAAAUUGGUGGGCUGGUCGACCAGUCCCCGAGCGUAUAGUGCUCGGUGGUCGGUACAGUCCCCGAGCACGGCGUAGGGACCGGUGGACAAGUCCCCGAGCGUGGUUGGGAACGUAAACGUGCUCGGUGGUCGGCACAGUCUUCGAGCACAGCAUAGAGAGUAGUCGACAAGUCCCCGAGCGUGGUUGAGAACGUAAACGUGCUCGGUGGUCGGAGCAGUCCCCGGGCACAGCGUAGGGAAUAGUCGACGAGUCCCCGAGCGUAGCUUGUCGACUGGGCCAAACCCCUAAAAAAUAAAUAUAAAGAAUAGGUAGUACAUGAUGUAUAAAUAAACUUUAGAUAAAAAUCAGUACUGAGAUAAGUUUUAGAUUUUUUGUUAUAAAAUUAGCACAAGUAGUUAAUUCAUCCUAGAGCUUGUACCAGCUCUGGUCUAGCCAACAAUCAGCAUGAGGUGCGGAACCUAGACACGCGUGGGAUUGCCAGCCUCGCCAGAGAGCUACUGCCGACCACCCGGAACGCAGAGGGCGGAUCUCGUGCACGUGUAGGGAGGAGUCGGAGACAGUACCGGCUCUGGAAAGCUCGUGUAGAAGAAAAAACUAGUGUGGCUAAACAAAAAGUUGUUUUUGAAGGAUAAUAAAAAAUAUUAUGCCAAAAUAAAUAAGAUAUUAGAAGUGUACUUAUCUUUGGAUGAAAGUCUGGUCGGUGACGACAAAAUUGUCUGGCCCUCGAGCUUUUGGACUUGUUAUCGUGACGGUGGUCGCUGUUGUCGUAGCGUCGUUCUUCGCGGCGAUUAUUAUUGCGACUGGUGGUCAGAGCAAGUAGGCCAAACAAUUUGGUCGAUGGCCCGAGCAGGUCGGUGUUGUCGAUCUGCCUCCCUUUGUUGCAGGGAAGCGGGUGACGCGUUGUCGGCGUGGUCGGAGACGUUGCUGGAGUAGUCGGAGUCGUAGCCAGCGUGGUUGAAGCCGCCGCUGACGUCGAUGAAGAAGUGGUUGGCGCAGAUCGGAUCUACACCUCCUCCGUGGUCAUGGCGGUGAAGUUGUUGAAGCUGACGGUGAACGUGAAGCCGCCCGCCAUGGCCGCGAAGUCGGGGAUGAUGGCCAUCUUGUUCGCCGGAAAAGUUGCACGCACACCCCCUACCUGGCGCGCCACUGUCGACGAAAGCUGGUCGGCAGUCUACCUUGGGGUAUACCCACGGUAGUAGUUUAUCGGUAGACGGUGCGCAAACUACGAACUCGAUGGUGAUGCAAGACACGGACAAGCUUUUUAUCCAGGUUCGGCCGCCGAGUUGGUGUAAUACCUACGUCCUGCGUCUGGUUGUAUUGAUUUGUGUUGAGAGAAUAUGAUAUGUGAUGUGAUGUGAUAUCCUAGGGGGGUCCCUUGCCCCUCCUUAUAUAGUCUGGAGGGCAGGGUUACAGAUCUGGAAACUAAUCCUAGUCGGUUACAAUCGCCAUGGAUAAUUUGAUAUCAAUUCCUAUUCUAACCGACUAGAAUCCUGCUUGACCUCCACAUCUUGUUUCCUUACGCGAAACUCCAGGUUGUCGGAUCAAGCCUUGAACUCGUCUCGUAAUGGGCCAAGGCUCCUGGCCCAAGUCUAGCCGUAAGGGUAUAGGGGUUUAUACCCCCACAAGGCGGGGGAGCGCCCCCCUCAACGGCUACUAGCCGUUGCCCAAAGGCCGAGGCCAGCAGGCCUUAGGCAGGGUGCGGCCGCACCGUAGUGCACCCGCACCAGUGGUGGGCCCGCCUGUGCUCGGCCUUUUGGCUGAUGGUUCCAACGGCUCUCCCCAACGUCUCUCUGGUUACGAUCAAACCUAGUUCAAAACUUUGCUCCAGAUUUUUAUUUUCCACAUAUUUAUUCAAGAUAUUUUUGGUUUUCAAAAAUUAUAUAAAAAUAAGAUUUGGAAAUGAGAAAAUCUAUUGUACCAGAAAAUAAUUUUUAUAAGAUUUUGAGAGAAACUUUAUUUUUUGACUAAAAUAAAACUAUAGAAAGGGAAACUUUUGGGAACUAAAAAUAAAAACUUUCUAUAAAAUGGGAAAUUUGAAAUGAAUUUAAAGAAUUUAAAAAGACAUAAUACCUAAGUGGGGACACCUCCCCCAAGCUUGCUUGAUGUCAUGGGCCCCUUCAGAUAUCUUUAUUGGGACACAAAUAGCACAAAAUUUAUUUUUAUUAUAUAUAGUGUUUUUUGAGAUAACUACCGAAUGCCUUUGGCAAGGGCUCAACAUUUAUAGUCCAUUGGCAAGACUUUCCUUCCUUCAUUCUUCUAUGGCUGCAUGGACGAACUUAGUAGAGUUUUCCGGUUGCCCUGGGAUCCUCUCUGUGUCAGUGACUGGAAUUGAUGCAGCUAUCUGUGCUAUCUGUGUUUCUAUCAUCUUGUUGAAACUCGUCUGACUUUUGACAGAUGAAGAAAAAGUUUCAAGCUUGGCGUUGAUGUUCUCAAUGAUAUUGUCAUUGUAGGACAGCUUCUUGGUUAUAUUCUCGUUGAUUUUAGCUUGCCCUAUGACCAGAUCUUUCAAGGAAGGCUGAUUGAAGAAAUUACCCUGCGGGCGGUGCUGAUUGUUCCACCCAUUGUUACCUUGUUGUGGUGGCAGAAACCCAUUGUUGACAUAUGCUGCUUGUUCUUGGGUUUUGGGGCAAUUGUUCCCCGAAUGGCCAUCAUCACCACAAACUUCACACGAUGUGUGUGAGUUCACUGCUUGGACGGUGCCCAUGUUGGGAUUUGCAACUUGUCUGACCAUCCUUUGCAGCAGCAAGUCUAUUUUUGCGGCAAGCACAUCUGCCUCCUUCGCAGAUUGCGAGCCUUUUUGUGUUUUCCUUCCUUCUCCCCAGCUUUGAUUUGCCACCAUGUUCUCGAUGAGGGCAGUAGCUUUAUUAACGGUGAGAGAAAGGAAUGCACCUCCAGCUGUGGCAUCUACGUGCCCCUUUGACAUGGCCGUGAGGCCUUUGUAGAAGUUCUGGAGCACAAGCCAGUCUUCCAUUCCAUGGUGAGGACAGGCCUGGAUGUACUCCUCGAGCAUCUCCCAUGUUUUGGGUAUGAACUCAAGAAAAGACUGCUAGAAGUUAGAGAUCUUCCCCCUCAGAGCGCUGGUCUUGCUCAUGGGGAAGAACUUGGCGAGGAAUGCCACGGAGCACUUUUCCCAUGUGUCAACAGCUUCCUUGUUCUGAUAAAACCAUUGUUUCACCUUUCCGACGAGGGAAAAGGGAAACAGACAGAGCCUGAUGCUAUUCUGUGCGACGUCCUUGAUGACGAUGAUGUUGCACAGCUCAAGGAAGUUCUGAAGGUGGGCGUUGGCAUCCUCGCUUGGCAGCUCAAGGAGGGGGUGGUAGCUGUCGACGAAAGCUGGUCGGCAGUCUACCUUGGGGUAUACCCACGGUAGUAGUUUAUCGGUAGACGGUGCGCAAACUACGAACUCGAUGGUGACGCAAGACACGGACAAGCUUUUUAUCCAGGUUCGGCCGCCGAGUUGGCGUAAUACCUACGUCCUGCGUCUGGUUGUAUUGAUUUGUGUUGAGAGAAUAUGAUAUGUCCUAGGGGGGUCCCUUGCCCCUCCUUAUAUAGUCUAGAGGGCAGGGUUACAGAUCUGGAAACUAAUCCUAGUCGGUUACAAUUGCCAUGGAUAAUUCGAUAUCAAUUCCUAUUCUAACCGACUAGAAUCCUGCUUGAUCUCCACAUCUUGUUUCCUUACGCGAAACUCCAGGUUGUCGGAUCAAGCCUUGAACUCGUCUCGUAAUGGGCCAAGGCUCCUGGCCCAAGUCUAGCCGUAAGGGUAUAGGGGUUUAUACCCCCACAGCUAGUCCCCGAGCACCAUGUAUUGUGAUGUAACACGCCGUCUUGAGCUCCUUCGAUCAGCGAGGCUUGACGUCUUCAAUAAGCAGGAAAGUCGCCCGAACAGUUGCAACGGUAUUUUGACCAACUCAAAAGACAGUUGAUCAACAUGGACAUCGAAGAAGCGAGUUGUUCGAAGAAUGCAUGGUGCUCUAAAUUAAAAAAGAUUUCUUUCCUGGUGAAGUGUGCCCACUUUACUUUUUUGAAAGGUAUAAACACCAAAAAAGCAAGCAUAUUCACCGCAAGGUGAAGUGUGCCCACUUAGUCCCCGAGCCUGGUAGUAGGUGACGUAGGCACGUGGUGCCAGGGUCAAAAUAAAAGUCCUCAAAGAAAUUUUGUAGCUGAGAUGCAUCGCCAGAUGCAUCGUACCGAUGUAGUCCCCGAGCUUGCUGGAAGGCGAAGUAUGAGCCUUGUAGCAAGGUCUAAAAAAUUGAAUUUACCAGUCCCCGAGCAUAUCAUGCUCGUCUGCAAUUGAAUAGACUGAUCGACCAGUCUCCGAGCAUAUAACGCUUGGUGGUCGGUACAGUCCCCGAAUUCUCAAAUUGGUGGGCUGGUCGACCAGUCCCCGAGCGUAUAGUGCUCGGUGGUCGAUGCAGUCCCCAAGUUCAUAAAUUGGUGAGCUGGUCGACCAGUCCCCGAGCGUAUAGUGCUCGGUGGUCGGCACAGUCCCCGAGCACGGCGUAGGGACCGGUGGACAAGUCCCCGAGCGUGGUUGGGAACGUAAACGUGCUCGGUGGUCGGCACAGUCUUCGAGCACAUCAUAGAGAGUAGUCGACAAGUCCCCGAGCGUGGUUGGGAACGUAAACGUGCUCGGUGGUCGGAGCAGUCCCCGGGCACAGCGUAGGGAAUAGUCGACGAGUCCCCGAGCGUAGCUUGUCGACUGGGCCAAACCCCUGAAAAAUAAAUAUAAAGAAUAGGUAGUAGGUGGCGUAGGCACGUGGUGCCAGGGUCAAAAGAAAAUUCCCCAAAGUAGUUUCGAGAACUGAGAUGCAUCGCUAGAUGCAUCGUACCGAUGUAGUCCCCGAGCUUGCUGGAAGGCGAAGUAUGAGCCUUGUAGCAAGGUCUAAAAAAUUGAAUUUACCAGUCCCCGAGCAUGUCAUGCUCGUCUGCAAUCGAAAAAACCAAUCGACCAGUCCCCAGGCACUUAGUGUGCUUCUUGGAAUUAUAUGUUGCUAUAUUGUACGACCAGUCCCCGAGCAUCGAGUGCUCAGUGGUCGGUGCAUGCUUUAAAGUUUUGAACUGAUAGUCUAAGCGACCAGUCCCCGAGCGUCGAGUGCUCGGUGGUCGGUGUAGUCCUUGAAGUUCUGAGUUGACAGACUGGGCAACCAGUCCCCGAGCGUCGAGUGCUCGGUGGUCGGUGCAGUCCUUGAAGUUCCGAGCUGACAGACUGGGCAACCAGUCCCCGAGCGUCGAGUGCUCAGUGGUCGGUGCAGUCCCCGGAUUGCUGACUCACUGGCGUAUGUGUCUUCUUUUGAAAAGAUCUUUCCAAUUAAAGUUGACGUGACGGGGUCUCCUGACGAUAUGUCAGUCAGAUGCAUGAAAAGCUGCACCUGGCAACUGUACAACCGCUCUUUGCAUGGUUUGAGAAAAGGAAACCAUCAAUUGGUACGAAAACUCCGCCGCAUUAAUUGUAUAUAAUCAUUGUAAACCGAAACGCCGCGUCCGCCGCAUGGCCUGCCCACUUCCCGAGAAUACAGGAAGUGGGAGAAGUGGGGUCGCGGGUUUAUAAGGGUCUAAUAGGACCGCCUGUACCGCUUCUCCUGCUGUUGCCUUCAAACCUUACGCUCUCAUCUUCUCCAAUCUCCUGCAUCUUCCUAACUCCAGCCCACAUUCGCACCUCUAAUGGCGAAGAGCGACUCCAGGAAGAGGGCCGAACUGAUGGCCAAGGAGUGGAAGAAGUCUCGCAGCACCACAAAAUCUCUUGGUGACCUCAUCGAUAUGGGGCUUCUGCACGGUGCAGAGCUCGGCGGCUGGAGGGCACCGGAGGGGGAGAGCUACCCCGACCCUCGCGCCGGUGAGAUCGUCGUUUUUGAGGAUUUCGUUAAGAGAGGCUUUGGUGUUCCUGUCCAUCCUUUUCUUCAAGGUCUUCUUUUGUACUAUGAGAUCGGGAUUUGCAAUCUGCACCCGAACUCAAUUCUCCUUAUUUCCACCUUCAUCCACCUGUGCGAGGCCUAUGUUGGCAUAGAGCCACACUUCGAUCUUUUCCGAUACCUUUUCUGCUUGAGGAAGAAGGGAGCAGUUGGAGGCUCCAAGGUUGCAGGUGGAGUAUACCUCAACCUUCGCGAUGGGAUGAAGAAUCGCUAUCUGCACUGCCCAUGGAACACUUCCUUGACCGAAUGGUACAGGAAGUGGUUCUAUGUCAGGGAGGAACCGGGCAGCUCCACGUUCUGCGACGUGGGAUACAUUCCCGAGAAGAGGACGAGCUGGACCGACCGCCCAGAGUUCGACGGUCAAGUGGCGGAUCUGAUGAAGCUGAUCGACUGGUCGCGCCUGGAUGGGCUUGGCGUGGUCGGCAACUUCAUUUGCCGCAGGGUGAUGCCCUGCCAGAAGAGGGUGCACUCGGCGUACGAGUAUGCCGGAAGCGCAGACCCGACCAGGAUGCGGUCGGAGAUCUUGGAGAAAGCGAAGGUACAACAGCUGUUGAACGAGCUGUUUAACUUCGCGGAUGGGGGCUUCACCCGGGGCAGUGAUCGGGUGCAAGCCUUCAAGUUAGGACGACCAGCACCAAAGGUAUGCAGCAGACUCUGUUUGAUCAUUCGUAUAUCGUCUGUAGUUGACUCAUCUCUGUUGCUUUUGCAGGCCGGUGAUGUCGACCGGUACGUGGUGUAUGUAUCACUGGCGCCGGGGAUGGAAAAUCCUGCGGGAGAGGUCCCGCCAGAGGAGGACGCUGCUCGGUGUACUCAUUACACCAGCAGUGAGGAAGACCGAGCCCGCCCCGUCCCGACCUCCGAGGAGAGGGUAGCGGGGAAAAGGCCAUUGCCGGCGGAUCCCUUGCCGACAUCGGAGCUGCCAGCAGACCUACCGGCGGAGAGCAGCCAAGCGCCGAAACGUCGUCGGCUCGUGCGGAUCGUCGACGACGAUGACGACGACGAGGAGGCUGCGCCGUCGUUGGUCCGACGGCCUCGGAGCCGCCCAGACACUACGCCGGUCGCCACUGAUCGAGUGGCCAGCGGCGUCGCUGCCCCGCAAGUUGCCGAGGUGGGGGCACAGGUGCCGACCGGCCGGGCGAGGAGGAGGUUCACCGCGACCCAUCGCCGGUCAGACCUGUAAGUGUUCGACUUACGUAUUUUGGACUCCUCUUUUUUUUUUUAAACUUUUGUUCCUGCAGUGCGGCAUCGGAUGUCGACCCUGGCCAAACUGCCGGCCAGGUAACGGACGAGCCUGCCCGCGGUUCUGGGGAUGCAGCCCCCCAGACCACAGAACAGCCAACAGCUGCAGUCGCGCCUGGGAGCACCGAGGGGCCCCCGAGCGCGGCGCCGACAACAAGCAGCCCGACCAGGGCUGGAGAGGCUCCCCCAACUGACUCCUCGGAGAAGGGGAGAUCUCCGACCGCUCCUCCUGCCGGGGGGGGUGAAGUCCCCCCGCUGCCCCGAGCAGGAGCCUCUUCGGCUGCGGGCUCCCCAGGUCUGGUCCAAGGGCCAGUAAUGCCUGGGACCACCACCGGGGGUGACGCAGCACAGGAGGACGAAACCCGGGCGGCCUCCGACGACGAGGUGGAGGAGAUCGAGGGUCGUCCCCGUGAUGGCCGCCAACACGUGUAUGUGUGGCGCCAACGCGGGGAUCACUUUAUCGGUCAUGAGGAGGUCGCUGAGACCGAAGAGGCCGCCAGGGUGGAGCGCGCGGCCAAGCGCCUUGUCGACGAAGUCAAGGUAAGCGGCUUUUUGUACUGAUGCGCAUUCUUUUGCCUUGUCUUGCUUGAUCGUUAUAUGCUUGCUUUGUAGGACGUAAUGAAAACGGCGAAGUACCGGAAACAGUGCUUUGACCAGAUAGAAAUCGUCAUGGCUGAGAACAAGGCCCUUGCCGCGGAGGUAGACCGGUUGCGGGCGGAGGUCGGGGAGAAGGUGGUCGAGAUGAGCGCUGAAAAGGAGCGUCGUCUCGACCUCGCUCGUCGCCUGGCCGACCAGUACCGGCUGCAGGAAGGUUAGUCACACGCUCCGAGCAGUUUCGCGUACUUGUGUAGUUUGUUUUGCUGACCAGUUUAGGAUUCACGCAGACUUGGAGGAGGAGGUGGCGAGCCUCCAACAAGAGAAGGAGCAGCUCGGCCAACAGCUCGCCAGUGCACAGGAGUUCGGGUGGCGAGCGGAAGAGGAAUUGGGUCGAAAAGACCGGGAGUUAGCUGGUAAUGGGUGCCGCCUUGUUGGUUGCUGCCUGCCCCUUUGCUUGUCUGGUAUGCCGGAAGUAACGUUUCGUUUUGUUUGCAGUGCUCAAGGUGAACACCAAAAAGCACCUGGAUGAGCUGGUCAAGGACCGGGACUCCUGGAAGGUCAACUGUUGCAGGAUCUGGAAAGGAGUGUCCCCGGUCCUGGACCUGAUCAAUCCCGAGCUCCCGGAGAGCCAGCCCCGCGCGCCGCAGUUGACCCCCGUCGAGAAGGCGCAACGGGCGUGGGAUUGGCUCCAGCAGUUUGUGAAGGACGCCGGAGAGUUUGCCGGCGCGCACGUCCUCAGCAUGGUACGCGCCCACUACCCCCUGGUCGACUUGAGCAGGCUGGAGAAGGGGUACCCGAAGGAAGUCGGCCCACAGGAAGCGGACGAACUUCGGGGUAGUCUGCUGAACUUGUCGUCGACAGUGAUCGGCGACAUCAACCUGUGCGGAACGGCCACUCCUCCAGACCAGCCGAGCUCAGAUAGGUCGGCCAGGGAGUUGUCGGGCGCGUCCGUUGCUGGAGAUGGGCGGUCGACGCCUGCGGUCUCGACCAGCCAGGCGCCGGUGGCCCCGACCCCUUCGUCCGGGCAGCAGGGCCAGGCGGGUGAUCAGCCCGAGCAGCUAGGCCAAUAAAGUAGUCUGUAGGAAUAGACUAGUAUGUGCCCGUCAGGGUAUUUAUUGUAAACUUUGUAUGUAAAGUUUGUAAUAAAGUUUUCUUUUUGUCAUGACUGUUGUUUUGAGCGCUGUAAAAAUAUCUGAGUGACGUGUCACCGUAUUUGUCUUGGUUGUCGCCAAGAGCAUCCAUUGCAGAAGUUUUGCCGAGUGCUGUGUAUGACAAGGUAUAGGCGAAAAAUAGAGAAUUUUAUUAUCAAAAAUUAUAAGGUACUUACAAAAGAAAGUCGUUGAAACUUUAUGGAUAGAAACGUCGCAGUUUGUCGAUGUGCCAAGAGUUAGGCACUCGUGUUCCGUCUGGGUAUGCCAAUCUGUAGGACGUAGGUCGUGUGACCUCGGUCACCACGAAGGGUCCUUCCCAGGGAGUAGAUAACUUGUGCAUUCCCUCCUGGCUUGUUUUCCAUCGAAGCACCAGAUCGCCGACCACGAAGGAACGGUCCUUGACGUUCCUGUUGUAGUAUCGCCUGACUGCCGCGAGAUAUUUUGCUGUUCGGAGACAUGAAACUAAACGCUUUUCCUCCAUGCAAUUGAUUUCUAGUUCUCUGGCGUUGUCGGCGGUCGCCUGGUCGAAGUGCUCGAUUCUAGGAGAUCCGAAGUGUAUGUCGGACGGCAAGACCGCCUCUGCGCCGUACACCAUGAAAUAGGGAGACACCCCUGUGUUUCGACUGGUCUGAGUUCGGAGGCCCCAGACCACUGCCGGCAAUUCCUUCAUCCAACGACCGGGUGCUCUGUCGUUCUCGGUGUACAAUCUUUUCUUUAGGGCGUCGACGAUCAUUCCGUUAGCACGUUCAACUUGACCGUUGGCACGUGGAUGUGCCACUGACACAUAUUUUAUGACUAUGCCUCUGUCAUCGCAGAAAUCCCAAAAAGUGGUGCCAGUAAACUGAGUGCCCAGGUCGGUGAUUAUGCUGUUCGGGAUGCCGAAUCUGUGUAUGAUUUGAUUGAGGAACUCCACAGCCUUCUCGGAGGUUGCCUUGACCAGGGGCAUGUAUUCAAUCCACUUGGAGAACUUGUCGAUUAACACGAAAACAAACUUGAAGUUGCCCGGGGCUGGUUUAAAUGGUCCGAUCAUGUCAAGCCCCCAGCAAGCAAAGGGCCAAGACGACGGGAUGGUUUGAAUUUCAUGGGCAGGUACGUGGGUCCUCUUAGCGAAAAACUGACAUCCUUCGCAAUGCCGAACCAGUUUUUCUGCGUCGCUGACCGCGGUUGGCCAAUAAAAACCUGCUCGGAAAGCCUUUCCGACCAGCGUUCUAGAUGCGGCGUGGUUGCCGCAGGAUCCGGCGUGUAUGUCCUCCAAGAGCUUGAUACCAUCGUCUUGGGGUAUGCACUUGAGCAGUACCUCGGAGCUUGCGUUUUUCCGCAUGAGUUUUCCGUCGACCAGGAUGUAGUUCUUUGAUCGUCGGAUGAGACGCUCGUUCUCUGUUUUGUCCUGAAAACCUGUCCCGUCUGAGAUGUAUUUGAUGAACGGGAUACGCCAAUCACGCCCACCGGUUGUCGGAGUGGCGUCAUCUAUGAGCAUUGCCUCGGUGGGUUGCUUGUCGACCAGGGGGGAGCUUACGCUCGGCUCAUGGAUGUCCUGGACGAAAAUACCCCGCGGGAUUUGGGCCCGAGACGAGCCUAACUUUGACAACGCAUCUGCUGCUUGGUUCUUAUCCCGGACCACGUGGAUGUACUCUAUGCCAUAGAAGUUAGUUUCCCAUUUGCGAAUUUCUUUGCAAUAGAGAUCCAUCUUCUCGUGGGUUGCGUCCCACUCCUUGUUGAGCUGGUUGAUGACCAAAGCGGAGUCGCCGUAGACAUAGAGGCGCUUGAUCCCCAGUUCGACGGCUAGUCGUACGCCAUGUAAACAAGCUUCGUAUUCGGCGACAUUGUUUGACGCCGGAAAAAGGAUCCGAAGGACGUAGCGGAGUUUGUCCUUGUUUGGUGAUACGAACAAUAUCCCAGCGCCUGCACCGUUGAUGUUCAAGGACCCGUCAAAGAACAUUGACCAGUGGUCUGAGACAUCUGGAACGGAAGGUUCGUUGAGAUCCGUCCAUUCGGCAAUGAAAUCGACCAGGGCUUGAGACUUGACAGUGGUGCGACUCUGGAACUCUAGGGAAAAUGGACAUAAUUCCAUUGCCCAUUUCACGAUUCUGCCAUUGGCGUCUUUAUUGCGCAGGAUGUCCCCGAGAGGAAAGCUGGUUGUCACCAGGACUCGAUGGCCGUCGAAGUAGUGCUUCAGCUUUCUUGACGUUAUCAGGAUGGCGUAUAUAAGCUUCUGUAUUUGUGGGUACCUGGCCUUGGAUUCGUUUAAAACUUCACUUAUGAAGUAAACGGGUCUCUGGACCUUGAAAACGUGACCUGGUUCAUCUCGCUCGACCACUAUUGCCGUGGAAACAACCCUGUCGGUUGCAGCAAUGUAAAGGAGCAGGUCUUCAUUGGGCUGAGGCGCUGUGAGGACAGGCGGUGAAGUGAGGAAGGUCUUAAGCUGAGUGAACGCAGCGUCGGCUUCUUCUGUCCAGGAGAAUUUUUCUGACGCUUUCAAUAGUUUGAAGAAAGGGAGGCCUUUUUCUCCCAGCCUUGAGAUGAAACGACUGAGGGCGGCCAUGCAUCCGGUUAGCCUCUGAAUAUCCUUGACGUUCUUCGGUGGUCGCAUGUCGAGCACGGCUUUGACUUUUGAAGGGUUUGGUCGUAUGCCGUCGCAACUGACGACGUUGCCGAGCAGUAGACCGGAAGGGACGCCGAAAAUGCAUUUCUUGGGGUUGAGCUUCCACUUGUACCUAUUGAGUGCUUUGAAGGUUCGGUCUAAGUUGUCGAUUAGGGUGCUCGCGUCCCUUGUUUUUACGACCACGUCGUCCACAUAGGCCUCGACGAGGUCAUCGCGAAUCUCGUCGUGGAGGCAUUGCUGGAUGGCCCUUUGAUAAGUGGCCCCGGCGUUUUUAAGUCCGAAAGACAUGGUAGUGUAACAGUAUGCGCCGAAGGGCGUGAUGAAGGAUGUUUUGAUCUGAUCUUCUUCCUUUAACGAGAUCUGGUGAUAACCAGAGUAGCAAUCUAGAAAGGAGAGGAGUUCGCAUCCGGCCGUUGAGUCGACCACCUCGUCGAUGCGAGGAAGACCAAAUGGAUCUUUAGGACAGUGUUUGUUGAGAUCGGUGUAAUCAACGCACAUUCUCCAUUCAUUAUUCUUUUUGCGUACAAGAACCGGAUUGGCGAGCCAAUCGGGAUGAUACACCUCUUUUAUGAAUCCGGCUGCUAGAAGCCGUGUUAUUUCUGUCCUAAUGGCCUCCUUUUUGUCACGAGCGAACCGUCGCAGUUUUUGCUUGAUUGGUCUUGCGGUCUUCGAGACGUUUAAGGAGUGCUCGAUCAGGUUUCGUGGGACACCGGGCAUGUCUGCGGGUUUCCAUGCGAAAACGCUCACGUUGUCCCUUAGAAACCUGACGAGCGCGUCUUCCUAUUUUGGAUCCAGGUUAGCCCCGAUGAGGGCUGUCUUCUCGGGGUUGCCUUCGACCAGCUGCACUUCUUUGUACUCCUUGGAUUUCGAAUUCUUUCUGGAUGUCUCCUGCUCAGGUAAUCGGAGCUGGUCGGGAGGCAGCUGUGCGGCUUGGCUUGCUGUUUCCGCCAUGCGGAUUGAGAGGUCAAUUGCCUCGGUGAUCUUGAAGCUUUCUUCUUCGCAGGUGUACGCCGUGUAGACGUUGCCUCUGACGGUUAGGACACCCUUCUCCGUGGGCAUCUUAAGCACUAGGUAUGAGUAGUGCGGGACUGCCAUGAACUUUGUCAGCGACGGGCGGCCCAGUAUGGCGUGGUAGGUCCCGUCGAAGUCCGCGACUACGAAGUUGAUGAACUCCGUCCGGAAGUGAUCGGGUGUGCCGAAUUGGACAGGCAAUGUUAUCUGUCCGAGGGGCACCGAACUUUGACCUGGCAAAACCCCCCAGAAUUGGGCGUCGUAAGGUUUUAGUUGCGCCGGUGAUAUCUUGAGGGCGGGCAGGCUGUUGCGGAAGAGGAUGUCGAUGGAGCUUCCCCCGUCCACGAGCACGCGCUCGAAUCUGAUGCUAUUGAUGCAGGGAUCAAGAAUUAGUGGGAAACGACCCGGCUCUGGGAUAGCGGCCCACUGGUCCUUCCUGCUGAACGCGAUCUCCCUGUGGGACCGGGCGGGAAAUUUCGGAUCUGCGAUCAGCCCGUCCGUGCUGUCUAUGUUGAGGCAGGCUCUCUUUAACAGCUUUCUUUCUCGCUUGGACUCAGUGGAGACCUUGCCCCCGAAAAUGGAGUGGACCACGUCGGUGGGGCUGACGUAUUGGUGUCGGGGGUCCCUGUCUUGGUCCUCAUCCUCAUCUUCGUGGUCGUGCCCGUCGCGUUUGUUAGUUUUCUUGGCGGUGUCUUCUUGGGCGGCCCGCCGUGUAUAGAUACUUUUGAGGACGCGGCACUCUUCCAUGGUAUGGUUAGACUUUGGGUGUAGCUGGCAUGGUCCCUUCAACGUUUUGUUGUAGUCUUCUUGGUAGUCCCGUCGUCCAUUGGGACGUUUAACCGUGUUUACUUCGUGGUCGUAUUCACGAGGGCGCUUUCCUCUGAAGUCGUCGCGGCUGUUGCGCCGCCGAUCCCAACCCUCUCGGUGAUCACGGUUGUCGGAGCGGCGGUGAUUUCUGUUGUCGUAGCGACCACGAUCGUCAUCUCGCCGUGAGGGCUGGUCGGUGCCUCUCGCAUCGUCUCGGAUUAGUUUUUCUGCGUCAUCAGCGUCGGCAUAAUUUUUAGCCGUGGCGAGGAGCUCUGCUACCGUUGAUGGGCGCUUACGCAACAGCUUGUUCCUCAGCGCUUCAUGGAAACGCAAGCCCUUGAUAAAGGCUGAUAUGGCCUCGUCAUGAGAAAUCUUCGGGAUUUUGAGGCGCAUAUCCGAGAAUCGUCGGAUAUAAUCGCGCAGAGGUUCAUUCUUCCUGUCUCUUAUCCUUUCAAGGUCAUAUUUGUUUCCGGGCUGCUCACAUGUGGCGAUGAAGUUGUCGAUGAAGGCCUGUCGUAGCUCUUCCCAAGAGUCGAAGGAGUCCUCGGGUAAGCCGAGAAGCCACUGAUGACCGGCCUGGUCGAGGACUACGGGGAAGUAGUUAGCCAUGACGUGCUCAUCUCCUGCCGCUGAUCGGACGGCGAUUUCGUAGAGGGUGAUCCAGUUCUCUGGAUUUUCCUUGCCGUCGUAUUUUUUAAGUUUUUCGAGCUUGAAAUUGCGGGGCCACACGACCUGGCGGAGGUGUGAGGAGAACUGCCUUAGGCCCGGAGGACCAUGGGUCGCAUCGUACUCGAUGCGGCGCAGGUUUUCGUGGACUGCUCUCUCUGCGGCGCGCCUGUUGAUGCGGUCCCGGGCAUCUUUGGGAGGGAUGUUGUGGCGGAGAUCCCUGUGUUGAUCUUCUUCUUCUUGGCCGCGUACGCGGUUCUGCUGGCGGCGGCCAUCGGCGUCCCGACCACCAUCGUCGCGCCGUGAGUCCCCUCGACGGUUGUCGGGGGAGCGGCUGCGGCGACGCCUACUGGGUGAGGCCCGGCUACGAUGAGUCUGGUCGGAGGCGGCUUCCGUAUAAGAGACGUCCUGGACUCUCUUGAGCAGAGUGGCUGUCUGCCCCAUCGCGGCGAUCAGGUGUGCUCGGAUACUGGUCCGGACUCCCUGGCAUUCGGGGGUGUCAGGAAGCCGAUCCAGGUUGGCCAUGGCGACAGCCACGUUGGCGCUUGGCGUUUUGUAGACCGGCUGGUCCCCGACCAUAUCAAAGGCAUCGUUGAGGUUGCCUGGUGGCGUCUGUUGUUGCUCGUCCGCACGCCGUCGGGCGCGAUCGGCGUUACGCUGUUCGCGGAGUUGCCUCUGGUCGUCUGUUUCUCCGUCAACAGCCGGUUCGUCGGCGCUGACAUUGAAUACGAUAUCCCCUCGCCGGGGGGGGAAUAUCGGGAAUCGGUCGAAACCCGGAGGGUGUGAAGGAAAAUCCAGGUCGUAGCCCUCGUCUUCGGUAUUCACAACCUCGGUGGGGACGGAGCCGGUGCUUGAGUUGGUGCUAGAAACCUGGCCGUCCCGUAGCUCUCGGAUGGUCACCAUGUUGACAUGGUGACGAUUGUUCCUUGUCGGCGACCAGCCCGCUUUGCUAAAAACGGAUUGGACAUGCUGUGAGUAAACAGAGGCCGAGUUGCUCAGGCCGCAAGGAUAGUCUUCCUUUUUGAGCUCGACGGAUCGUCCUGAGGGGGUCGAGGUUAUCGUCAGGGACGUUCCCAGCCGUUCGUGUGUGGCGACACGAGUUGGCCGGCGGAAUUUCGAAAAAUCCGCUCGAGCAGCUUGGUCGGGCCGGCGCAGAACUCCAUCUAUUAGUUGGGAGACUUCGAGUAGCUUGGAGUCAGCGCGAUCGAGCGCUUGGAGGAGGUCCGAGCAGUCGAUCUCCUUUCCCCUGUAGAGCGGGAACGGUGGUCGGGAGCUUGGUGCCGUCAUGCGUGUGGUCGGAGACGGCGUGAUCUCAGAUUGGAUCUGGAUCUCUUUCGGAACCGUGGUCGCAAAACCGCCGUUGCACGUCGUCCACGUGAUCUGGCCGACGGUGAACGUGAGGCCUUCGGGCACGGUCGCGGAAGCUGGGAUCGUGACCAUCUUGUUCGCCGGAAAAGUUGCACGCACACCCCCUACCUGGCGCGCCACUGUCGACGAAAGCUGGUCGGCAGUCUACCUUGGGGUAUACCCACGGUAGUAGUUUAUCGGUAGACGGUGCGCGAACUACGAACUCGAUGGUGACGCAAGACACGGACAAGCUUUUUAUCCAGGUUCGGCCGCCGAGUUGGCGUAAUACCUACGUCCUGCGUCUGGUUGUAUUGAUUUGUGUUGAGAGAAUAUGAUAUGUCCUAGGGGGGUCCCUUGCCCCUCCUUAUAUAGUCUGGAGGGCAGGGUUACAGAUCUGGAAACUAAUCCUAGUCGGUUACAAUUGCCAUGGAUAAUUCGAUAUCAAUUCCUAUUCUAACCGACUAGAAUCCUGCUUGAUCUCCACAUCUUGUUUCCUUACGCGAAACUCCAGGUUGUCGGAUCAAGCCUUGAACUCGUCUCGUAAUGGGCCAAGGCUCCUGGCCCAAGUCUAGCCGUAAGGGUAUAGGGGUUUAUACCCCCACAGUAGCCAUAGAUGAGGCCAGUGCGGAUCUCAAAGCUUCCAUUCCCCAUAUUGACAGCGGGCCCAGUCGGCAUGUUGGCAACAGCGUGAGUGGAGUAGUCACAGAGUGACUUGGCCAUAGCGAUUGGUGCGGUUGGUGCUGGAACGGUUGAUUCGCUUGCCGGUUGCGUAGCAGAAGAAGAGACGGUACGAAUCCUUCUCUUCCUUAGGAGUGUUUCUAUUGACACCGUUUUUGGACAUGUACCCAGGAUCGGUAGAGUGUAGAUCGGCAAGAUAGGGUAACAGUAACUGGUCUGCAGGGGAGUUGCCGAUGAGGGAGGUUGCCGAUGAAGGGACAGCUGAAUGAGACUAAGUCCGUGGGUGGUGACGCAUUCAUGCUGAUGGUCAAGCAUUAGCUUUUGCCGAUGGCUACGAUGAGGAGUCUACCGAUGAUUUAGAAGGAGAACCUGAAGGUUGCCGAUUGGUCCAUGGUGGUGUCCCAGUUUGUCACGGGAGGAUAGUUUUGUGUUUUCCUUAGUUAUUUAGAUCGUUUUGUAUACGGAUUCUGUUUAAUUUAGAAUUCGAAUCCUAGUCGUGUCUGAUUGUAGCUCUUUGAGCAGGGUAUAAAUGUAGACCCUAGGGCCUUGUAAUGAGACAAGAAUCAAUCAAUCAAACAGAAGUUUUUACUCAUAUUCUAGCAUCUACUUUUUCGAUGACUUUGUCAUAUUUUCUUUUUCAUUACGAGUUCUUAGGAGUUCGUCGACUUAAGCUCGACGUAUUCUCGAGUUCCGCGUGAAUACCUCUUGGCCGUGGCAUCCAGGCGCAUCGCUGUUGUCGGGACCAAAGUAUUCGAGUUAUCACCUUUGCCGAUAGUAAGGUCAAAUCGGCUCGCAUGCCUUAACGUUUGAAUCGGGUAUUAGCCCUUUGUGUUUGCAGAUCUACUUUUUGCAUCAACAAAUCUUUUGGCAUGCCCGGUGGGACAAGAUUCAAGAUCAAGAUCGACAUGUCAACUACUGAGUUCGAUCAGGAGAACGUCAUCCCUGUGACGGAAGCCAAUCUCAAUGAUGAGCAGAAACAAGCUAUUGCGAAAGCCAUGGAGGAUUUCAAGCAGCAAUGUUUGAGAUCCUUCAGGAUCAACAGGAGCGGCGAAGUGAUUGUUGACACUUGCUAACACCACUUGAAUACUAGGUUGUCAUCCCCAGCAUGGCACUAGAGCGUACUAUGGUAUUUAUACGCACACAGAUAAUCCGCAAGCGCACGGAUACCAUUGAAGCUUUUACCCGGUUAAAGGUUUUAUCGUAUCCACAGGGAAACGGAAGAACUGAUCUACGCUCUAACUUAACCAAGAUAGAUAGAUAGGUGUGAAUAGGUAAGAUGGUAGAAUUGAAUAAGAACAAUAUUAGAGGUAAGAUAACAGUGAGUGAUAAUAUGGGAAUAGAGAGUAGAGCAAUAUAGUAUAUAGGCGAUGGUAGCAGAAUAGAGAGGAUAACUAUGGUUUCUCUACUUCAAAGGGGUAUGUCUAUGUCUGGGACGAACCACGUGAUAAGAGUACACCACAAAGGAUGCUUAUCCUUAGGCCGAUAAACCCUACUCGUCCUGCUAACGAGAGGUGGACUACAGACAACCAACAUAACUGUCACCUACGCGGCCCACCACACGAUCCAGCUAGAAAGGGGAUAUCCACAAGUAAUCUAGGUCUAAGCACCACGCUUACACCUAUACUACAACUCUAACCUACAGUGUCCUAUAGAUUAGAAGUACUCAAAAGAGUUGUGAACCAGAACAUACAUGAUUAGUAAUUGCAUAAUGAAUUAGAAGUAUAUUACCAGAGUCAUCCCAUGAGCAAGCUUGAUUAGAGCUUGAUCAUGACGAAGUACAACCGGAGGAAGAACCGACAGGCCGGCCUCUCCUCUAAUCCUCCUUCGCUCUCCAUCUUGCUACUAUCUAGAUCUACUCUAGUUUAGAGAAGAGAGGAGAGCUCUCAUCCCUAAACCCUGGCUUAUGCUCUGUCUAUGAAUAAUGAAUAAUGAUCAAGGGGUGCCUCCUCCAGGGGCCAGGGGGUCUGGGUAUAUAGUCCCCUCAAGUGAACCUGGGCCGUCGGAUCAAACCGACAUUGAUUGAACGGUUAUUCUUGAUCCUUUAGGUCGGUGGAGAUCUCCCGAGAGAAAGAGUCCUGAUUGGGCUCCAAGUCAGGGCGGGCGCCCAGGGUAGGAGGGCGGGCGCCCUGCCUCUGGCCCUGUUCGGCCUCCGCUUCCUUCCCGUGGCUUCUGGAGUCUUCUAGAUAUAAGAUAAUUGCGCAGCACGUUAAUAUCUCUAUGUAAUCCCGAUGUGUGGGCCUUUCUUCCGUAUUUCCUGAUAACCCCCUGCAGAAAUAGACGAACACCAAAACUCGUGGAAUUCUGUCAGAUAAAACCCUAAGUCUAGAUGUUGAUUUCAUUUGGAUCCUUUUCUUUGUUUAUUUGAUAAUUAAAUUUGAUACUUAAGGACCAUCAACAAACUCCCCCAAGCUUACCUCUUGCUCGUCCCUGAGCAAGGAUAGACUCAGUAGUGGAUCAGAAGUUGUUGCAAUAUCUUAAAAAUUUGACGGUACACAUGCUUUUAAAUAAGAUCUCAUCUCUGAGUUAGAGUAAACUGUCAAGAACUAAAACUUACAUACUUUACCUUUCAGCAUGGGACUUGUAACCGUCACUUCUGUCUUGAGUAGUUAAAAGAUAGAACAGUCAAGCCAAGUGCCAUGUCUCUUAUUCUUGAUCAGCUAUAGCUCUGGAGUUUUUGCAGAUUUUCAAAUAAAACUCAGAGAUUUCUUGUAUGACUCUCUAAAUCUCUCUUUUAUGGUAUUUCUGGAUCCUUACCAAGGUAGUGAUGGUAUAUGCCUUCUUUCAAGAUAUGUGGUAUUUGUGGUAUAAGGCAUAGUGACAUUGCCUUCUCUCUCACCCUACUCUAAUAAGACUUUAAUAUCUGGAGCUCAUAGGUGGGAGAUAAAGUAUACAUACUUACAAGACAUUUAUUGUAUAGUCAAACCAUGGAUCCAAAAAACAAAUCAAUAAGCCAAAUCAAGAUGUGCAUGUGUGGCGAAUGAAUGGUGUAUGGUGAUGAUGGUGAUAACAAUGGUGAAAGUCUAAUUCUACUUUUGCUCUUUUGAGGGGAUACAUACUUUCCUUGCUUUUUGAAACUUUAUUUCCUCGUUUAUUUUUUUUCUUUUCUUCUCUUUUCUUUUAUUUUUUUUCAGAGCACUCAUCUCUUGAUAUAAUAUAGCAAGUGGCAGUAGCAAGAUAACUUGAGCAUUUAUUUCACAAGGGAAAACAGAAAUAUUUUUGGCUAUUCUCUCCCGGAUUAGGAGUAGAAUAUUUUUGGGUGGUUCUGGAGAUGGACAUGGAUGGAUAUAUGUCGAUGGUAGUUCCGAAGUAGAAGUAGCAUAUAUGAGUGAACGUGCAAGUGAAUCUUGAUUUAACCACAUGACAAGCUCCUAAGGGUCUACACAGCUUGACCAUACUCAAUGCUCAUAAGCAGUAAAUAGUAAAUGUGUGGCUCAAAGUCUAGCAAGCAUGUAUAUAUGGCUAUGGUAGGAAUUUAAACUCUCAUCAUACAGGAACUCAUCAUGCAAUAUUUUAAAGACUUUUCUAAGAUAAAAAUUCUCUAGAAUUCUAGCAUCUCUAGGAACAUAUAAACUGCAGCUCAACCUUCCCAUAUCAUAUCCGUUAACAACUUAGACUUCAGAUCAAGUUUUCAUCCCACAAGUUUAGGUCUAGAGCAAGCUUCAAAUUAUAACAGUUAUGUCUAAACUUGAAAGAGAACUUCAAAUUUUAAAAAUUAGGCAGAGCAACUAUUCAUCAUAUCCAUGCUUGAGUUUUAUUUCGAUACAGAUUAGCAUAGCCACUUUAUUUAUUUAUUAAACACACUAAGCAAAAGAUAUAUAUAUGUAAACACAAAAUCUUUAUUUGGUUUUUCAUAGUUAUGUAUAACUAUAUUUUAAUACAGUAUAAGUAUAAAGAUAGAUAGAUAGAAACACUUAUCGGGAUAAAUAGGGGUGCUCUCCCCCAAGCUGAAUUUUGACGUAAUUUCCCUUGAUGUAGCUAGCAGGUGGCAGAGGUGUAUUUGAGAGUCAGCAGCAUUCUGACAGCGAUUAGAAUGUCCUCCGUCUGCUAGUCUUCUUGAUUCUUAAAUCCUGUGGAGCUCAAAUAGACAACAAAGCUUGUGGAACUGAUUAAGUGUUAGCAUAAAUAUCUAGCCUUCAUCAUGUUGAGCUUCCUCAAUAAAUAUUACUCCCUGUUUUUAUAUUUUUAUUUUAUCAAGCAGAAAAUAAAUAUUUAUUUUAUUUUUAUGCCACCACAGUGAAGGUACUCAUCGGUUUUAUGCCACUCGUAUACUCACAUGGGGCUUAGUAUUUUUUAACAUUUUUAUUUUCUUUUCAAGAUAGCAUGAUUAACUAAUAAUCUAUUUAAGGAAAGUAAAUAAUUAAAGGGAAAAGGGAAUGCAGAAAGGAUAAAUAUGGAUAACUACCGAUCUUACCUUUCGGCGAGGGUUCAAUGUUUUAAGUCUUCUUAACAAGACUUCUCACCGUGUUCAUUCUUCAGGUGCGUCAUUUGAUUCAGGUGCGGACCUUGACGUCUGCACCUCUUCGUUUGCCCAGCAGUUUGAAGUGUGGCGUUGGCAGUAUCCUGCUCAGUGUGUUUGUACUCGUAGAUCCAGGUCCUUCACUUGGUAGAGUCUGAGAGUUAUAAAACUCCUCCGUGUUUUGCUCGAAGUGUACCUGCUCAUAGAGAUAAGGCAGAGAUCAAGUGCAUGGGUCCUGUUGGUGAAAAACACCAACAGAACCUAAAGUGUAUUUGUUCUUCUCUAACCUUAAGCAUAGUGAGCAAGACAAAAUCAAUGGAUGAUAAGUUCAUGAGUGUAGCACUUAUAACAUUUGUCAGAUCAGAUCGCUCAACCUUAUGGAAAGAUAAUCUAUCUAUGUAUAUGUCUUUUUCUUUAUAUCUCUCAAUGAUUGAAUGUGUAACAUUUUAGCUCAUAUGAUUAGGAGUGUG